rnacentral:lncRNA from 1 species
CCCUGGAUCUGGUUCAGUGCCAGCCCUGUAGGGCGAACCAAAGAACAACAGCGGUUUCUUGGAGUUGGAAACCAUCUGCCUAUACAUAAUUUUGAGGUUGGCUUCGAUUUGAGCAUCGUUGGACAUUGUUUCAUCCGUGCCGUUGAAGUCAAGAUCGAUGAGAGUCGGCGGCUGAUGGCUGGCAGCGCGAAGCUCGUCGUAAAGCGGAGAGUCCGGGUUAGCGAACAAGGCAGGGAGUUGCAUGCCAGCUGGCGCGUCCCAGUUCCAAAACGGCAACGCGAACGUCGGAUCGUCUAUGAGUUUGGCCAAGAUUCUUUCGUGGAAGUAUAGGUAGUAACGAUGGAAGGGGAAGAAAAGCCAGCAUUGAUGGAUUUGGAGCUCGAGGUUGGGGAAGCCGACUUGGUCGUACGCGCCGUCGCAAUAGGCACAGUGGAGAUCGGCUUGCUGGGUGAAGCUACGCGGAUCGUCGUCCGGGAGGGCUUUCAUGAGCUCGAUGGCUUUUGAAUAUUUUUCGAUGUAGGCUUUAUCCACGGUGUGAGCUGCCGGCCUGACGCGGAGUUUGGUAGGGGAGGGGAAUUUGAAGUCUACGAUUUUUUGGGACGUUGGCGGGCAACAGUUGGUCGGGACUGCUCCACUUGGAAAGUCCGCAGCUCCGCAUUUGGCUAGGUCAGGCGGCGACACUGGCUUUGCAACAGCGAAGGGGUCGCUGCCAAGACCAGCCACUCCACCGUAUAGGCUUCCGAGACCUAUAAGUACAUUUCUUCUGUCUAGGUUUACUGGAGAAGGGUUUUCAUGGUCGUGAUCGUUGGAGCUAGUGGAAGGGUUUUUGUUUUGGUCACUACUAUUAUUUGUGGCUUUGCAUGAGACAGCUUGUAAAUUGGAAUGCCUAGGGUUUCCAAAUGAGGAUAUUCGGUGAUACUUUUGGGAGAAAGGGGAGAGGAAAGUUGUGGGGAUGAUACUUGUGGCGGAGGUGACGAGUGGAGCUGACAUAGAAGCCAUGGUUACUUUUGACUCUGAAUAAUACGUUGUAUUGGCUUUGCUUUUAUAAUGUGUUCUAGGUUGUACUUUUCUUUGCACAGGUGGCAGGCCGUACACACGUGGUCGGUCCUUAAGGGUUUGACGAGGAAUACUACGUAGUCAUUUAGUACAGGACAACCAUACACUAUAGCAAGUGGCAUGUAUUUAGAGAUCGAGAGAGAAUUGGGUAAGGUUCACGAGGGAUUUGUAGUUUCAGAAGGUGAAUUGGUUUUGGUCUUCUUGUGUACCAAUAAUAUUUACUUAGUCAUUUAGUGCAGGACAACCAUGCACUAUAGCAAGUGGCAUGUAUUUAGAGAUCGAGAGAGAAUUGGGUAAGGUUCACGAGGGAUUGUAGUUUCAGAAGGUGAAUUGGUUUUGGUCUUCUUGUGUACCAAUAAUAUUUACUUAGUCAUUUAGUGCAGGACAACCAUGCACUAUAGCAAGUGGCAUGUAUUUAGAGAUCGAGAGAGAAUUGGGUAAGGUUCACGAGGGAUUGUAGUUUCAGAAGGUGAAUUGGUUUUGGUCUUCUUGUGUACGGCUGUGGGUCUGCUGUCCCGGACUCUCUGUCUCAUUUGUGUCUUAUUUUUUAUUUUUUCACACGUGUCUUUUACUUAACGUCAAAUCAUGAUAGCAAUGUUAUGCAAUUGGGAGCUAAACGACCGAUGCUUUUAUUUUUUAGUUUGCUUUUUUUCCAGAUCUGAUCAAAUCAUGAUAGCAAUGUUAUGCAAUUUUCAAGAGGGAAAGAUGCACCUGGGAGAGAAACGGUACGGUGACUUCUAAAUCACCGUCCAACAGAACAAUUCUCAGUAGAGACUACUAGAGAGAGAUGCACCUCACCAAUGAAAAAUUUAACUGCAAAAAUUCUGGGUAUUGGGUAAGGAAAUUCGGUGAUACUUUUGGGAGAAAGGGAAGAGAGAAGUUGUGGGGAUGAUACUUCUCGUGGAGGUGACGAGUGGAGCUGACAUAGAAGCCAUGGUUACUUGACUCUGAAUACUACGUUGUAUUGGGUUUGCAUAUAUAUAUAAUUAGGAUUGAAGGAUGUAGAGCUUAUUUUGUUAUGUAUUUUAACGAUUUAAGUGCUUAUCUUUUAGGUUUUCUCUUAAACAUCAUGUCUAUAAAAAAUCACCAAAAUUCAAACCAUAUGACCAUUAGAUCCAUAGUCAUUUUAGUGUUUAUUUGUAAAAUGUAUUCAUUCAUUUUCUUCACUACAAAUGAGUGAAUUAAUGAUUUUAGAAUUUGUCUAAUUUUUUACAUUGAUUAUUUAUGAAUGUUGAAUUGAAAUUUAGACGAUUCAAAAAUAGUUGAUAUGCAUUACAAAAUGAACUCCACAAAAUAAGUGUCAAAAUAUGUAUAAAAAAUGGACAGCGUGAAUGGCUUGGAAAUUGGAAUAGGUUUGAAAAUUGUGCUUUUUGUAGCAAAUUUUAGCAAAGUUUGCUUGGACUUUCACAACCGUAUAAAUUAAAGGGAAACUUGAUAUAACUCCAAUUUUUUGAGCCAAUAGUAGGAAUAGUCCAGUUUAUUAAAAUAAGUUCAAUUCUUUAAAUUUAAUUAUUUAGUUAUCAAUAAUUAUCUCUUAAAAGAAAAAACUUAUUGUAAAAAUCAAAUUUCUUCCUAAUUAUCUCUUUGAUUAUUUCUUUUUAUUUAUUUAUUUGUUAUUUCUUGUUCUUCCUCCUGCUUUAACCCAUUUAUAGAUUUUUUUUUUAAUUUUAUAAUCAACCUAUGUCACAGGUUAAUUGUAUUUAUCUACCUAUAUGACAUAUUCUUUUUCAUAGUCAACAUUUCACAGAUUAAUGUGUCUUGCUUGUAGAUAUAUUAUGUUUUUUUCUACCUUUUAGUUAGGUUUCAUAUCUCACUUAUAGGUAUAAUAUACAUUCAUAUAUUUGCUACUUGAGUUAGGGUAGAAUGUUUUGCAGAUAGAUUUAUGUUAGUAUAUUAAUUUUUUUUUGUUUAUAAGAUAUUAAUUAGAUAUUUUGGAGUUGAAAAAUGCAUAAUAUUAAAAGCUUUUAAUUGAUUUUUAAUAUUUUUAGAAAAUAUAAAAGGAGUAUAAAAGAAAUCAAAACAUAUAAUUAGAUAACGGGAGUCACUCCUAAAAACACUCUAUGUUUUUUGACCUGGAUCUUAAAGCCCCUAAAUUAAACUGUUCGCUUUGUUGGGAAAAAGAAGUGGCCCUAGUUUCCCUUUGAUUUUUCAAGCACGGUGGGAGACUGGUCAUAGUUUCUAGAUUGAUGCUCUAAUUCUAAUGUUAUACAACGCGUACGCUAUAAUAUUUUUAUCAAAAUAUUAGUUUUAGUGUUAUCAAAACAAUAUGUUAUUCUUACCAUGUUUUUGUAUCACAAUUAUAUACCACCUUAGAUGGUAUCUGAUGUGGACAGCCACAUCAUUUAAAUUAAUAAGCAUUUAAUUUCAAAAUGUUAAUCAAUAAUUAAUAAAAAGAUUGUUAAUUAAAUGAUGAUUGUGGUAUACAAGGAGUCUCCUUCUUCCUUCCUCUUUCCAUUCUGCUUUUUCUUCUUACCUCUUUUUUUUUUUUAAUGCCAGUUUUGUAUUGAUUUCUGUUGAUUUCCAUGAUUAUGGUCAAUCUUUAUAGAAUUUACUAGUAUGCCACAAUCACCAUUGAUUUCUAUCUCCAGACUCAUGCCCCGUAGCCCUAAUCCUCAUUCCCCUUCAAGUAUUUCUGUCUCCAAUCUUCUUUGGUACUCCAUGAUUGUUCAUCUCGUGAUAUUUUUUUUUUUGAUUAUUUCAUUAAGUAACGCUUAUUAGCUUUCAUGCGAAUUAGGAGUCAAAAUCAAAUUUGUCUAUCGGAUUAGGGUUCAUACCCAAUUAAGUUACUAACGCCAGAGGGAUUUUGAAGUAUGCAAUUUUCCUUAUUUAAGUGUUUUAAUUAAUAAGAAAAUUGAAAUUAAACAAUUUAGCUUGUCCAACUCAUCUGCCACCUAAGAUGGUAAAUAAAUGUGGUAUAAAAUUGUGGUAAGAAUAUCAUUACUCUUAUCGAAAUUACAAAAAAAAAAAAAAAAGCUGAUUCAAUAUUUAGUUAUUAAAAAAAAAAUGAUCAAGUAACUAUCCAAUACCCAUGUAUUGGGUGCUUUGUUUGAAAAUUUUCAAAAUGAUAUUGGGCUCGUUUGGAUAUGUUUUUAAAAUGACUGAAAGCAUUUUUAGAGAAAAUAUUUUUUUGAUUCCAAAAGCACUUAAAGUGCUUUCUGCAAGAAGCACCCGUUAUGUGCUUCUUCCUGGAAGCACUUUAAGUGUUUUUCCAGCAUUUACUUGCUUUUUUACUAAGGACUGGUUCCAAAAACAUUUUCACAAAAAGUGUUUUCAGUCAUUUUAAAAGCACAUUCAAACGAGCUCAUUGUUUUUCCUAUUUUAAUCGAGUGCGUCGUCCUCUGUUGAGAAUGAAUCUCAUAUUAUGGGAGGAGGGAUCUUGCAUGAAUGGGAGGAGGGACCUUGCAUGAGCUUAUAAGUAAGUUGGGUUACUCUCCAUAUUGCCAAAAGAAAUUUUAUUUGGACCCAGUUUUCCUCUCUCUAAACCCAACUUUAAUAUUUUGUUACCUAUAAACUCUCUAGUUUACCCUCAUAAAUUAUAAACAUAAAUAAACUAGAAAAAGAAAAACUCAUCAAACCCAUUUCCCAACUGUUCUGGCGUCUCUUCCCUGUAUUUGUUGGGUCUGUCUCCCUCCCGACUGUUUUUUUUUUUCUGAUAUCUCUGUGUGUUCCCCCACCUCUCCCACACCCACCAAUUCUUUGUGGUGGCUAUUCCACCAAACGUCCAGUGAAUCUUUCCAUUUUUCUUCUAUUGCGCGUGAUAGGGCCUUGCUAUUAAUAGGCAAAACUAAGCGGCAUCGUCGACUCCGUAAGCGACUUGUUGCAUAAGUCCAAAAUGGAGUCAAAUGGAUUUUGUAUUGGGUCGGGUUGUUGAAGGCGAUGGCUGAUUUAGCAAUCCCGCCUAACUAUUUCUAUAUGUAGGAGAAGGAAGAGGGAGGGAGGUCUGAAGUGGUGGUUGAGUGGUGGCGAUGUAUGUGGGUUCUCUCUCGGUUGAAUGGGUGUAGAAAGAUAUUUAAUUUUCAAUAUCUUAUUUUAUUUUGUAUAAGGGAUAAUAUAGGAAUUACAUAAAAAGUUUUUUUUAUAGCUAGGUGUAGAAAUAGUAUUGUUGGGUCUAAAUAAAAUUACCCUAUUGCCAAUUAGUUUUAUGGUGAAAUCUUAACUUUGUUCAUGCUUUCAUAGUAGGUUGUUCCACGUGUGAAGUCAAACAUCCACACGCGCUGCACGUCACCCCGUUGUGUUGUUCACGUGUUAAGCUUGAAAAUUCAUCACACAUGAGGGAGCGUGUUGAGAAUAAAUUCCACAGUUUAUAAGUAAGUUGUACUACUCCGUAUAUUACCAAUUAAUUUUGUGGAAUUCCGUCAAAGCUGAAUUUGACGGAAAAAAAUAACUUCAUGUUUGUUCUUAACUAUAAAGUCAGUGAUACACUAAUUCUGGUUUGUUUGUUUUUUCCUUCCUUCUUAAGGAAAUUCCCAAUCCAACCAAAAAAAUGAAAUUCCCAAGAGAAUAGUAGCACGAACAAUCGUAGCUUUCUUCUUCGAUAAGCCUUGGGGAAACAGAAAAGGGAAAACCGGACUUUAACCCUAAUUUCUCCCAAUGCCGCAGCACUCUCUAUUUUCUCUCUCGCUCUAUAUCGCGGUCCCUCUCUCUCGCCGUCCUCUAUUGCUCAAACUCAAUGUCUCCAACUUCCUCUGUAUGGUUCCCGAGGAAGAUGGUAAAACAGUAAGGGCAAGAAAUUGUGACAAGGUUAGAUUUGGGUAUUAAUCUGGUGGGGCUACAAUUCUCCAAUCCACACCCCUUUCAUCUGUGCUAGUGUUUGAACCCAAUAUUAGAUAACCGGUCCAUGCAAUCGAUGCCGUUGAAUGAGAAAAAUUCUAGGCCGUGGGAUCAAAUAUAAUGAUGUGGAUUAAAUAAGGAAAAUUUAAAGAGUAAUGAUAUUCAUACCAUGUUUUUGUACCACAUUUUCAUACCACCUUAGGUGGCAUUUGAUGUGGAUAGCCACAUCAUUUGAAUUAAUCAGAUUUUAAAAUUUAGUUGAUUAUUUAAUAAACUAAUAAUUAAGAAAAACUAAUUAAUUAAAUGAUGAUUGUGAUAUACGAGGAGUCUUUCUCGUUCAUUUCUUUGGGUUUUGCAAAUUUUUCAAAUGAUGUGGCUGUCUACAUCGGAUGCCACCUAAGGUGGUAUAGAAAUAUGGUAUAAAAAUAUGGUAUGAAUAUCAUUACUCAAAUUUAAAUGUUUAUCUUGGUUAAAUUACCAUGAUAAUAUUGUGGAAUUAUCUUUUGCAUAACGGAAGAGCGAGAAAAGUCCAAGGGUGUAGGGAAGUUGUGUGGUUGACUACCGCUAUUUUGAUGGUAUAAUCUGUAGAGUAAUAUUACAUUUAACAUCUAUUUGUAUCAUAUUUCUAAUAAAGAUAAGGACCAUCAAUGCAUAAAUAAUUAAACAAAUAUAUAAUAAGAGUAUCAUUUUUGUAACUAGAAUAGGAGAAGAAAGACUUCAAGAUGGGAUCAGCCAAAUAAUUAGCGUUAAGAUAAAAAUAUUGAAAGGAAAACUAAUGAAAAUGGCUUGAAAACUUUGAGUUUUAACGAUAAGGACAAGAUAAAGGGUAAAGUGAAUAGUACCAGGAUUGACUUUUUAAUGUAAAAAUAUAGUUUUUCGUUAAAGUGAACAUUACCGGGAACUUUUCGUUAAAGUUUCCAAUGAGAUAAUAUUGCAACAGCUGGCAUGAGACAAUGAUGGUAUAAAGAUGGCUACUACGGCCAAACUACUACAUAGGAUUCCAUACAUGCGGUCAUUAUUUCGACAAAUCAAUGGCUGCCGCAAUCAUGUGCUCAUUAUUCCGACAAAUCAGUAGCUACUUGCAUUGGAUUAGGAUUGCAUGCGUGUGGUCAUUGAAUGAGGAUUGCGUGCACGUGAUCUUUAUUCAAACAAAUCACUAUUGACCAUAUAUUGCAAUUGGUUAAUGGUAGGCAAAUUGAAUUUUUACAUCAAAUAAUGUGAUUGCUGAUAAUUGAAUUAUUAUUUAAAUGUUGAUUAAUAUGCUUAUUUUUUAUUUGUGAUAUAUCAUUUAAUUUGUACAUUUAGUUUACCUAACAUUACCAACUGUAAUUUGUAUAAAUGGACUGGUACCUAACAUAACCAGUUGUAAUUUGUAUAAAUGGGACUGUAAUUUGUAUAAAUGGACUGGUGCCUAACAUUACCAGUUGUAAUUUGUAUAAAUUUACUGGUCCCAAGAGCACAUGCUACUGCUCAAGAAGCAAAGUUCUUAUUUGCCCAAAAAAAAUCAUGGUUUUUUAAUUGAUGCUCUCAUUUUAAUUUACUAGCCCCUUACUUGGCCUUUUUUAUUUAUCAUUUUAUACAUAUUAAUAUUUUUUUGUAAAAUAUAUUAGUUUGAGUUUUAUUAAAAUUAAAAAUAAAUAAAAAAACUUAGUUUUAGUUUUAUCAAAUUAAAAAAAAAUGACUUAAUAUUUAGUUAUUGAAAUUGUAAAAAAGUGAUCAAGUAUUGGGUGCUUUGUUUGAAAUUUUUCAAAAUGAUAUUGUUUUUACCAUUGAAACCCUGUUAUAUACAGUGAUGGCUAAUUUGUCAAGUUCUACGAAGUUGGGAUACCCAGCGUUUUAGCAUAUAACAUAGCUUAGUAUUACAAGCAUAAUUAAUUAAAAUAAAGGCAAAAUAAGAGGAUAGCUUAGUAUUACAAGCAUAAUUAAUUAAAAUAAAGGCAAAUUGUAACAGCCCGUCCCUAAAAAUGACGAUUUUAUAAUCUUAACACGUGAGUUUAUGAAGAUGCCCUUCGAGGCAAAGUGUUGACUACCGCGUCGUGUCAUGUGAGACUCAUCUUCUUGGCGUAUUCUCGUUUUACUCGUCGCUACGGAUGCGUGGGCGCAAACGACACGUGAUUUGGAGCUAUAACAAAAGAGUUAUUAACAUUUAAAGUUAAGGACAUUUUAGUAAAUUAAUUAAUUUCAGAUUUUGUUGAGGGGAAAAUCUGGAGUGCCAUGUGGGUGGCCCAGAUUAAAGGAAAUGAGGAAUGGAUGGUGGAGGUGUAAAGGAAAGAAGAUAAAAGAAAAAUGAGAGGAAAUGUGUGACUAAUAGGGAGAUGAGAGAGUUAGGAUGGCCCAAUUAGAAACAAACGAAAGGAGGAAAAAGGAGAGAAGAGGGGAGCAGGGGAUCCCUUCAACCCGGUUCCACUUUCCGACCCGACCCGAUCCUUUUCAUCUUUUCCGGUGGUUUUUCGUCAGUUUUUCCGGCGAACCACGUUAUCUAACCCCGUUGAAAAUGUUCCACGACCUUCCCUCUACCAUUACAACCCAAAAUUGUAGAAAUUUAGCCAUGAAAGUAUGAAAACCGCACCGGUGGGUGCGGGAAACCUUUGUCGUCGAUUCUCCCAUUAUUGAAACGAUUUUCACCAAUUAUCACCACCUACAGCAUCCUCUUGAGGUCUGGAAUAAAGCCCAAACAAGUUUUGGGGCGUUGGAGUUCGUUUAAGGUCGAAUUGAGCACACCCAAAUUCAAGGGUUCCGUACCGUUCAUGGUGAUUUGAGGUGUUUCUCGGCCAAAUUGGCCUUAGUCACAAGUAUGAAAGUUGCUCCACUCGUUGAGAUCUUCAUUUAUGUGAAAUUUGAGAAUUUUUUGAAAUAUUUGGAUUUUCCAGCGAGUCGGGGUGGCGGACCGCCACCGGCAGCAGCGCAUGGCCAGUGGUCCACCAAUGUCAUUUUACGUUAAAUUGAUAUCUUGAUUUUAGAUUUGAUGUCUAUAUGUUAUGACUUGAUUAUGUGAACCUAGUUUGAUUAAGGUGCGUUAAUUGGUAAAAAUAUGAAACGACGAUCCGACCGUGGGAUCGUCACCAAACUUUAAUAUGUUAUAGUACAUAAUAUUUGAGAAUCAUAGGGACUGACAGAUAGGAAAUCCGAGAUACAGAUCUUCCCGAAAUGGAAUUGUAAGUUUGAAGAAUAAACGUUAACCGCCACUUUGUUUUGACUAUUGGUGGAGAUCCAACCGUUGGAUCAUAAUGAAAUUUUAGGAUGAUGUUUUAGAAGCAUAAUGUGGAUCUUUGGAAGUUACUGAUCGGAAAUCCGAGGAGUGAAUCUUCCGAAUUGAAUUACGUAGGGUUGUGGACCUUACCGUCGAUCGUUGACCGAUGAUCGACUUUUGGUCAAUGGGGCUUAAAUCAAUCUAAAACGUUUUUAGGGAUGUGUUUUACGUAAAUUACAUGAUCUAUUGAUAAGAAUUAUGAGAUGUGGUUUGAUAAUUGUCCUAGGUGCCGAUCGUUAGGAACGCUUCGAUGGUUAUGCUAGGAAAUUGUAGCACAGACUCCUUGUGAGUGAAUCUUUUCCUUCUUAUCAUAUAUAUAUAUAUAUAUAUAUAUAUAUAUAUAUGAUUGACAAUUCCACAAACGUUUAUAAAUUGAUUAUUGCAUAUAACUACUGUGAAUACUUUGAAGUACUUAUGCGAACUACGAAUGGCUUGAUCCGUGUUUAGGGUACGUAGGCAGUCUAACAAGACGUUAGAUGUAGUCAUACAAUAAUUGAGAUUAAACAAUUGAGAUAAAGCCUUGUUUGGGGAACUGGGCAAGGUGAAGGAAUUUGGUAAAAAGGUGAGAUUUAACCUUAUGAAUUGGUGAUUAAAUGUUGGUCAUAAAUCAAUGUGUAAAGAAUCAAGAAUUUGAAGUAAGGAAACGUAAGUAAUGAUAAUUAAUUAAACUAGUGUCUAGUUGGGCUUGUCACCUAUAAUUAUCCCCGAAAAUGAAUAAUUCGGGAGUAGGGCGUUACAGCUUCUGCAUUUUUAUGCCACAUUAUAUAUAUAUAUAUAAUUGGAAAUGCUAUAACAUGGUUGAGUAUCAGAUUUCAUCAUGGUUUAUCUAUAUGUAUAUUACCUGCACACAAUUAUUAUGAACGCGUUGAAGUGCAAAGGUGAAUGCACGACACCCAGGUAAGUUCAGGUGAGUUUAUGGUAUUAGUUGAAAUGAUGGGGUUAUGGUAUGACUACAUGUAUGUUUAGGUUGCAAUGAUAGGCAACUCCAACACUGUCGUACAGGUUGCCCAUGAAUUGUACAUGUUACAAUAGAUACAGUUAGAGCUCAUAAACCUACACCCCGGUGUUAGUACUCCCGCUCGUGGCCAGGGCACAGUCCUUCACGUGAUGUUCACCUCCCGCACCUUACGCUCACCUUGGAUCCAAGGUAGGUGCACAAUCAUGUCGUACCACUAUAGGUGGUUCCGACUCGUAGAUGACCCGCGAUUAUUUGCACAGUCUUCACGUGAUUGUAGCACUUGAGCGUAUUUAUUUACACCCAGUUCUAUUGUACAGACCACUUUAGGUGGUUCCGACUCGUAUGCAGGUAUACUUAUUAAGCUAUGGAUAAGUCGUACAGGUCACUAGAAGUGACUCCGACUUAUGAGCUAGCAUAUGUGAUGAGCUAGCAUAUGUGAUGAGAUAAGUGAUGAGUUAGUAUAUGUAAUGAGAUAUGUGAUGAGCUAGCAUAUGUGAUGAGAUAUGUGAUGAGCUAGCAUAUGUGAUGAGAUAUGUGAUGAGCUAGCAUAUGUGAUGAGUUAGCAUAUGUGAUGAGCUAGCAUAUGUGAUGAGAUAUGGGUAAGUCGUACAUGUCACUAUAGGUGACUUCGACUUGCGUGCUAGUAUGGGUUAUUAAUCACAUGAUUAUUGAUAUUACUGAUGAGAUGCUGUGUUGUGGUAUAUUUAUGAUCUUUCUGGAAACUAUGCAAGUGUUGUAACGAGGGGUUAUAAUGAGGUGUUGUAACGAGGGGUUAUAAUGUUUUAUAUGGUUUCUGUUAAAAUUUUAUUUCUAGGGUCACUCACCCUUAUUUUGUUUUCACCCUCUAGGUUUUAUUAGCUGAGCUUUCUUAUCGUCGAAGAUUCGUGGCGAUUCUUAGUAUUGGAGAUUAUUUCGAGAGUACGAUUCUUAAUUCACUUUACUGUACUUGCUUAAGCUGUAACGUCACGUGUGAAGUGGGUUCAUUUCCGCUUACCAGCGCAUUCUGGUAUUUAGGCACUCUUAGGUUUAAAUUUAUUCACAUUUUUCCACAUCAUCAAACUUUAUGGCUUUGUCACUCUUUAGGUGUCGGCCAGCACAGCUCGAUUUGGAGUCCUAGUGGACAUUCCGGGUCGGGGUGUGUCACAAAUGAAGAGGAUGGUUGAACUUGUUAAGUUUCUUAAGUGUGUCUACUUGAAGUGUGUUGCUAAUAAAUAUUUUGUUGUAGGCAUAAUUUACUGAACAAUUAUGGAGGCAGAGAGAGAGAGAGGGAAUAUGCGGCAUAGAGAGAGAAGAGAGAGAUGUGUAAUUGUGAGGUGUGUUCUAUUCCACCCCAUUGUACCUUUAUUAUAUUAGUAGGGAAAGUUAAUUCCUUACCCUUUUAGGAUUACAACUCUAAUAGGAAAAUAUCUAGUCUAAGAGAUAUGAUAGAAUCUCAUAAGGAUAUCCUAGAUAUGUUAGGAUUUACACAAUCAUAUUCCUAUUCCAAUAAGACUGCAACACAUUUGUAUUUUUUUAGAAUUUUUUUGAUAAUUUGUUGGUAUUCUCAAUUUUUGUUAACAUUGAAAAUAUAACGGUUCAGAUGAAAAACCUUUGGAAAUCCAACAGCUUGCAAGACGUUGGGCUGUGCUGAAGGAAGCUGGGCUGUCACGUGGAUGGGGCCCUCCCUCUCCCUCUUGUUGAUUCAAAGGGCGCAGGCCCGUGCAACAAUUGGCGAGGCAGCCCAUAGAGAUCCUGCGAUUCACCCAUUCGCCAUUUUUUCCACCGCUGGAGCACCAAAAUUCGGUCAAAAGGCAGGGGUAUCAAUGGCAAGGGCAAUUUGGCUUCCGCUGGAGGUGCUCUUUGUCGACUUUGUUUUUUCUCUCAUUUUAGCUUUUGCAGUAAUAUUGAAGUAAUCACUCCAAUUUUAUCCAAACUUUUGUUGUCCGUCAAUUUUUAUCAAAACUAUUGGUUAAUUUACAUAUUCAGACUAACCUUCUCAUUAUUUUUAGUAUUUUUAUCAUAAAUAAUAUCUGAAAUAGUCACAUUUUAUUCAACAACCACUCAAUUAAAAAUUAAUUAGUGUUGUUUCUAAACCAUUACAUCAAGCUUUUGUAGAUACACAUCAAUAUUGCAGCGAUCCGAGGCAUUGUUUUAGUGACGGUAGUACUUUCUACUCCUUGGAUUUGGUGAAUCGGAAAAGAGAAGAGUUACGAGUAAAAGUCCCUCGCAUUGUUUUGGGGAGAUGAAGAUGAUGAUCUUUUGUUUUUGUUUUUUAAUGAUUAAUCCACGCAGCAACAUAUAAUUAAAUUGUUGGGAUCUACUCAAGUUCCAUAUCACACACUAACAUAAAAUUUGACAAACGAAACGAAAUAUGUGUGUAGACAUCGAAAUUUCGUAAAUAAAUGUUGACCGAUAAAUCAAAGUGUCAACGCUCAUGUAUUACAUAAAUUUUACACGUAGCGUGUGACUCAACGAAAAUUGAAAUGAGUUGGAAAAGUCAUCAAAUAGGACACGUGUCAACACCUGGCAGAAACGACUUAUUUCAUCUGGGAUAUUAUAUUCAAAAUUAGCCAUUGGAAAAUUCUAUAAAUACAAGCCCAUUUCAUUCAUUUAAGGAGAGGAAUUCAUAUUACACCUUGAAGCUCUGAAGCUCUGAAACUCCGAAGCUCUCAAGCAUCCAGGUUCCCGAAGAAUCAAGAAAGUGUUCUUCGUUCUUCGUUCAUCGUUCUUCCAAGAUCAAGCCUCGACGGCCCUUGGAUCAACAAUCAUCCACCUUCAAGAUCAAGCCCCGACGGCCCUUGAAGAAAGCGUUCUUCGUUCUUCGUUCAUCGUUCUUCCAAGAUCAAGCCCCGACGGCCCUCGGAUCAACAAUCAUCCACCUUCAAGAUCAAGCCCCAAAGGCCCUUGAAGAACUUCCACCAAUUCAAGAUCAAGCCCCGACGGCCCUUGAAGAAAGCACCAUCGUUCAUCAUCCGUUCAUCCAAGAUCAAGCCCCAACGGCCCUUUAGAUCAACAACGUCGACAAAUCCACACAUCCAACCGUUCUUCAAGAUCAAGCCCAAAAGCCCUUGAAGAUCCGUUCAUCACUGUUCUUCAAGAUCAAGCCCAAAAGCCCUUGGAGAUCCGUUCAUCACUAUUCUUCAAAGAUCAAGCCCAAAAGCCCCUUUGAAGAUCCGCUCAAAUCCACCUUCAAGAUCAAGUCCACGGCCCUUGAAGAACGUUCAUCCUUAGAUCAAGCCCAACGCCCCUUUGGAUCAAUCGCACAUCCACAAAUCAACACCUUACGGAGAUCGAAUCAGAGGAUCAAAAUAGAGAGAGAUUGUAACCCAAAAUCAUCAAAUACAAAUAUUUGUUUGUGCGCGUUGUUCUUGUCUCUUUCGUUUCAGGAAUUUUCCGUGUUCACAAUGUGCUCUUGAAAUCAAAAUGAGGGCACUGCUCCAAGAACAAGAAGGGCACCUUGUCGAGGUCGCCAUCCGCCGUGAGGGAAAACCGGAAGAAGUUGGACAACAAUGAUAACAUCAAUUUGCGGCACCCAUAUCGGGACAUCACACUGUGAAAUAAAUAUUGAAAUAAAUACUCAAAACUCCUGGAAAGUCCUCGAGACAACAAACUUUCAUCUCCUUCAAACAUUUCAUUUUACUAAGUUUUAUCUUUGAAGGGAGGGAAAAAAAGAGAAGAGAGAAUCCUACUCCUUAUUCCUGAAUAUAUUCAAGAAUAGCUAUUGAAUAAAGAGAGAAUGGAGGGUGAUCGAAAGAGGAGGGAAGAGAAUUCUAGUUCCAAACAUAAAAAGGACCACAACUUUUAAAUUAUCAGCACAAUCAUCACCUAAUUGAAGAGACCAUUCACUGUGAAACAUAUUGUCAAUCAGUCUAUCUAUAUCUAUUUAUAUACCAUAUUUUUAGAGUAAGAUUCUCUCACCUCCUAUUACCAUCCCCUUCCAUCCUUUCAUCUCAUACUCUUUUUUUGUUGUCUUAUUCUCUAUAUAAAAAAAUUCAAAACAAGAUGUAUACGUGACGUAAUCGUAACCGUUUAAAUAAGAGGGGAUAGAAGAGAAGAGAGAUUAGGAGAAGGGAGAAUCCUACUCCCACAUUUUUCUUCUUCAUAAACAAAAGAGAGGUUCUAGAUUACUUGACUCUAUGCCUCAUUUUUUUCAUCAAGUAUUUGUGAUAAGUGGGUUCAUUUUCAAGUAUUUUAGUUUUUUUGUCAAAAUUGAGAAAACUGAAAAUCAAACAUUAAUAUGAAAAAUUAAAAAAUCAACAUAUAAUUAUUUAGAAAUCGCAAUAGAAAAGAAAAAAAAUGGAGGUUUGUGAUGAAAAAUCUUUUAUACUAAGUAAUUUAGUAUCCUUAUGCAUGAAGAUAAAUCAAUUUGUUCGUUACGGUCAUACUCUUUUUUGAAUUUUUGAACACAUUCUCCAUAGGGCCUUCUUAUAUGUUCCUUCUCCAAGCUCGGGUUAUGGAAGAAGUAAAAGAAGGAAUCGAAAAGAAAGUAUUGGUAACAACCGAUUUCAUUACGAGACAACUCUUGAUAUUCAUAUCAAUCUAUUAUGUACCUUUGCAUCUAGCAUUAGACAAUAAUUGUCAUAGCUUUACCAUAUUUUUUUGUUUCAUUUCUUCUGAAACAAUCUCACACACUUUUUUAUUAUGUGUCUACUACUAGGAAUUCAAUACGUAAUCUUAGCAUUCAAUAGUUAUUCCUAAAUAAUUUCAAUUUUCAAAUGAUCAACCAUUUCAUUUUACCAAGUUCAAUCAAUGUUAGUCAGAUUAGUCAACAUUUAUAUAUUUUGAUGCAACAACAAGAUGUUAUUUGUAACAAGUGAUUUUGUUAGUUGGUUAAUUGGUCACAAGUUAAUGUUCGGUUCAGUUUAGUUUUUCUCUCGAUUUUUUGUGAUUCGGUUUUUUCAAUUCUCUUUAGGGUCGGUUCGGUUUUGUUUUUUUAUUUAUACUUGAAUUUUAUUUUAAUUUAUUUUAAUUUAUUUUAUUUUAAAUCUGGAAACACCAAGAACAACACAAGCACAUAGUCAAUCAAACAACUAUCCUUCUCCACAAAUCAUAGUAAUAAUUACAUUCAUUGAGCUGAAAUGCAAAUAACUAACAAACUCACAAAAAUCAAAUAAAAACUACAAAUUGCUUACUCUUUUUCUUUGGGUUUCACUCGAAAAGUGUCGGUAAAAUUUAGGGUUUGCAAGAACGCAACUGAAAUCUAAAACGGAGGCCUUGUGGCCUAUGGGUUGCUAUUGAGUUCCAGUACAGAGAACCUUGCUUAAUCUCGAUCACGGUACAAAGUAUCGAGUACCUUUAGCACUGUAUUUUGGUAUGAUUGGUAGAACCAAAUUAAAAGCUAACAUCAACAACAACUACCAGAGACAAAAGCUCUUAUCAAUGCUUUGGAAACAUUUAUGUAUCUCCAAGUGUAAUGAUAUAAUUGGUUGGAAACUUGUGAUUUCGUAUCAAAUCAAUAAAAAGUUACAAUAUUGACAAUAUAUUAGCAAUUUUUAUGUUAAUUAUGAACAAGUCAAUCAUGUAGAACCAAAUUAAAAGCUAACAUCAACAACAACUACCAUAGACAAAAGCUCUAAUCAAUGCUUAGGAAACACAGUCCUGUAUCUCUAGGUGUAUUGAUAUAAUUGGUUGGAAAUUUAAAAGAAAAAUGGUGAUUUUGUAUAAAAUUGAUAAAAAGUUACAAUAUUGACAAUAUAUUUGACACACCCCGACCAAGAUCAAGGCAUGCUGGCCGUCACAUGAGAGUGACGUAACCAUGUGCACAGUGCGGAAGCAAUAAUGAUAAGAAAUAUAUGAAUAAUUAAAAACCGAAUCUACUAGAGUGCACUACUAAACAGGAAGUAUUAGGAGUAAGAUACAAAAGUAAAUACUCCUAAUCAGAGCAUAGAAAGUCUAGGUGCAAUCCAGUAGGACAAGUACUAAUUAUACAGUAUAAAAUGUCUUACAAUUAUUUAGAUAGGUCAGAACCGCCGAAGUCCUCACACCCAACAACUGCAAACUUACUUAAAACCUGAAGGGGCGCAAAAUAGAAAACGUGAGUGGGAAAAAACAAAUGUUUUACAAAACCAUUUCAUUUAUCAAUAUAUCUAACCCCUCGCUGUAAACAUGUAUAAUUUUUCCCAGAAUCAAGAUAUAAGCAUAUACAUAAAUAUAUAUAUAAAUAUAUCAAUUCAAAUCAUGCUUCACAUAAUCAUAUUCAUAUGUAUGUCAUGCCAAGAUAUAACAGAGUAAGCAACUCAGGUAAGAGUAAUUUCAUAGAAAUAUAACAUGUUAGCCGGAACCCCUGUAGUAGUCUGUACGGCUGAAUUCAUAGCUCAAAAGUCAAUCUAGCCGAAGUCACUACAAUGACCUAUACGGCAAUAUACUGCACAAGAGUCGGAACCAAAUGAAAAGAUCUGUACGACAAUAAUGGGUGUUGUUGAUGCACAAAAUCAGUGAGGACUUUGGUACAACAGAAAGUGUUAAGUUUGUGACAUUCUCUAGAUUACUCCGAUCACUAGUGUGGAUAAGUAUGUAAAUGGAUAAAGACAGGGAAGCAAACACAAGAUGUACGUGGUUCACCCAGAUUGGCUACGUCCAUGGAGUAAAUGAGUUCUUAUUAAUUGUGAAGGGUUUACACAAGUAUAUAGGUUCAAGCUCUCCUUUAGUGAGUACUAGUGAAUGAUUUAGUACAAAUGACAUUAGGAAAUAUUGUGAGAGAAUGAUCUCUAUUUAUAGAAGAGAGUUUCUAGUUUCAUUCUGACAUUGACACGUGUCAUGUUGUGAUUGGCUUCUGAUGUUGACAUGUGUUGCACUAUGAUUGGCUUUAGAUGUCAACAUGUGUCGCGUUGUGAUUGGCCUCCUGGUUUGAGGGAAACUCUUCUGGCUCCUUGACGGUAUAACGUUGAUCGAUGCUCAGUAGUUUCGGGAUUGGUCAAGUAUGGUACAAACAGGUGUAAUAUAAUCAUACUCAAUACUACUCUCACAUAAUAGCUGGGUGAUAAAUCGCUAGUCACCUAUGAGUCAGAACGAUAAUAAAGGUCUGUACGAAGACUGUGCACCUAAAUUGGAUCCAAUAUGACCAUAUGGUGCGGGAUGUGACAUUAUAUACAGGCUUGUGCCAUCACUGGCGGAGCUACACCCACGGCUACAGUAGGCUGUAGCCUAGGGAGGAUUUUAACAAACUGCUGGUAUAAUAGUUUAUAUAUGAGUUUGUUGUUGCUUAUUGUAUGUAUAAUAGCCCACAUAAAUCCUGCCAAAAUUAUUAGUUAAUGUGUUUCUUAAUUUAUAAAUAAUACUUUUAUUACCUUUUAUUAUUUUAUUAUUUUUAGGCUAAAAGUAAAAAUGGUAAAUUAAUACAUAAUUAGGUUUCUCCUAUUCCCCAUGCUUUUUACCUAUUCGUUCAAAACAAAAAAAUUAAACCCUCUACCCUAAGAAAAGAAAAACUAUGAAUCACCAUCAAAUUAUUUUCUAAUGAAAUUCAACACUAGAUAUGCUCUUCAUGUCUUCAUUUAACCUAUUUCUUGAUUCAAUUGUUCAUUCCAUAUAUCUACAGCACGACUUGAAUUGGUAUCCCCUAACCUUUUUUCUUUUGGGUACUUGUUAUCAACAAAAGUGAUAAUAUUUGUUCUCUUUCUAUUGCUUUUUUGUAUGCAUGUUUUAUUUGUGUAAAAAUUAGUUGGAAAGUAAUUAAUAAACUUGUUUGGAUUAUUAGUACUUCAUGUUCCUACUUUUAUGUAGAUUACUAUAUAAUUUUAUGUAGGCAAAAAAAAAAUUCAUAAGAUUAUAUGCUAAUGAUUUUAGUUAGCCCACCCAAGAAAAAUUUUCUGGCUCCGCUAUUAUGUGCCAUAACUCUGGCAAAAUCACAAUCACCCUAAGUGCAGUUUUAUGAGUUCAACGUUAUUCUAUCACAUAUCACAUCAUCGAUAAUUCACAUAACCAAACAUAACUCACAUGAGCUUACCUGAGCGUCCACAGUACCAUAAUUAUAUAUAAUGCAUCAUAUACGAAAUAUAAAUUCAUAUGCAUGGCAUUUAAGGUAUACUUUCAUUUAAACACAUAUUUCUGGGAAAAUAUCAAGUAUAUAAAUAUAUACUGAAAACCAAAAGCCCACUCAUUGGUAUGUCGAAGGGUCGUAGCCCCCGAGUCGCCUUUGAAUACUCUCGUCCUCGUGAUAAGUCUCACCUAUAUGCGAAUUAACUAUAAAAACGUUAUUUUAGAGCACAUACAAAAAAUUAGCUAAUAACUCUCAUACAAUGCUCAAUUUUUGUAUUUGAAUAUAUCACAGUGACCUACACAACCUCAAGAUCAUCCCUAAAUUUUUACAAUAUUUUUCUGACCCCUCACGCGCUGCCACGCACCGGCAAGGGCAACGCCUUACUCGCCCCCACGCGCGGCCACGUGACAAGCAUACUGAUGGCGUCAAUCAACAUCAUCAGGAAUAUUCUAGGGAAUAUUCUGUUAAAACCCAAUGGUAACUGUUAAAGAUGACUGACGGCAUGAGCAUAUUCUGUCAACCUUGACGGAAUAUACUCCUUUCUUCUCCGAUGAGUCGUCGGUCGCCGGCGACUUCGCCGAUUUCUUGGUAAAACUUUAAAUCGCUUAUUCUUCUUCGUUUCUUCGCCAUUUUUCAUGAAAUUGGUACCAAAAUGAAGCUAAUAACAUGUAGAAUCACUUUGUAUAAGUUUCAAGGCUUAAAAUCUACUAGUUUUUCCCUGAGAAAGCUCGAUAGUUCGGCUUACCUAGAUAUGCGUCGAUCUCAGCCCUCCGACGUCCAAUUCCUUCCAACGAAGUACCCCAAGACUCGUGAGGACCUCCUUAAGCUUCCUAUAAGCUUCAAAUUCCCUGAAACACAAGAUUUUACGUAUGCAUGAACAAUGCACAAAGUCGGAGCUAGGGUUUCCACGUGAAAUCGAAGGUUUCCUUACCUGAAAAUGGUUCCUUUGAAUUCGUAUGGUUCUCACGAACACAAUGGUGAUCUUAAAACCUUCGAUCUACAAGGUUUAAGAGGGUUUCUGGGUUGGUCCGUACGAAGAAGGGAGAGAGAGAAUGAGAAUCUGCGAGAGAGAGGGCACGGGAAGGAAAGAGAAAUAAGAUAGGUGUGUGUAUGGUCCAAAAGCCACCAAUCAAAACUAAGAAAAGUCUUAGUUGUAAUUGGGUCACCAAUCUAAAACAAUUUAACCCAAUAAUAACUUACACACAUCAUUUAACAUCCGAGGGUAAUUCCGUCAUUCUACGUCAUCGAGAAUAAUCUUCCGGGACGGGCUGUGACAAUAUCAGCAAUAUUUAUGUUAAUUAUGAAUAGGUCAAUCAUGUAUUUAAUACUUAAAUGUAUUUAAAAUAAACACCUUAUCAAUGUUUUCUGAACUGUGCUCGAUUUUUCUCCUUCGCUUUGGUUCUGUCCCAUUGGAUUUUUCAAGCAAGAUUUUAUCAAGGCAACUAUCAUUAACUGUGAACAUAAUUUAUCAUUGAGACACGAACAUCCAAGGGGGAGUGUCGUGGAAAAAAAUGUAGAUAUCUUUAUACGUUGUAUGGUAGUAAACCAUCAUAAACACCAUAAAUAUGUAGAAACGCCCUUGCGGUACCUUUGAAUGAUAACUCAUGUAUUUGUUGCCCUAUGUAAAGAUGGCUAAUGAUAAUGGAAGACUAAUUUUCUCAUCCCAAUCUCUCCUGUCUCUCUUAUUCUCUUUUCUCUAUAUUUUAUUUCCAACAAGUUGUGUUUUUUUUUUAGUAUUGUUAAGCAACCCAAUAGAUUUUAAUCGUAGUCUUUGUUUUUUUUCUUUUAUAUUUUUAAUCAAUUUCAGUUGCUUAUCAGUUCUAGCUAAUUGAGCUCUUUUACAGCAAUUUUUUUCUUUAAAUAAAAUUAUUAUUAUUAAAAAGAGUGAGAAAAUUCGAAAUUGUUACAAUAAUUUAAAAAAAAUAGGAGUUUCAAAUCAUGAAGGUAGAGGGAGUUAACAACAUUUUAGGGGGGGGUGUAGUCAAACUAGGAUUUUGAAGGAUUUUAAAAGUGAUAGAUUUGAUAGGAUUUAAGAUGAUUAAAGACUCUUACAAAAUUCAUAUGGAUUUUAAAGAAUAUGAAUGGAUUGCGGUGGAUUGUGGGGGAAGGAUUUGAAAUCCUAGGGGGUGAGGUUUGAUUCUUUUUAGUUUUGGUUAUAUAUGGUAUGCUUUCAAAUCCCAGAAAAUCCACAACUUUUUAAAAUCCUUUAAAAUCUUAAUUUUUUUAAUACACUUAGAUUUGGAUGGAUUCUAAAAUCCUUUAAAAUCUUUUAAUUGACUACACCUAGAUUUGAAUGGAUUCUAAAAUCUUUUAAUUGACUACACCUAGAUUUUAAUGGAUUCUAAAAUCCUUUAAAAUCUUUUAAUUGACUACACUAUGAUUUUAAAGUCUUUAAAAUCCUCUCAAAUCCAAGUUUGACUACACCCCCUAAAGAUUUUAAGGAAAACUAAUGAAAAUGGCUUGAAAACUUUGAGUUUUAACUAGGGGUGGGCAAACGGGUACAGGAACCGCGGGUAGGGGUGGGUAAUUCAAGUUCGGGGCAGGUAUGGGACAUGUCCAAUAUUUCUAAACACAAAACGGGGCGAGGCUGUUCGGGUAUAUGAAAUUAUCGGGGCGGGGCGGGUCUUAAAAUAGAAGGGAACGGGCCCCCAGCCUGACCCGUUUCUUUUCCUCAUCCCUAGUCUUCUCUAUCUCUCUUCCCCGACACUUUUCAUUUCACUCAAACCCGGCCCAUUUCUUUUCCUCAUCAGUCAUCCCUAGUCUUUUCAAUCUCUCUUCCCUAACUCCUUUCAUUUCACUCGUACCUCGAGACCUCCUCUUAACUCGCUCCCAGCCUCCCACCGUCCUAGCUCCGUACCUCGCCAUCAUCAUCGUCAGACCUCCAUCUCUCCUGAUUUACUCAUGUCUUCCUCGCUGCGUCCGCCGCCAUGUCUCUCUUUCUGUGACGAACUUAAAGGGACGGACGAAGUUGAACAACUCGAAACGACGCCUCUUCUGUCUGAAUUAGACCCAUAUUUGCAGCGCACGACUCUGCUCAUAGUCCUCUUCGGUUUUAAGGUAUUACGUUUUAGAGAUUUAGGAUUGAAAAUUAAAUUAGGGUUUUCUAGAUUUAGGGAUUUUGUUGGGUUCUUGAACCUUGACCUCUGUUAUGUUCCAAUUUCAAAUAUAUAUUGAAUUGAAUUUGAAUCGACUGUGUUUGAAACUUCUGUUGAAUUAAAUUGAAUUUGAGCAGGAGAAGAGGCAGAUGUGGGUUGGGCAAUGUCGAAUCUCAUUGUGGGUGGUGAGGUGGGCAUGGCGGGCGACAAUAUUGACUGGCAAUGGUACGGGCGGUGCUAUUAAGUUGCAGAAGAAUACGAAGGAGGGGGUGUGGGCAUGGGUGGAUAUCGCAAGCUCAAUUGAAUUUUUUCUGGUUUUGUUUGUGAUUAAUUGCUUGUAUAUGAUAGUUAUUGAUGGAUCUUGACAUGCCCAUUUAAUUGUUAUUGGCAAUGCUAGUUUGAUUGUAACAAAUUCAAACCGAUUGAAUUGUAUCCCAGAAAAAAAAAUCAAUAAAGGAACUGAGGACCCGGCCCGAACCAGCCCAUUUCAACCGGGCCAGGUUAGGUUCGGUUCUUAUAUUAGAAAAUGUUGUUCCCGGCCCGUUUCUCUUAAGCCCGGAUCCAGUCCGAUCACUUCGAAAUUGGCCCCAACCCGGCCCGGGCCCACCUCUAGUUUUAACGAUAAGGACAAAAUAAAGGGUAAAGUGAAUAGUACCAAGUUUGACUUUUUAGUGUAAAAAUGUAAUUUUUCGUUAAAAUAAGAUUUUAAUGGAUUCUAAAAUCCUUAAUUAAGAAAUUAGGCUUCAACCCAACUCAUCUUUGCAACGCCGGUUCCACUUCACAUCAACAGGCAAUGUUUUCUCCUCAACAAAUAGUAUUCUUUUAUGAGACAAAGACUAAUGAGGGUGAUAUAUAUAAUUAAUAAUAAUACUUGUGUUCCCUUUGUGAGUGAAUGCACUUAUUUUACCAUUCUCUAAUAAUGUAUCUUUAUUAUAUAAAUUUAUAUCAUGUGGAUAUCUUCCUAUAAAAAAGUUAUUCAAAUUGGAAAUCCUUACGUCAUCAAAAUAUAUAAAAAAAUGGACGAUCUCAUCGUAAAUAUGUUAGUUACUCACACUAUAACUUUGUAUAUUCCCUCACGUAGGAAACGCAAUAAUUAUCCUCUAAUUAAUUCUUCUUGAGAGUAGAAUUUUUAUUGUUGGUUUUUCGCAACCUUCAGACCUAAAGCUGAUAUGGACCUCUCAUUGUUUUUUGGGUUGCCGUUCUUAUUUUGCUUGGUCCUUUUACCUUUUCUAUAGUUGUUUAUCUAGUUCUUUUGAGCCUCGUACUAAUUUUUAAUGUAAUGAAAAUUAUCUUCGUGAUAAAAAAAAAAAUCAUUAGUCCUCGUAUGAACAUGCGAUGUAACACACUUUCAUGGAACAACAGAUGAUAAAGACGAUAUCCAAAUUUUCUCUGUGUUAUGUGGACUUUCCCAACCAAAUAAAUAAUAACCAAUAAACAAAUAAAUAAGAGUUUAACUUCAAACAUUGAGAAGCGAAAUUCCAACACUACGAGCCUAACUUUUGUCUUCAUCAUCAUCAUAGACUAGUCUCCUAUCCAUCAACUCCUACAUCAAUUUUUUUUUUUACUAGAUUGUAGCUCACUUUCAAAAGAGUUACGUAAAGUAUUUAAGCACCAUAAAAGAAAAUUAAACGACAACGAUUGACAUAAUAUUAGUAGUAUCAUGGUCUAAAAUAUUCAUAAUAUCUUGAUAUUUUUAUUGAAAUUUUCGUGUUUUUAGACUACCUAUAUUUUCAAUAUCAUCGAUAUUUUAAACCUUGCUAAGUCACUCAUGUAUCUUACCAUGCAAUGUAUAAAGUGUAAAAUAUUGUACUAAUUCAUUAUAUAUAAAUGAUUAUAGUGUGUUUAAACUUCUUUCAUUAAUUACUACAUAUUUUCUACACUCACAAUGUUUGCCAGCUCGCUAUAUAAUCAACUUAAAUCAAUUAUAUCUAUCAUGUAAUGCAUUUCCUUCCAAUUUUUUGUGAUAAACUAAUAGAUAAUUGACUAAAUAAACAUCCUGCAAAGUUUCAAUAAAAAUUUCCAAGUUUUUCUUACAAUUUCCGUAGUUUUUAUUCAAUUUUUAUCGAUAUCGAUAAUAUCCCGAUAUUUCCAUCGAAAUUUCCGUAUUUUUAGACUACUGAUAUUUCCGAUAUCAUCGAUAUUUUAUACCUUGGUAGUUAUACAUUUUAUCGGCCUCAUUUUUAUGCAACUUAUACAUUAAAUUAUUGUCAAAAUGUACAUAUAAAGUAGCUGAUCAACGAUGAGAUUUUAGGCAACCAUUUUCUUCUACGACGUCAAAGGUUGUAGAGGUGGCCAUGUGCACUACAUGCGUAAAUCAACUAGGGACUUGGAUCCUCUCUUAAGCCCAAGGAGAGGAUCCUCCUAACCAAAUGACUUGGAUUGUUGGAUGAAAAUCUAACGAUUACAAACAGAUGAUCUCUUUAAAGUUAUAAUAUUUAUUACCGUUGAAUUUUCAUCAAACGGUCAAAUAUCAUUGGUCAAAAGGGUCCUCUCAUUGGGCUCAGAGAGGACCCAAGUGCAUCAACCAGAACUAUUGCUAUUAUAACAAUUCAUGAAAUCAAUUAAACAAUAAUUUUCCUUCUGGCAGGCAUGUUAGUUAUUUCUUAUUUGGCCAAUUGCCUAGUGGAUUUGGUAGAUUUAACCUCUCCACCACAAACACAUUUAAAAAUUUCCAGAAAUCCGUAACGUAAAAUUUAAAAAUAAAUAUUAAUAACAGCAAGUUCUUUUCACCGACCGUGACCGAGAUCUGUCACAUAUCCAAAAUGUCACCUCCUUAUCGCAAAAACCAAAUUUGACUUGGGAUAAAUACCGUGUACAAAUUAAACGCGUUUCUCUAGCUUUUGCGUAAAGAGGCAACCCAACACUAAACUAGGAAAACGUUGGGUUGACAAAGAUACCAUGAAGAAUAAAGGGGUUAUGCAAUCCACUUUGCAAGAUAAUCAAAGUUUCCCGUUGUAGACUUGUCUUAACCCAACACUAAACUAAGAAAACGUUGCUUUCCCGUUGUAACAUGAAACAACAUUAAACAACAUUAAACAAUAUUAAAUAACAUUAAAUAACAUAAAAAUUAUACAACAUAAAAAAAACCAUUUAACAACAUAAAACUUAAAAUGCGUACUUCUUGCUUCUUGUGGCCUAAAGAUGUGCAACAAGAUCUUGAUGUAGGUACUUGUUUGUGGCACGAAAACGUAUCAUCCUAGCCGUUGGAUUUGAAUUUUUUUUGUUUUCGGCCAAAAAAUUUUAAAUUUAAAAGUUGAAGAUGGUGAGAAAUAUGAUCCUACACUGUUCAUUAAAAUAUUAAUUUCUUGAAUGACCAAAAGGCUAAAACAAGCCAUCCUUCGGUUGGAGAUGCCUAAGGAGAGACUAGAGAUAGAGAGUUUCCUAUAUAUGAUUUUCAUUAACAAGAUUGAAAUGAUUUCAGAGAGAAGAUCAAGUAUGGUUAUUUUUAUUUUGUAGAGUGUAGACAUUAUAACUAUACAUUCAUAAUAACAUGAGUAAUGUUAUAUUUAUCACAUUUGUACUCUUUCUCUGAUAAAGGUAGGGUUCAUCAACACAUGUGGGUUCUAUUUGCCCAUCAACACAUGCGGAUCUCAUUUUUAUUAGAAAAAUAGUACAAAUAUGGUACGGAAAAUAUGAUAAGAUCGCAAUUUUGUAAUAACAUAUAUACUCAACUAUUUAUAUACCGACCCAUCUCCUUUUAGUGUAGAUAAUAUCGUUUGUUAAAAAAAAUGUUGAACUUGUCAUAAUCAUUGAAUCCAUUUACCAUGAACAAACGGCAGUUUACUAAACUUGCCCUCAGAGUAUAUAUAAAAGGUGAAUCACAAUCUAUUGCAUUAAUAUAAGGAAACAAUUUAUAGGGUUUGACGGGUGACUUAAUAUGCUAUAUGGCACAAUGAAAAUUAAGUUCACACUUUAUCCCAAAUAAGGUGUUGCACCUUUAAUUUAUGGAUGCUGGUUUGACGUGUGACCGAAAUAAUCAAAUUGUAGCCAUUAAUCAUUUUACAAGUAAUAAUAUGUAGUUUUUACUGUUUACGAUUCACACAACAAUCUGCUAGGAAGUAGAAAAUGCAGUACUUGUCCCUCUCACAGAAGUCAUGAAUAAUUAUCAAAUUCAAAGAUAAAGAAAAACCACACAAUUUACAAGAGGAAAGAAAAUGAAGGGAUAAAGAAAGUAAGAAAGGAAUACCUCUAUGGGAGGACUCUUAUUUGCUUCAGAUGCCUACAAUAUUCAUCAUAUAAACACUGAUUAAGUAGUCAUCGAAAACCAAAACAAAUGUCGAACAUAGGGUGAAAAACAGAAAGAAUAACCGCAGCUCAUCAUACCAAUAGAGAUAGAACUGCCCGAUGCCCAAGUAUGACUGAAAAAUGGCAAUCCAAACAUGGCGCCUUCUAGCUCAUCAAACUGUCAAAACCUAGGUUCCACCAAAAAGAUACAAGUCACCUAGUUACUUGUAAAAUAAAAAUCUGUUUCAAAAUAGUGGAAAAUAUUAUUAACAUUGUUCAAAGUCCACAUUGUUGUACCUACCAAGAAACAAGAAGGAUUGUAUCUUAUCAUGAAAAAGAACAUAGGUACCUUUUCAAUUGUAAUUGUACAAAAAUGAGAGACCACUUCCGAACUUCUCUUGGAACUUCAAUCAAUUUCUGCCCACUUUUAAAUGCCUUGACAUACUUAAGCCUAUUUCUUUGAGCUUCAGUUUUGGCUUCUGAUGCCUUUAAAUUUCUUAAAGAUUCUUACCAAGUUUUACAAACUCACUUCUAUACAACCAUUUGUCAGUAUACAUACCAUUUUCUUUGAGCUUCAGUCUUUGCAACACCAAAACCCCCCAAAUAGACCCGGAAUUUUGCAAUGUGCAGGGAAUAUACAAAAAAAACCCUCCUAUCCAUCUAAAACGAAAUCAGAACCCAAACCACAAUCAAAAUCCGUAAAAUUAAUUUAGCCAACCCUAAAUCUAAUAAUUCUAACAAAUAUUAUAGUAUCAAUUGAGAGAGAAUUUGAGAAGAUACCUAGAGAUGAAAGGAAGAGCGUUUCCUCUGAUAGGGGUUCCGUGAAAGCAUCUGUUGACCAGAAAAGAAAAGGCAAAAAACCCCAAAUUACAUAUCAAGCAAUUAUAGAUAGAUCGAACCUUGAAAAUUGAAAUUUCAAACAAGAGAAAGGUUAUAAACUUACAACGAUCUGGGUGUUGGUUACUGGGUUUGGAUUUGGGUUUCUGAUAAGAGAGAGAAUCGUAUGAGGAACCGAUAGAGGAACUGCACCGGCAACAGAGAGCAACUGAUAUGGUGGAGAAUAGAGAUGGGCAAAAUAUCCCGGUUAUCCGCCCAUUUAAAGUUCACAGUUACGGUUAUGGUAAUUGAACGGUUAUGGGUACUACCCGUGGUUAUAACGGGUAUCUAUUGGUUAUGGGUAUUAUCCGCGGUUAUAACAGGUAUUCAUUUACCCAUUUAAUUUCAUAUAUGUAAAAUUUAUAAUAUUUUUAACAGUUAUAACGCGUUUUUGUAUUUGUUGCCAAACUUUUCGUAUACAAAAAAUUUGAAGCACAAGAAGCCAACAAGGAGAAAGAUCAAAGAGCUUACUUGAAGCUUAUGAUCUAUCCUGCGGUUAAUAGAAAGUACUGGUAUUAGUGUAGAAAAAUGUUUGUUUUUAGAAGCUUUAUUUUGUAAUCAUAUGAAUUAUAAUUAAAGACUUGCUUGGGUGUAGUAAAAAAAUAUCGUUUGUAAACUAUUAUUUCAAUUAUUAGAAUUGUAUGAUGACCUAAAUGAUUAAAAUAGAGAAAUGCAUGCUAAAAUGUAUUUAUAACAGUGUUUAAUUGUCAGAUUUUUUUUUUUUUUGUAAUUUUCAAGUUGUUAAAAAAAACAUGCAGAGAGGUGAAAAAAGGGAUUAAAAAAUGAUAAACGGGUUCAAAACGGGUAAACGGGUAAAUGAUUAUGGUUAAAUAGGUAAACGGUUAUGGGUAAAUGGGUACACGGUUAUGGGUAUGAGUAUAACCGUUUAUGCAAUUACCCAACGGGUAAACGGCUAUGUGGGUAUGAACAUAAAUGGUUAUGAGUAAAUAACCGCGGUUACCCGCCCGCUAUAACCAUUGCACAUCCCUAAUAGAGAACAUACGAGAAUAGCCGCUUGGAUGGUCAAUCCAAGAAGAGAAAAUCUUGCCACAAUCACGGUACUUGAAAAAAAAAACAAUUUUAAAGGAGGGAAACAAUCGCGCCUUUUUUUUAAUAGACUCUGUCGACGAUAUUCUUGACAAAUAGUCGGGUGAGCUUAUUUUUCACAACAUUUUAUUUAGGACUAGGUUCGGUUGGCAAAUCGUGUCAAAUUUCUUGUGCCAUUUGCCAGCCACAUAUACAUAAUUACCAAAAAUCAGUUACCGUUCGCCAACCAUCUUCUUGCGGUUGCCAAAAAUCGGUUCAACCAAAAUGAUUGGCUGGUUCGGUUGGUAAAUGGCACAACCGGUGGUUUCCACUUCUUCCUCGCUAUCUUCUAGUUGCAAGGGCUCAAUUUGAUUUUCAGAUUGGGAUGCUUGUUCGGUUGCAUUGUGUGGUUCAUUUUGGGUUAAUCCAUGUUGUGCACUAGCAAUUAAUUGGCUAGACUCCAUCAUCCUAAACAUAAGCAACACAUAUACAUUCAAAAUCAUAUAUAUGUACGUGUAUAUAUAGUAUCAGUAAUCAUCAUGUUAUCAAUUUUGUUAACAAUAUUUUCUAUAUUGAUUAUGGCAUGAAUCAUAUACAUAUACAUAUAUUUUUUAAACCCUAAAACUAAGGAGUUAUUUAUUUUCUAAGCCCUAAAAUUGAGGAGUCAAGCAUGUAAAAAAAUACUUAAAAUAUCUAAAUAGAAAAAGAAAAAAAAAAAAAAAAAUAUAUAUAUAUAUAUAUAUAUAUAUCGGUAGGUAUGGCAUACCGCCGACAUACAAAAUCAAUUACCAAAGCCAUGCCAUUAAUUGUCGGUUCGGUAAAAUGCCAACCGAUUAUGAAAAAAUGCCAAAACUAUACCAUACCAUUUUGAGCCAACCGGUAUGGUUCGGUCGGUAAAUCGGCUUAUGGCAAAAUUUCUCACCCCUAAUUUUAUUUGUCGCCUUAAACCUAUUGGUUUCUAGCCUACAAUUUGGAUAUUUUGUUGGGGAAAGAUUUUUGUACCAAUAAAAUUUUGCUUUGUCAGCUUAGGAUUUGUCGGCAAAAUGACAUUUUCUAGUCGUUAUAAUAUUAGGUAGAUCAAAUUUGUAAACUAUGUGAUGUGUCACCAAUAGGAAAAAAAUUCAGUGUGCUGAAAAUACAGUCUAGAACACCAAGUGUCAUAAUAUAUACUUGGUUGGAAAUUUUUUAUUUUCAAGUUUCCAACUAAUUGUAUUGUAACAGUUGGUGUUCCAAGCUAUUUUCUCGAUGCGUUGGAAAAUCUCUUCACCAAUUAAAAAUAAACAUAUUAAUUAACACUUAAGUAAUAAUCAAAGUAUCAACAACUACGUCAUAAAAUUUACGAAAUAUGAUCUUAAUUAAUGAUCUCCAUGGCAUUACCCUUUAUCUUAGCGUAUACGUACGCCUUCACAUGUUUAUUUGCUGAUAUGCAGCUUGAGUAAAAAUUUCUUUUUAAGAACAUAUAUGUGAAUAUAAACAUAUAUAUCUAGUGAUCCAUGUUGCGUUAUUUAAAAAUAAACAAAUUAAUUAAUUAAUAAAUGAACUGUGUGCAUGUCUGUGUAGAGUAAUCCAUAUGCAUGCUUGAAUCCUGAUCACCACGAAACCAUAAUAUAAGCUACUCAAGGCCCGGAAGCUAGGAUUGAAGAGAAAAACACCCAGUCAGAUUAAGCCAAUAUAUCAAAGUUAAUACUUCGAAAUGUAAGCUUUAAGAUAGAAAAAUCACUUACUACCUUGAGCAGUCGAGCUUCUUCAAUGGCAUGAAGCUUUUAGCAUGAGAUUGACUGCAUCACAACUAAAAUUUUCUCUUGGAAACUACAUAAGGAAUAGCAUGUAUACCUAUAACGUUGAGAAAGUACGCCAAUUUUUUCCUUCUGCACAUUCAUGUUUAAAAGUAAUCCUCAAAUGAACUUGCCCACAAUGAAAUGCAAUUUGAGGUAGUCGAGUGUGUUCCAUUUCCAUUCCAUGGGAAUUACUACUAAACUUUGAGAUGGUAAAGGAUUCAUGAAAUUUUUUACUUUUGAGAUAGCCUCUUUAACAUUUCUCGACUAUAACAAUGAGGGAAUACUUCACCUUGUAUCAAACAAGGGAGAGCGAAAAUCAACUACUAAUAGCAUCACAGAGCCAGCAGAAGAUUGAGGAGGCCAUGAAGAGGAGAGAGAAAAUACACUCUUUUUUUUUGUAAGGACAGAGAUAAUACAUUCAGUAAGGGGUACUGAUGUUUAUAUGCAAUGCUGAUUAGGUUUAAAUAGUCCUAUUUAUUCUGUACAGUGCCAAUAUUACCACCCGUUAGUACACUUUCAAGACACUGUACUCCAGUGUGUGCGCUAUGCAGUACGUAGUACUCCUCAUUUUUUGGGGAAAUUCAUUAUUGGUCUUCAUAUCUUCUUUAUUUUCCUUUUCCUCAUUGUGCCACGUGUUUAAAUCACUAAUUGUAGGUAAUCUUUCAAUUUAAUUAAAUCUUAUGUAAAAAAAGAUAUUUAAAUAUCAUUUAGUAUUACAAGAUAGUGAUAUUCCUCUUUAGUAUAAAAUUUUUAUAAUUAAAAGCGUUCAGUUUUUUAAUCUUCAUUUGAAUACUAUCUAUAAAGAAAAAUUAUUCGAAUAAGAGAUCGUUUAUGCAUUCAAAUGUACAAAAUGCAUCGACAGUGUGAGAACGAAUUAAUAUAUUUUUGAUGAAGUACAAUUAUUGAAUACAUUUGAAUGAUCAAAUGAUAUAUGAUUCAAAAUACAUAUUAAGAUAAUAAAUAUAAGUGAAUUGUUAUUAGCACUCCAAGAAUCUUAUUAUACACUCUAAAUUUUCUAUAUUUUGAAUGAAAAAUAAAUUUAUGAAGAGUGUAGAAUGAGAUUUUUUAAUGCUAAUAACACUUCUCUAAAUAUAAUUAUGAAAUUAAUAAAGUAAAGAUACAUGACCUCGUGAAUGAUGUAUGUAUUAUUCAAAAAAUUAUUAAAAACAAAUUGAAAAAGGACGCUGUUGUUGCCACCACUUAUGCAAUGAUCGUCGCUGCCAUCACCAACCCCCAACACCCCAUUACAGCUCAUAAAAGCACAUCAUAAGCAAUUUAUGAAAUAAAUUUACUGGAAUACUAAUUUCCCCCUUAGUUUAGGUCACCAAUGUUUAAAUUUAGGGGUGUGAUAUGCACAUACCUUUUUUUGCUUCUCUCACACUUUUUUUGUUGUUGUCGAAUCAGAUGAAUUGAAGAAGAUCAAUUGACAGAAAUUAACAAGGGGUGUAUGAAAAGUAAAAAUGGAUGUGUAGAUAACACAUCCCUAAAUUUAUCACAACUUUCAUUCCAAAUUUAAUUUUUAUGCGUAGUUUUGUUUGUUCAAAUUUACUUUGACAUUUCAAUUAGUAUUAAAAUCUAAUUUAAAUUUUAGCGUUCAAGCUAGAAAAAGUGUUCCAUUUAAUAUUUAAUCUCAGUUUUUCUCUUUAUUCUUUUAUUCCGAUUUGGUUGCAUCGUAUCUCCAUUUUUCUCGGUGUUGUAUGUUCAUAAGGCCUGGGAAACGUUGGCACGGAGUGAAGGGUACUCACUUUUUGGCCCAAAAUGCAUAAGGCAUGUAGAUAUGUUAAUCAAAUUUUGUAAACUAAAGGAUAUAGAAGUUGAUACUUAGAUUAUAAUUUAAGAUAAUACUAAAGAGACUAAAUUUGCAAACUAAAUGAUGUGUCACCAAUAAAAAUAAGCACGUUUAUCAACGCUUAAGUAAUAAAUCAAUCAUCAACUUUCAUGUCCUUUAGUUUCCAAAAUUUAAUAUACAAAUUUAGUCUCCCAAGCAUUACUCUAUUACUUAAGUAUUGAUUAACAGACUUAUUUCUUAUGGUGACAUAUUAUUUAAUUUACAAAUUUAGUCAACCCAACAUUACUCUUUUGAAAUUGUCUUGUCCACUGAUAUAAUUCUAUUUUUCUUGUGAUCAAAACUUCAAAUGUUAGCAAGUCGCACGUAAAGUCACUUCUGAGAGAAUGUGCUCACAUUGUAGUUGAAAGAUUAUGUGGCUAGCAACAUUACAAAUUUAAUUUGGUAUAAUUUAAAAUAUAGAUUGAGGAAAAAAUGAUCACAUUAACUAGAAACUGAAAAGGUUUCAGCACAGUUUGUUCAAGCAAGAAACUCAAUUUUGAUGCUACCGAUCUUAACAGCCUGAGCGCCGUACCUGGGCACUAAAGUCACCACCACACUCUCAUCAUCUUCAGCACCCAAAUCCUCCAACAGGUCCGUUAACCCCAACCUUAAACAACUCUUGCUCUUUUCCUUCUGCUUAUGUGGAACACUCACAAAACUCCCAGCAAACUCGCUCUUGUCGGGUCCACUCGGUGCCGCAUCCUCAUCGUCCACGUCAUUCACAUACACAUCAAACUUCACAGCCACAUCUUUGUCAAGCUCAAUCCCCUGAAUCACCAGUAUCUCCUCCUCAUCCUCUUUCUCCUUCUUGCUCCUCUUCUUCGGCUUCGGCCUUGACACCACCGUACUUAUCUUUGUCUCCAAAUUUAUUGGAAAAUCUUUACCCGCCACCACCUUCCCCGAUGACGUCGUCUCAGCGGCCUUCGCCACUCCAGCCGCCUUUGCCUUUCUCGCAAGCUUUGUCCGACGUGGCGUCGGUCUAGACUUGAGCCAUGGAAUCUCAACAUCUUCAUACGUAUACCCUAGCUUUUUAUUAUCAAGAGUGUCCCUCACCGUGACCCUAACAAGCUCAGCAUUCUCGUCAUAAAACAAAAACCCCGUAUCCAACCAAUCCUUAUCGUUAAUAUCUUUAUUUUUAGUCCCUAUACUUUUCCAAAUAUUCCACAUUCGAUCUAUAUUCGAAUGGUGCGAAAAAAAUAUUGGAUCCCUUGCAGCGGAGUAAAAAUUCCCCAUGUCUUCAAAAUUAGGUUGCGUGUUAUCUCCGGUCCAUGUAUGAACCGGACCAUGUGGGGUCGUUUCGAUUGAACCGGCCCCUGGAUCUGGUUCGGUGCCAGCCCUGUAGGGCGAACCAAAGAACAACAGCGGUUUCUUGGAGUUGGAAACCAUCUGCCUAUACAUGAUUUUGAGGUUGGCGUCGAUUUGAGCAUCCUUGGACAUUGUUUCAUCCGUGCCGUUAAAGUCAAGAUCGAUGAGAGUCGGCGGCUGAUGGCUGGCAGCGCGGAGCUCGUCGUAAAGCGGAGAGUCCGGGUUAGCGAACAAGGCAGGGAGUUGCAUGCCAGCUGGCGCGUCCCAGUUCCAAAACGGCAACGCGAACGUCGGAUCGUCUAUGAGUUUGGCCAAGAUUCUUUCGUGGAAGUAUAGGUAGUAACGAUGGAAGGGGAAGAAAAGCCAGGAUUGAUGGAUUUGGAGCUCGAGGUUGGGGAAGCCGACUUGAUCGUACGCGCCGUCGCAAUAGGCACAGUGGAUAUCGGCUUGCUGGGUGAAGCUACGCGGAUCGUCGUCCGGGAGGGCUUUCAUGAGCUCGAUGGCUUUUGAAUAUUUUUCGAUGUAGGCUUUAUCCACGGUGUGAGCUGCCGGCCUGACGCGGAGUUUGGUAGGGGAGGGGAAUUUGAAGUCUACGAUUUUUUGGGACGUUGGCGGGCAACAGUUGGUCGGGACUGCUCCACUUGGAAAGUCCGCACCUCCGCAUUUGGCUAGGUCAGGCGGCGACACUGGCUUUGCAACAGCGAAGGGGUCGCUGCCAAGACCAGCCACUCCACCGUACAGGCUUCCGAGACCUAUAAGUACAUGUCUUCUGUCUAGGUUUACUGGAGAAAGGUUUUCAUGGUCGUGAUCGUUGGAGCUAGUGGAAGGGUUUUUGUUUUGGUCACUACUAUUAUUCGUGGCUUUGCAUGAGACGGCUUGUAAAUUGGAAUGCCUAGGGUUUUCAAAUAAGGAAAUUCGGUGAUACUUUUGGGAGAAAGGGAAGAGAGAAGUUGUGGGGAUGAUACUUGUGGUGGAGGUGACGAGUGGAGCUGACAUAGAAGCCAUGGUUACUUGACUCUGAAUACUACGUUGUAUAGGCUUUGCUUUUAUAAUGUGUUCUAGGUUUUACUUUUCUUUGCACAGGUGGCAGGCCGUACACAUUGGCGGUCCUUAAGGGUUUGACGAGGAAUACUACGUAGUCAUUUAGUACAGGGCAACCAUGCACUAUAGCACGUGGCAUGUAAUAUUUACGUAGUCUCAGAAGGUGAAGCGGUUUUGGGCUUCUUGUGUACCAAUAAUAUUUACGUACUCAUUAUUCCACUGGAUGGAUUGCGUGCACGUGAUCUUUAUUCAAACAAAUCACUAUUGACCAUAUAUUGCAAUUGGUUAAUGUUAGGCAAAUUAAAUUUUUACAUCAAAUAAUGUGGUUGCUGAUUAUUGAAUUAUUAUUUAAGUUUGAUUAAUGUGCUUAUUUUUUAUCGGUAAUACAUCAUUUGAUUUGCAAAUUUGAUUUACCUAAUAUUACCAGUUAUAAUUUGUAUAAAUGGACUGGUACCUAACAUUACCAAUUGUAAUUUGUAUAAAUGGACUCGUACCUAACAUUACCGGUUGUCCCAAGAGCACACGCUACUGCUCAAGAAGCAAAGUUCUUAUUUGCCCAAAAAAAAUCAUGGUUUUUUAAUUGAUGCUCUCAUUUUAAUUUACUAGCCCCUUACUUGGCCCUUUUUAUUUAUCAUUUUAUACAUAUUAAUAUUUUGUUUGUAAAAUAUAUUAGUGUUAGUUUUAUCAAAAUUAAAAAUAAAUAAAAAACUUAGCUUUAGUAUUUAGUUAUUGAAAUUGUAAAAAAAGUGAUAAAGUAUUGGGUGCUUUGUUUGAAAAUUUUCAAAAUGAUAUUGUUUUUACCACUGAACCCCUGUUAUAUACAGUGAUGGCUAAUUUGUCAAGUUCUACGAAGUUGGGAUACCCAGCGUUUUAGCAUAUAACAUAGCUUAGUAUUUCAAGCAUAAUUAAUUAACGAAAAAUUAGUAUCCGGUCCCUAGUUUUUACUGUUCAUUGACUAAGACCUUAUUAGUUCUCAAAUUUUGAUUCAAGUCCCUAGCAUUAAUGUGAUAAUGAAUUUACAUGUUUAUUAUAUAAUUUUUUAAUAUAAAAAUUAGUAAUUAAUUUAGGGUUUAAUACUCACACCUCUAUUAAACUUCUAAUUAAUUUUCAAUUCAGACAUUUCCAAAAUAAUAAAAAAUUAAAUUAAAUUAAGUUUGUACCUAUUAGUUUUUUUUUAUAUAUAAAAAGAUUCUCAAUUUUUAAUCUUAAAUGUACAUCUUAAAUGUACCCAUUCUCAAAUAUAUCAAUUUGUUAUAUGUAAAAUGUACCCUUUUUUAAUAUAAAAUCCAUUCAAAAUUUUUAAUCCAUGUUUAAACUUAUAUGGGUACAUUCUUUUUCGUUGAUUUGAGAAUGUAUCCAUGUUUUGGUACAAUAAAUUUUUUGUUAAUUUUGGUUAAUGUACCCAUACAUAUAUGUACACACACACACACACACACACACACAAUAUAAUAGAGAGUAUAAUUUAUAUUUUAUUAUUUUUAAUCCCAUAAAUGAUGGGUUUUAUUUAAAAUCUCAUUAAUAUAAACAAUUAUAAAUUUCAAUUUUUAAUUUUUAAUUUAAAAAAUAUAGUAACUUACAUUAUUACAUUAAUGUCAGGGACCUCAAUAAAAAACUAAAAACUAACAAGGUUUCAAUCAAAGAAUAUUGAUAGCUAGGGACCACAUCCAAAGUGUCCCUUAAUUAAAGGGUAAAUUACAUAGUAACCCCUCAGGUUUGAUGUCUAUUACAACCCCAUACAACAUCUUUAAAACAUUUCACUUUCAUACCUCAAGUACUAUUUUAUUUCAAUAUAAUACAUCUGUUAGAUUUUCCAUCCAUUAAUCCGUUAAAUGCUGACAUGGAUACCACAUUUGUGCCACGUGGCUGCCAAAUGCGUGUCAUGUGGCAAAAAUAAUAAUUUUUAAAUUUAAAAAAAAAUGAAUCUUCAACCCAAAAAAAAAAAAAAAAAAAAAACCCCAAACCCAGAUCCCAUCAACCCCCCCCAAACGAUUAUCCCUUCCCCAUAUCCCCCAUCCCACCCCCCAACCCCCCCUCUGCGACCAACCUUACCAUAGCGCCCCCCAACCUCGCGACCCACCUCACUCAAGGCCCUAAUCCACACUACCUACAACCCAGAAACGAAAAAAAAAAACAAAAAACAAAAAACUCAUCUCCCUUUCCCUGCAACCCAAAUCCCAUCUUCCCUAAUGGGUAUGGAUUUAAGAAGUGGGGUGUGUAGAGGAGGGAAGAGGGUGGGUGCGGAGGAUGGGUAUGGUGGGUUGCAAGGAAGGGGGGUCGGGUAAGAUGAAGAUGGGUUUUUUUUUUCUCUCUCUCUUCUUCUUCUUCUGGGUUGCAAGUUGUAGGUUGGGGUUUUUUUUUGGGGGGGGGGGGGAGGGAGGGAGGGAAGACGACGUGGGGUUUGGUUUUUUUUUUUUAAUUUAUUUAGAAGAUUUAGGUUUUUUGAAAAAAAAAAAAAAAUUCCACGUGGCACAAAUGUGGCAGCCACGUCAGCAUUUAACAGAUUAAUAGAUGGAAAAUCUAACGGAUGUAUUAUAUUGAAAUAAAAUAGUACUUGAGGUUAGAAAGUGAAAUGUGUUGAUGCACAAAACCGAAGGUCUUUGAACAACGUAAAUCCGAUCGUGAAUAUGCAAGUAAUGUAAAUAACACAAGAUGUAUCGUGGUUCACUCCAAUGUUUGGGCUACGUCCACACUGAUUAUUGUAUUUCUCUGAGAGGUGAGGGGGAGAGCUUUGAGAAAGCUUAGAGCUUAGGGGAUGUGAGAAGGCUUAAGAAUUGGCCUCCCUUAUUUGUGAGGGUGAUGAGUCCUUUUAUAGAAUAAGGGAUCCUCACUUAUUACAUAUUUGCCCAUUCCUUUAUUACAUAAUUACAUUUAAGUCCCCUGAGUACUUGUACAAGGUCUAAAUACGGAGGCCCUAAGUAUGGUACAAACAGUAGUCCCCCAAGUCUUCAGUCAAGAGAGUCUUUUGGCUAGAGACUUGAAAUUCUGUCCAUGUGUGAGCCGAAAUAACUAGAUGUCGUCUAGAACUGAUAUUUGAUAUGCGGCAGUGCCCAUUUUGAAAUAAUGCUCAACUAGAAGUAGCACAUGCUGCGAGGCUGCUCUGCUUGUGUUGCCUUGGUUGGCUCGACUUGUGGCGUUGAAGGUGAGAGAGUCCCUUUUAUAGAAUAAGGGCUCGCUCCUCAUUACAAAGAUGAUGGGUUAGUUGGUGCUUGCGGUGAGGCGGAUGCUCAGCUGGCGGCGAUGCUCUCUAAUGAUAGUGAGGGAGUCCAUUUUAUAGAAUAAGGGAUCGCUCCUCAAUACAUAAAUAAUAGGUGCUCUCUAAUGAAAGUAAGGGAGUCCCUUUUAUAGAAUAAGGGCUCACUCUUCAAUACAUAAAUAAUGGGCUAAGUCCCCUAAGUAUUUUUUAUGAGGCCUAAUUGAGGCCCAAUAUAUGGUACAUAAUGUAGUCCCCCAAGUCUUCGGUCAAUAGAGUCUGUUGGCUGGAGACUUCAAAUUGAAUCCAUGUAUGGGCCGAAGUGGCGGUUGUUCGGAAGCGGUAUUUGUAUACCCUGCACUGAAGCUUUAUAGGUGAAGCUUUGCAAGUGAAGCUUUGAAGCUGGAGCUCAGUAAAUGAAGCUUUUGAAGCUAGAGCUUUUGUAAAUGAAACUUUUGAAGCUGGAGCUCUAUAAAGGAAGCUUUUGUAAAUGAAGCUUUUGAAGCUGAUUCACAUGAGUGAUGCUCAUGAAUGUUUAUGUUGAUUGAUAUGAGUGAUGCUUAUGGAUGUUGACAUGAGUGAUGCUCAUGGAUGUUGACGUGAUGCUCAUGAAUGUUAACAUGAGUGAUGCUCAUGAAUGUUUAUGUAUGAUUGAUAUGAGUAAUGUUCAUGAAUGUUUAUGUAUGAUUGACAUGAGUAAUGCUCAUGUAUAAUUUGAAGUACUGGGCAUACUUUUGAUUACCUGGUUGGCGAUAAUAGCGGCAGGGUGCCGAAUAAUUUUUUGUAGUACUGGGCGUACUUUUGGUCACCUGGUUGGUGAUAAUAGCAGCAGGGUGCCGAAUAAUUUUUUGUAAUACUGGUCGUCCUUUUGGUCACCUGGUUGGUGCUAUUUUGAGCUUAUGGGCCUUCGCCCUCUACACAACAUUCCAGCCUAUUUAUUUUGGGCUUUACCGUUUUUUUUAAUUACCCUAUGAUGGGGUUUAUACAGAUGUCUCCGAAAGAUAUGAAAAAUAAAUUACAUCAUUCAAAAAUAAAUCCGACCCUCUGCUCAAUGGGUCACGCCAAUAAUUCUUUUUUUUUAUGCAUGCCAUCACCACCGCAAUUAUGUCUGCUUCUUUUUAUCUUCUUUUGCUUUCUGCUUUUGCUUUUACUUUAUCUUUCUCUUUUGGCAUAUGGCAGACAACGCCAAAACGGAAUAAUGAAUUAUUAUGAGAACAUGAAUCUUAUCUUUUGCCUGGUUUUCCACUAGUGCUCGUGGUAUUCUCAGGAGAUUGGAUCUGGGGGUAGGCGACUACCCCAGCACCUUGCCCUGAUACGUAAUAGCCUGAUGUCCCACUGCCAUCUCCAUACUGGAAGGUGUACGAACAAUGGUUAUUCUGUGUGGAACAAAUAGAAUCCGAUUGAGAUUCAAGACUGCACCUUCGAUCUGAGCAAGAAAUGAAUUGUGACGUUGAUGAACUUCUAGGAGGAGAAGCAGAGGAUCUUUGACUAUGAUGAUCUUUGAAUUCCAGAUGAAACUGAAUAAAAUGCAGGUUGUGGAGCUUGAUGUGGGCCCAGAUCUGCUUGACAGCUUUGGGGCGGGAGGAUUCCUUGACACUGAGGAAGAUUCCCAGAGCUGGAGGGAUGAGAAUCGACUUCAUAAUCCCGAUGGUGGGUUUGUGCUUGGUCGAAAGAUCAUUUCUGGCAGGGGAAAACAUGUACCAUACCUAUUGCAAAUCUUGCAAAUUCUCUGCUUCUCCAUGGAAGAUGAAGAGCAUCGAAUCUCUGUUUUCUCUCUCUCUCUCUAAAACGUUUUCGUUAUAGAGUGCCCCAAUAGAAGUGGACGGGCAGUGAGCAUGCCAUUUAGUGCCUCCUCCAAGACAGUAACUGAUACGGUGGUCUUUAUUGGCACUCCAAGUUUACUAAAAAGGGCAGCAAAAAUAGUAUUUACAGCACCCAAACUUGAAAGAUCUAGCUCCAACUAGUGGCUUUCUGUUUCAACAGCCUGAAAGCCGGCAGUGUCAUACCGACGCCGUUUGUCUGGAUCAAAUAAUAUAUUAUAAGAAAACAUGACCUUCUUGAAGAUAUCAGCUGUUUUAGAGUCAUUAGCAUUUUUGUCAGGAUGGUACUUGAGAGCCAUUUUCCGGUAAGCACUUUUGAUUUCCUGGUUGGUGGAAUUCCUAUUGAGGCCGAGGACCGCAUAAGGGUUUUGUCGGAGCUGCUUCUUAGCUUCUUGCUUCUCCGAUUUUGAUCGGCUGCCCUGCAUUUUUGAAAUUGACGGUCAAUUUCUUCACAAAACCCUAGAAAUUGCCUCUCGAUUACCUCCGAAACACAUAAUUCACGACUCUUGGUUGAAAUUUUUUUUUUUCAUUUCAAAGAAGUGGCGGAGGUAAAUCAGUUGUCACAUAGCACCGGAGCAUGAGGAAAACCUAGAAAACCAAGAGGCAGAGAGACUCCAUGCACAUCUAACCUGGAACCUUGCAGGAGAGAGCAGAGAGAAAGAGACAAGAAAGAUUGAGGGAGAAGCGAUCUUGGUGCAUCGUCUGUGAUUCCUUGGUGAUUUGCUCGAUCGGGACUCUGAAUUCGUGCAAGUCAUUGCUGUUAAGCAAGAAUCGCGAGGAGUCGGAGAGCUUGGAAAUCGAGAAGGAGAGAGGGCCUUUAGUCAGGGCUUGGAGGGUGUCGGACUCCGUCGGCCAAGAUUGGUGCACGGUCACGGCGUCUGGGCCCAUGGCGGUUGUGUAAAUGGGGGAGGUUCUAGGAGUCCAAGAAAGAAGAAGAAGCAGCGACCAUAGAUCUGGGAGUCCAUGGCGCUUGAAAGAUACGGCGAACAAGUCGGACUUGCUGCUGGGCAGCUGGCGGUGAUAAUGUUGGUGCAUGGGUUUUGGAGUGGGAGUGUUUGGAAUGGGUUUUUUGUUUAGUUUCUAUGUGUUUUUUCACAGAGAGAGAGAGAGAGAAGUGAUGGUGUUUAAGGGAUGAGUUUUGGAGCUUAGUGAAUGCUUUUUCUGGAAAAGCCCAGUGAGGUUUGUGGGUUUUUGCAGAUUUUGCAGAUUCGCGGUGGAGGUGAAAGAAUGAAAGAGAACCGACACAACUUUUCGUAUUGAUUCCCACAUACGGCGCCAAAUGUUGAUGCACAAAACCGGAGGUCUUGGAACAACGCAAAUCCGACCGUGAAUCUGCAAGUAAUGUAAAUAACACAAGAUGUAUCGUGGUUCACCCCAAUGUUUAGGCUAUGUCCACACUGAUUAUUGUAUUUCUCUGAGAGGUGAGGGAGAGCUUUGAGAGAGCUUAGAGCUUAGGGGAUGUGAGAAGGCUUAGGAAUUGGCCUCCCUUAUUUGUGAGGGUGAGAAGUCCUUUUAUAGAAUAAGGGUUCCUCACUUAUUACAUAUUUGCCCAUUCCUUUAUUACAUAAUUACAUUUAAGUCCCCCGAGUAUUUGUACGAGGUCUAAAUACGGAGGCCCUAAGUAUGGUACAAACAAAAUGUUUUAAAGAUGUUGUAUGGGGUUGUAAUAGACCUCAAACUUGAGGGGUUACUAUGUAAUUUACCCUUAAUUAAAAUAAGGGCAAAUGAAGAGGAUGGUUGAACUUGUUAAGUUUCUUAAGUGUGUCUAAUUUAAGUGUGUUGUUAAUAAACAUUUAUUAUGGAGGCAAAGAGAGGGAAGGUGCGGCAUAGAAAGAGAAGAGAGAGAUAUGUAAUUGUGAGUUGUGUUUUAUUCCAUCCCAUUGUGCAUUUAUUUAUAUUAGUUGGGAAAGUUAAUUCUUUAACCUUUUAGGAUUACAACUCUAAUAGGAAAAUAUAUAAUCUAAAAGAUAUGGUAGAAUCCCAUAAGAAUAUCCUAGAUAUGUUAGGAUUUACACAAUCAUAUUCCUAUUCCAAUAGGACUGCAAAACAUUUGUAUUUUUUUAUAAUUUUUUUGAUAAUUUGUUGGCAUUUUCAAUUUUUGUUAACAUUGAAAAUAUAACGGUUCAGAUGAAAAACCUUUGGAAAUCCAACAUUGAAAAUAUAACAGUUUGACGUUGGGCUGUGGUGAAGGAGGCUGGGCUGUCACGUGGGUGGGGCCCUCCCUCUCCCACUUGGUGAUUCAAAGGGCGCAGGCCCGUGCAACAAUUGAGGCAGCCCAUAGAGAUCCUGCGUUUCACCCAUUUGCCAUUUUUUCCACCGCUGGAGCACCAAAAUUCGGUCCAAAGGCAGGGGUUCCAAUUGCAUGGGCAAUUUGGUUUCCGCUGGAGGUGCUCUUUGUCGACUUUGUUUAUUCUUUCUUUUUAGCUUUGCAGUAAUAUUGAAGUAAUCACUCCAAUUGUAUCCGAACUUUUGUUGUCCAUCAAUUUGUAUCAAAACUAUUGGUUAAUUUACAUAUUCAGACUAACCUUCUCAUUAUUUUUAGUAUUUUUAUCAUAAAUAAUAUCUAAAAUAAUCACAUUUUAUUCAACAACCACUCAAUUAAAAAUUAAUUAAUGUUGUUUCUAAACCAUUACAUCGAGCUUUUGUAAAUACACAUCAAUAUUGCAGCGAUCCGAGGCAUUGUUUUCUACGCCUUGGAUUUGGCGAAUUGGAAAAGAGAAGAGUUACGAGUAAAAGUCCCUCACAUUAAGAGGGCUCCUCCUCGGGGAGAUGAAGAUGAUGAUCUUUUGUUUUUGUUUCUUAAUGAUUAAUCCACGCAGCAACAUAUAAUUAGAUUGUUGGGAUCUACUCAAGUUCCAUAUCACGCACUAAUAUAAAGUUUGACAAACGAAACGAAAUAUGUGCUCUCGAAAGCAAAAUGAGGGCACUGCUCCAAGAACAGGAAGGGCUCCUUGUCGAGGUUGCCAUCCGCCAUGAGGGAAAACCGGAAGAAGUUAGACAACAAUGAUGACAUCGAUUUGCAACACCCAUAUUGGGACAUCAAACUGUGAAAUAAAUACUCAAAACUCCUGGAAAGUCCUCGGGACAACAAACUUUUAUCUCCUUCAAAUAUUUCAUUUUACCAAGUUUUAUGUUUGAAGGGAGGGAAAAAAAGAGAUGAGAGAAUCCUACUCCUUAUUCUUGAAUAUAUUCAGGAAUAACUAUUGAAUAAAGAGAGAAUGGAAGGGGAUCGAAAGAGGAGGGAAGAUAAUUCUAGUCCCAAACAUAAAAAGGACCACAACUUUUAAAUUAUCAGCACGAUCAUCAUCUGAUUGAAGAGACCAUUCAUUGUGAAACAUAUCGUCAAUCAAUAUGUCUAUAUCUAUUUAUAUACCACAUUUUUGGAGUAGGAUUCUCCCCCCUCCUAUUACCAUCCCCUUCCAUCCCCUUCCAUCCCCUCCUUUCAUACUUUUUUUUUUCUUAUUCUCUAUAUAAAAAAUUCAAAACAAGAUGUAGAUGUGUCGUAAUCGCAAUAGUUUAAAUAAAAGGAGAUGGAAGGAGAGAUAAAUUACGAGGGGAGAGAAUCUUACUCCCACAUUUUUCUUCUUCAUAAACAAAAGAGAGGUUCUAGAUUACUUGACUCUAUGCCUCAUUUUUUUCAUCAAGUAUUUGUGCUAAACGGGUUCAGUUUCAAGUAUUUUAGUUUUUUGUCAAAAUUGAGAAAACUGAAAAUCAAACAUUAAUAUGCAAAAUUAAAAAAUCAACACAUAAUUAUUUAGAAAUCGCAAUAGAAAAGAAAAAAUGGAGGUUUGUGAUGAAAAAUCUUUUAUACUAAGUAAUUUAGUAUCCUUAUGCAUGAAGAUAAUCAAUUCGUUCGUUAUGGUCAGACUCUUUUUGAAUUUUUGAACACAUUCUCCAUAGGGCCUUCUUAUUUGUUCCUUCUCCGAGUUGGGGUUAUGGAAGAAGUAAAAGAAGGAACCAAGAAGAAAGUAUUGGCAACAACCGAUUUCGUUACGGGACAACUCUUGAUAUUCAUAUCGAUCUAUUAUGUACCUUUGCAUCUAGCAUUAGACAAUAACUGUCAUAGCUUUACCAUAUUUUUUUGUUUCAUUUCUUCUGAAACAAUAACACACACUUUUUUAUUAUGUGUCUAAUACUAGGAAUUCAAUACAUAAUCUUAGCAUUCAAUAGUUAUUCCUGAAUAAUUUCAUUUUUCAAUUGAUCAACCAUUUCAUUUUUCCAAGUUCAAUCAAUGUUAGUCACAUUAGUCAACAUUUAUAUAUUUUGAUGCAACAACAAUAUGUUAUUUGUAACAAGUGAUUUUGCUAGUUGGUUAAUUGGUCACAAGUUAAUGUUCGGUUCAGUUCAGCUUUUCUCUCGAUUUUUUGCGAUUCGGUUUUUUCGAUUCUCUUUAGAUUCGGUUCGAUUUUGUUUUUUUAUUUAUACUUAAUUUUUUUUAAUCUGAAAACACCAAGAACAACACAAGCAUACUCAAUCAAACAACUAUCCUUCUCCACAAAUCACAGUAAUAAUUACAUUCAUUUAGCUAAAAUGCAAAUAACUAACAAACUCACAAAAAUCGAAUAAAAACUACAAAUUGCUUACUCUUUUUCUUUGGGUUUCACUCGAAAAGUGUCGGUAAAAUUUAGGGUUUGCAAGAACGCAACCGAAAUCCAAAACGGAGGCUCUGUGGCUUGUGGGCUGCUAUUGAGUUCCAGUACGGAAAACCUUGCUUACUCUCUAUCACGGUACAAAGUAUCAGUACCUUUAGCACUGUAUUUGGUAGAACCAAAUUAAAAGCUAACAUCAAUAACAACUACCAGAGACAUAAGCUCUUAUCAAUGCUUUGGAAACAGUCAUGUAUCUCCAAGUGUAAUGAUAUAAUUAGUAAGAAAUUUAAAAGAAAAAUGGUGAUUUCAUAUAAAAUCAAUAAAAAGUUACAAUAUUGACAAUAUAUCAACAAUUUUUAUGGGGUAAAUUACAUAGGACCCCCUCAGGUUUGAGGUCUAUUACAACCCCAUACAACAUCUUUAAAAUAUUUCACUUUCAUACCUCACCUACUAUUUUAUUUCAAUAUAGUACCUCCAUUACAUUUUCCAUCAAUUGAUCCAUUAAGAGCUGAAUUGGUUGCCACAUUUGACACGCCCCGAUCCCGAUAUCCUCGGGAUAUCAGGAUGGUCACGUGCUGGCCGACACCCGAGGGUGACGAAAGCCAUUUAUUGAGUGCAAUUGCUGAAAAUAAAGGAUAGAUAAAACUUAUAAAUGUAAAAGAAUAAGGAAUAUGCAUUUAAGGAACGUGUUCAGAGCAUACAACUAACUAGAACACUAAAAGAAUGAUAUAAAAUGGAAUGAAUAAAAGAAUGAGUCUUACACCAAGAGGACUCGAAGAUGCCGAUGCGGAAGUACCUUGAUUGUCGGGAUUGUACGCCUCGAUCCUAAAUCCUGAAGGGGGCGCAAAACAAACAUGAGUGGACCAAGUUGAUAUAUAUAUAAUAAAACAGUUAUCAAUAUACUAACCCCCAGGUUUAUGAAAACAAAUAUAUAAUGAUGAACAUAGGUUUUCCGAAACCUAGCAUGAUGUGCAGUAUCUCAAAUCAUAACUCAUAUAUAAUAAUCACUAGUGAAUUGUCCGAUAACCUGCAGGCCCCAUGCCGGCUCCCCGUCUCUGAGCAGACAGUCAGAGGAAAAUACACUUCAGGCCCCAUGCCGGCUCCCCGUCCCUGUGCUAAAUAGCCAGAGGAAACACACUCCAGGCCCUAUGCCAACACCAAACCGUCGCCCGGGACGGACCGGAAUCUAUUCCUACGUCCCGUAGCGGAAAUGACCACUAGGUAAGUACAAAACCAUUGAACAUACAUAUAUUGAAAAACAACUUCAUAGUAUAAAGUCAUCCAUCAUCUAUACUAUAAAGAGGUGUUCGAAACAUGUUCUAAAUAUCAUAUCGUCAUCCAUCAGAUAUUCUAUAAGAACACGGGUUAUAGGAAAAAUAGUAAUAAUUCAAGGUAGCCUCAGUAAGCAUGUUAUCUCAAAACGUUUCAUAAAACGUAAUCAUUAAAUCAUGCAUUUCAUGUAUGCAUUUCUACUAUUAAAACAUGCUUUUGAAGGGGUCCACUCACAGUACUUAGCCGCCGAAGAGCCACGCAAACUAACGUCACCAAUAUUGCCCCUAAGCACAUAAAUGGUCCAAUUAAUAAAACUAUAUAAUAGCAAUUGGAUUUGGGAAAACGGACGUUGGAAACGGAUUCAGAACGUCGAAUUACCCUAAGAAGGGUCCCGGACGAAAACCCGAAAAGUCAACUCUAAAGUCAAUGUUGACCGGAGGUCAACGGUCAAAUUAGGUCUAACGGGUUUUAGGCUUGAAAUCCGGAUUAGGGUUUAGGUUAAAUAGGAUUAGGAUUUAUUGGGUUUUGGAAUUCUAAGGUUUUUGGGUUAAAAGGGUUUAGGGUGAAAAUGGGUGGUUUGGGCUUAAUCCCAAACUCACACACAACACACACACACACUACACAAACCCUAAAACACACACACACACACGGGCUGCACUAGGGCAGCCCUCACAACACUUCACAAAGGCCCUAAGGCCUUAUUAAAGGACAGGGCUUUAAGCCCUUUAAAGGAUACUGGCCCAAGGCCCGUCAAAAUAAGGCCCGAGGCCUUUGGGUUUUAAAAAGAACAAGAACAAAUUUAAAAGAAAAGGGGCUGGGGUCUACUGGGCUAAGAUAUAACGGGCUUAAGGCCCGUGGGGUUUUCUAAAGGGCCUGAGAGGCCUGGGUUUGUCGAAGGAGAAGGCCGGAAUUUCGGCCGGAAAACCACCCAACUUUAAAUGGCCAUAACUUUGUCAAUACUCAACGAAAUCAAGCAAGACAAAAAUGAAAGUUGUAGCCCUUGAAGCGACGAAGAGAAUGGUUCCUCACACGACGUCUAACUCGCCGUGGUUUGGCCGGAAAAUGCCUCGAAAUCCGUCGGACUCGCCGGAAACUGGGUAAGAUUCAAAUGAGUAUAACUUCUUCAAUACUCAACGAAAUUAAGUGAAACAAAAAGGAAAGUUGUAUUACUCGACGAGACGAAGAGAUUGAUACCUUACACGCCGGCCAACUCGCUGUGGUUUGGCCGGAAAUGGCCUCGAAAGGGGCGGUGCUCGCCGGAGCUUACUCCGUGCCGUCGAACUCGCAGGGUAGGGUCCGGGGUUCGUUGCAAGCCUCUCUUCGAUGGUGACUCGGUCCUAGUGAGUCCAGGGGAAGAGAGAGAUGCGAAAGGUUGAGGGAGAGAGAGACGGGAGAGCUGAGAAAGAGAGAGCUACGGGAGGGAGAAACGAAGAAGAAGAAGAGAGAGAUCAGAAAACAUAAAAAAAAUAAACAAGGUGGGCCCCACGGGCUCACCAAUUAAGGCUUUAAAACAAUUUUAAAAUAUAAAAGAGGGUUGGGGUGUUUCAACAUUUGUACCACGUGGCAAAAAAAAAACCUAAAUCUUCUAUACAAAAAAACUAAAAAAACCAAAAAAAGCAAAAUCGAACACUCCACCCCGCAAAAAUCCUAGCAUCUUCCUUUUAUUCCCCACAACCCCAAAUUCCCCCCCAAAACCCCUAAAACCCAAACCCUAAUUCCUCCCCCACAUGAAGAAAAUCCCAGUCCAAUUCAAUCCCAAUUACCUCAAAUCCCACCAUAGAAACCCUAAAUUUUGGUUCCUCAAUCCCUAGAUUUCCCACGCCUCUGUUGCCUACACCUUAUCAAUCUUUAGCUUUCUCCCUCAUCCCCUCCAUGAACGACACUUUCUCUCAUCCGCUGUUCCCCAGCAACGGCACCGAUACCUACGAGGCCUGGUACGGCAACAUCCAGUACCUUCUCAACAUCUCCGCCAUCGGCUCAUUCUUAUGUGUCUUCUUUUUCACCUUGGUCAAGCUUUGAAGCGAUCGCCGCCGCAUGCCCGGCUCGUCCUCCCUCGUUGCUAAGCUCUUCGCAGUGUGGUAUGCUACCUGUCGAGAGAUUAUGCUCCCAUGUGGCGCUGAGGCCAUAAUACUCACGCACCCAUCUACACACCCACACCACCACUACCGUGGACUCUCUCUCACUCUCCCUCGUCUUUGUAGAGCUAGGUGAAGCCUAGAAACCGAGAACUAGCUCCAGCAAACCCCGUGAGUUUCGAGCCAGAUCCCUGCCGACUCCGACCAUCCCAUGACCAAUCUAAGGUACAAAACAUUUCCCCUUGACUCUAUGCUCUUUUUCGUAUGUAGAUCGUAGGGAAAAGCCCACAGAAUGAGAGAGAAUAGUGACCUGAGAGAGUCCACGGUGAUGGUGGUGUGUAGAUGAGUGCGUGCGUGGGUGUACUGUCGGGGAUAGAGUCUGAGAGAGAUAGAGAGUGAAAGAGUCUGAGAGAAGAGUGACUUGCGAGAGUGAGAGAUUCGAGAGAGACUCGGGAAAAGAUUUAUGGGUUUGGGUUUUUCUGGUUUUUUAUUUUUAUAAUAAUAGGGUUAAUAUUAUAAUAUUUUUAAUGUAUAAAAAUUUCUUUUUUGCCACGUGGCAGCCACAUCAGCACAAAUGUGGUAGUUGUAGAUGCAAAUUUCUUCCUCUUGAUCUUGGACAAUUUUGCACCUACAAAACAAUUAACACCUUAGGUUAAGGCCAAAAGCCUCACACACCCACAAUGAAUGGGGGGCUUUGGCCGAAGAACCUCUGUUGCCAAAGUUAGAAUUUAGAGAGAAAGAGUCUUUACAGAAUUUUGGGAUUUUUGCCAAAGUGUUGGAAUGGCUUUCUGGUGAGAACGGGAUCACUUUUAUAAGGAUAGGAAGUGGUCGGCCUAGCUAGGGUUUUUGGGUUUAAUUUAGGUUUAAUUCUUCAAUUUAUUUGGCUAAUUAAACCCUAAAGAAUAAAUUGGUGGUUACAAAAUUGAUUAUUUGUAUAAAUGGGGUAAUAAAAUGGAGAAAAGUGAAAAAGGUUAGGAAAAGGGAGGUAGCUAGCUUCUUAGUAGUUUUAGGUGUGAGUGGGUGUUUUAAUUGAUAAUUAAGGGAUUGAUUAGGUAAUUAAUCCCUUAAUUAAACAAUUUUUAGGGAAUAUGAAAGGAAAUUAUUAUUUAGCUAAUUGAUUAGCUAAAUAAUGGAAUACAAAAUAUAUAGAAUAAAUUAGGCUUUAGGUAUUACCUUAUAGAAAUGAUUUGAUGAAAUAGGCUUUAAAUUGUUAACUAUUUUGGGCACUUUUGACUUGGUUGAGGAUGAUUGUCUGCCGCUCGCACGUAGGAAUCUCGAUAUGCCUUAAGGGUAUUUUUGUCCUCUUUUACCCAAAAAUCCACGUGUCGCCUUGUGAUUAUUUUUGGCUCCACAAAUGCCCCCACACCUGUUGGGCUGCUCGCAGAAAAUGGCAGCAGGUGUAGAGAUCAUCUUGCUUUAGGAAACGUAGGACUACUUCCUCUUUAGAUGUAGAUUCUCUCUUUAAUAGGAAAUUAGGUUCUUCUAGGAAAGGGAAAUAAAUUUCUGUUAAAGCCUAUUUAAGUCUACCUUAAGUGGGUUAUUAAAUCAACUUUGGAGAGCGAUUUCUUAUACCCUACAAGAGAGAGGGAGCUUAGAGAAUAUUUGUUCCCCCUCUUCUAGCAAUCUUCUACAUCUUUCCCGUGCAAAGGAUCGUCUUUCGUUGAUUUCUUCGUCUUCUCCGUGCCGCACCGAUGUAAGAAAAAUUUAAUUUUUUGCUUAUCUUCUUCUUGGAUAGUACUAUUACAGGGCAACCGUUAAGGUAGUGCGGCACGUCUACUGGCAGGGGCUAGGAGUUGGCUCGGCAUCGGUCGAUGAGGCAUUAUGGCAGGGGCCACUGCUUAGGCUGUUUGGCUUGGCUAGAGCCAAUGGCAGCUUGUGCGGCUGGGGUCGCGGAUUGUGGCGUUGGGGCGCAAUGCUAGGCGAGCCACAUGGUUAAUGUCCUUUAGGCUCUUAGACCUUACUCGGGCCAGGCUAGCGACUGAAAGAAAUGAGGAGGUCGUGGGCCUCAUGGGUUGUUGGAAUGUUGGGCAUGCAGGCCUCCUGUCUGCUAGAAUGCUAGGUUGAGCUCCUCUGCUGAGUACCGUGAAUGGCGUUGGCUGCUUAGUUCUUUUUACAGAGAGAAAGGUGGGCUGCUCCCGAAAGAGGAAGUAAAGAGGAUCAAGGUGGAUGCAUUGGCUCGUCUAAUCGCUGUCGUGGAACCUCCUAUGAAUGAAGAUGGAAAUAAGAGAUCUUCCCUGCCUACUCAAGAGAUGCCGAUCGAGAAAAAUUGAAGACUUUCUCCACUGCUGCUCAUGAUGAUUUGUCUGCUGUCGAUAGGCCUGUGAUUGGCAUGACUUCUUCCAAUGGGAAGAAAAAUGAGGCUGCUAGAUCUGAUCAUGUGGUGCCUUCCAUGUUGAGAAUUGCUAGUACAAUUGUUGAUAAGAUUGCUUAGCGCAAAGGUUUUAUCAUGCCCCCAGUACCGAAGUCUGUACCAGGACUUUCGUUUGGAGCAAAGUCUGGUUCACCUUUGGAGAUACUUGCUAUUAUGAAAAGUGGUAAGGUGGACUCUGCUGCUAAAGUGGCGUCAAGGCCCACUCCCUUUGUUGCUGAGACUGAUUCGCCUGCUAGGAAGGAAGAUACUACUUGUAUGGGCAGCUGUGAGAAAUCCACUAAACUUGCUUCUGGGGAGGCUGCUGAGAUCAUUGUGCUUUUGAAACUAUAUCUGCUUGAAGACAUGGACGCUUGUGCCAAGUUUGUUGAUGGCGGUAGAAAGGUUGUUUACCUAAGUUCCUUUGCGAAACAUACGACCCAAUAUAAAAUGACUGCUCUGCUUACUAGGAUGCAUAAAUAGCAAGGUUGUCAAGGAGGUGGCGAAGAUUAUGGCAGCUAAAGCUUAUUCCUCAGUCGAGGAGAUCAAAAGGUUGAAUUAUGAGCUUGUUGCUUUGAAAGAAAUGGAAGAACUGCAACACGUUCGUGUUAGUCUGUUUGAGAAGAAUGAGCAGCUAAACGGUAAGAAUGAUGGGCUUGAGGUUUCUCUAUUUUUCCGGAAGACUUGCUUACUUUUACUUUUGAGGCUUCCAUUGGUGAAGUAGUUGGAGACGUUAGUGCCCAGGCUUAGGCAACCGGGGGUGAAGCACCGGAUGAUGCCGCUGCUAAGAACGUUACGGCUGCUGAAGGUGUGGAGACCAAGUAGUCGUGGGAUGUCCAAGCUGCUGUAGUGUAGUAUUUUAGGUAGCUUUUAUGAUUUUCUUUGUUUUUCCUUGUAGCUCUUGUUUUGCUUGAACUUCUUCGGCCUUUGCUAGUUGUAUAAACAUGUUUUCCUUCGCUUUUCUUCAUCUUCGCUUCUUUUGUUCAUGCCCUAACCUUUAGACUUGAUAGACCAAUGGCAGGCAUGCUACUUUUUUAUAAGCAGACAAGCUCGCGUAGCCUAUGCAGCCGUAAAUGUUGGUGUAGAACUUUGCAAAGUUGUUAGCCAUUAGGUUGGUAACCAGAUACCUUACUUACAGAAGUAGACAAGUCCGCAUAACCACUAGGCUAUUAACCUUGACUUUCUCCAAUUCUGUAGGUUGCGUAGCAAGUAUCACAACACUUUAGGAAUUGGUAUAGGUUGCUCCGCACUUGGCAGAGGUGAAGCCUAUCGACUACGUAGCAUGUCGGCAGUGGAUAAAACUUCCAUAUAUGCGCGCUAGCUUGUUUAACCUUUCACAAGAAUGUGCGGUUGUAUAAGUCUAGCACGGUUUUACUGCUUGAAGGGCAAGCCGUAGGCAGUCUUCCGGAAUCCGUAGGCUACCUUAAUGUACUCGGUAGCAGCUUUAGGGUUCCAGGGCAGCCGUCUAUAGAGCGUACUGCGUAAUGUGCCCCAUCCGUCUCUAGCUCCCGGUUCCCCACAGAUUAGACCAAGAGACCCAAAAUCCUUCAGUUAGUUAAGCCUUGAAAAAGACCAUUGUGGCUACUUCUAGGAAUCCCGGCUCAAGCCAUCGUACAUCUAGUUAUACUAGGGUAGCCAGGCUCAUCAGCGUCUGGAUAUUCGGAGUGUAAAGUUUAUCCUCCCGUCUUAGAGAGCUGACCCAUAUGAGUGUCGGGGAAUUGGUUUACCCUCUCACACUAGAGAGUAAUUAAUUUACCCUCUCGCACUGGAGAGCAAUUAGUUUACCCUCUCGCACUGGAGAGCAUGGUUGGUCCAUCGGGGGGCGCAAUUCCUGCGAUGAGUCCCUAAGAAGGGCGCAGUCUUCUUUUGAAGUGCAGGAAUGAUUAGUUGUUAUAAGCAUGUGAUCGAGUCAAGUUGUGAUUACUUCUAAAUUCCUCAUUGAAAAACGAGUGAAACGAACGAGAACUUAGCCGUAAGGUAGGAACUGCAUAACAACUGGAUAGUCCUCAACUUGUGUGGUGGUACCCAUCGAGCUUCUUGAGUCUUCGGGCUUUGAUGUAGUGGGAGGUUACACAUGGCACCUUUUCAGAUUGUAGGCGCUCUACUGCUUUUCGAACUUUUUUUUUGUUGUGUAAUUGCUCUUGCUGCCUACUCGGCUAAUCUUAUACAGACUUUCUCGGAUGAGAUUCAUCUUUUUGGAGCUUCUCUGCUGGCAGUGAUGAAGGCUUUUCUUAGGACUAGAUCUCUGGGCUGGAACUGCCAGAUUUUGGCCUUUUUGUUGUGGCUGGAAAAGAACCACUGCUGGUAAGUUGUAAUGCAGAUGAUAGUCUGCUCGCACUUCUCCUCUGCCAAAUUUAAGCUUGUGGCCAUCUCCUUUCGGUUGCUCGUCUUUUGGUGUUGCGAUGUGCCCAUAGACAUCCAGGGAGUUUGUCUGGCCAUUUUCUUUUCUUAUUGGUAGGGGAUUUCUUGUGGCAGUCGAGGAUCAUCUUAGUGGAUGUUUUGGCCAGCCUAUUGCCUUGAGGAUAUCUUGGCGUAGACAUGUGCUGCUUGAUGCCAUAUUUUUAGAAGAAUUUCGCCAAAUCUUUGCCCACGAAUUACGGGCCGUUGUUGGUGACGAUGGAUUAAGGUAUGCCAAAUCGGCAAAUGAUGCUCUUUCAUAUGAAGCGCUCUAUGUCCGUUUGAAUUGUGAUCGUCAUGGGCUCUGCUUCUACCUAUUUGGUGAAAUAGUUGGUUGCCACGAUCAUCAUGCAUUUGCCCUUAGUAGUCUGGCUGGUGAUUAGCUGGGAAUCAGAAUGAAUUGAAAGCUUUUUCACCACCAAGUCUUUUGUCACUCGAAGGCCUGCUAGUGGGGCUUUGUACUCUGCUUCGUUGUUAGGUGCUUUGACGCUUAGAGUGAUCGCUUACUCGAGCAUUGAACCGUCUGGGGUGGCAAGAACCACGGUUACUUAUAAGCCUUUGUAGUUGGAUGCGCCGUCGACAUGCAAAUGCCAGAAAUUUCCAUUGAGGGAGUAGGUAUGGCUAAAGUGUGCUCGGCUACCUUCGAAGCGUCGUUGGGCCGCUUUGUUACAUUGUCAAGGCUAGGUUUGAAGGCGCGGUAGAGAGUCGUGGAGCUGGGGCCAUGUUACAUGUAGCAGGAGAUGCUCAACUUCCGGUAUUAGGCCACUCUAGAGCUGAAUAAUGGAGCAAAGGUCGGCUAGGGUCGUAUGACGCGCAGCAGAAGGUAGUGCUCGACUGCUAGUACAUGUUGCUCUUACGUAGAAUCUUCUGAGGCGACGAGGACAAAACUUGCUUUUAAGUGUUCCUUCUAGUGUUCGUCUGCCCUUGGCGUGUCUUUUGGGCUGAGUUGUUGCGUUCGUCAGAAAACUUUGCAUCUGCCAGGGUUUACGUCUUUAUCAUCACGGGUUUGGAUUAGGCGGAAUAGUGCGUCAUGAUGAUGACUGCGUACAUUUGAAGGUAAAACUUAAGCUUUUGGGUUACAACAACUAUCACCAAAGUUAGCUUUUGAAUUUUUAAUAGCAUCGAGGAGAGCUUUUGAACUAUAAAAUACAUGUAGUUGGGCCCCCAACUCUUCUCGCAUGACGGUACAGCUUAUUUCUACUUUAGAUACCGUCAAACAUGCGAAUAAGUCCUCUGCUGCUUCUAGGGAGGUGAUGUUGGGUACUUCUUCAAGCCCUUGAAUGUGCAUUGGCGAGCCUCAUCCCAAAGUGCAUGCUUCUCUGCCAAAGAAAAAGAGUCUACCAGAGUUAGAUAUUCUUUCAUGAUCAAUUUUCUAAAUAGCGGUGGUCUGCUGGAAGGCCUUUUUGGAAGGCUGCUCUAGCUAUUGAGUCGCUGCAUCCGACUAUCAUUGCCUUCUCUGUUUUGAAUCUCUUCACAUAGUCACGAAGUGACUCCUUUGGGUUCUUUUUUACGUCAAACAAAUGGUCGGACUUCUUUUUGAUCGAGCAAUAAGAUGAAUAUUCUUUGGUGAAAACCAAAGAAAGUUCGUAGAAAUUCUAGAUAGAUUGUGGCGGCAGGGUGUAGAACCAAUCUUGUGCCUCGCCUUCAUAGUGGUGGCGAAUAUCUUGCACAUGAGAUCAUCGUUGUUUCGAUAAAGGAUCAUUGUGCUUCGGUAGCGCUUUAAGUGUCUCUUCGGGUCUUCAUCCCCUUUGAAAGAUAUGAAAUGUUGCAUACUGAACUCGCAUGGAGGCUCUGCCAGCUCGAUCUCAUCCGUGAAGGGUGACCUGCUUAUGUUGGUCAUGUUCCGUCGUAGUGCCUCGUCGGUGACCUUGUUGCGUUAGAAAUCAUGCAAUCGCUUGAUUAAAAGUCUCUCUACUUCUUCCUGAAUUUUCAUUUGUUAGGGUAGCAGAGCUCUCGGCUGCCCCUAGCCAUAACUUACUGGUCUAGGAUGCUCUUCCAUGUGUUUGGCUCGUAUACCGUGGAUGCAGUGUAUGUGGUGCGGUCCUAGUAGGUGAGCGAGUUCUUCGCAGGCUGCUAGUUGAACUUGAGCUGGAUUGAGUGACUACUUCUCUCCGUCCGUCGUGCUGCCUACUCCAAUGUGAGGUGAAAGAUGCUCCUUGCAGGCUUAGCCACGAAUGAACACUUUACCUGGAAGGUUGCUCAUGUUGACUAUCAGAGUAUGACCCUAACCGUGAAUGUAUAUUCACCCGUGGGCUUAGUCGAGAGUGCACGCUCCUCCGCGCGCUAAGACGAGAGUAUACGUUAUCUCGGGAGCCCAAUUGGGAGUGUACACUGCCCGAACGCUCGGCUCGUGGCUGGUCGAGUGGCUGCUUGCCGAAACGCUGCGGGAAAGGUUCGUCUGCCCUUGUCCUACUUCGGGAUACCUUGUUUGGGGCACGUUGGAUUCUGGUGCAUUGCAAAAGUUGAUUCACCAAGGUUGUCUGUUGUGCAAGGGUGCUCGUAAACGCUACGACUUGUCGAGACAAGUGUUGUUCGUCAUUUGGAUUGGAAUAGCUUGGAAGGAAUGUGCCUUCUUGGGCAGUGGAAGGGUGGUAGACUCCGGGCUCGAGAUUUGAGUUGGGAAAUGUCAAAUCUACGAAAAAAUGUGGUGAGAAUGCCCCCGGCUCGAUGGUAGGUCCGGAUGGUUGAGAUAGUCUUGGGCCGACUUGGGCUGCUUGGAAAGCCACGGGAGCAGGCUGGGCCACGAGAGUGAGCUGCUCGGCAGGAGUAGGCUGGGCUACGAGAGUGGGCUGCUCGGCAGGAGCAAACUGCUUGGAGUGUGAUGCACAUGGGUGCGAGGCUUGGGCUCGGCUUGGUAACACAUUGAGUUCGGGUUUGGCUUGGAGUGACAUGACUUGGGCCGUGGCCUUGGUGUCGUGAGCCUUGGAUGGCACGGCUCGGGCAGUGGUAGCUGUGCCAUGGACCUCGCCGCGGGUAGUGGUGACCGUGAUGGCCACCGCGGUGGUUGCCAUGGUGGAGCCCCGUAGUGAUGGUGCCGCUCCUAUGAUCACAUUUAGCCUCGUGGAUCGUCGUGGUCCCAUUUCUUGAAUAUUAGAAUUUUCACUUAUGGAAUUUUCUAAAUUUCUAGCCAUUAUAUUUUUCUUAUACGUUUUAUCAAAGAACCUUUGCAAAUAAAAAAUUCUAAUAAUAAGAACGUAUGAAAAAAUAUUCAAAUGGACUAGAAAAUAGAGAAAAACCUUUUUAUGCGAGAGUCUUCUACGAGUAUAGAUCUCAACUCUCAAUGAAAGCACCAAUUUGUGGAUGCAAAUUUCUUCCUCCUUGAUCCUAGACAAUUUUGCACCUACAAAACAAUUAACACCUUAGGUUAAGGCCAAGAGCCUCACACGCCCACGAUGAAUGGGGGGGCUUUGGCCGAAGAACCUCUGAUGCCAAAGUUAGAAUUUAGAGAGAUAGAGUGUUCAGAGAAUUUUGAGAUUUUUGCCAAAGUGUUGGAAUGGAUUUUUGGUGAGAAUGGGAUCACUUUUAUAGGGAUAGGAAGUGGCCGGCCUAGCUAGGGUUUUUGGGUUUAAUUUAGGUUUAAUUAGUCAAUUUAUUUGGCUAAUUAAACCCUAAAGAAUAAAUUGGUGGUUACAAAAUUGAUUAUUUGUAUAAAUGGGGUAAUAAAAUGGAGAAAGGUGAAAAAGGUUAGGAAAAGGGAGGUGGCCGGCUUCUUAGUGGUUUUAGGUGUGAGUGGGUGUUUUAAUUGAUAAUUAAGGGAUUCAUUAGGUAAUUAAUCAAUUUUUAGGGAAUAUGAAAGGAAAAUAUUAUUUAGCUAAUUGAUUAGCUAAAUAAUGGAAUACAAAAUAUAUAGAACAAAUUAGGUAUUAGGAAUUACCUUAUAGAAAGGAUUUGAUGAAAUAAGCUUUAAAUUGUUACCUAUUUUGGGCACUUUUGACUUGGUUGAGGAUGAUUGUCUGCCGCUCACGCGUAGGAAUCUCGAUAUGCCUCAAGGGUAUUUUUGUUCUCUUUUACCCAAAAAUCCACGUGUCGCCUUGUGAUUAUUUUGGCUCCACAACAACCACGUCAGCAUUUAACAGACCAAUGGAUGGAAAAUCUAACGGAGGUAUUAUUUUGAAAUAAAAUAACAAGUGAGGUAUGAAAGUGAAAUGUUUUAAAGAUGUUGUAUGGGGUUGUAAUAGACCUCAAACUUGAGGGUCCUAUGUAAUUUACCUAUUUUUAUGUUAAUUAUGAAUAGGUCAAUCAUGUAGAACCAAAUUAAAAGCUAACAUCAAUAACAACUACCAGAGACAAAAGCUCUAAUCAAUGCUUCGGAAACAUAGUCUUGUAUCUCUAGGUGUAAUGAUAUAAUUUGUUGGAAACUUAAAAGAAAAUUGGUGAUUUUGUAUAUAAUCGAUAAAAAGUUAUAAUAGUGACAAUAUAUCAGUAAUAUUUAUGUUAAUUAGGAAUAGGUCAAUCAUGUAUUUAAUACUUACAUGCAUUUAAAAUAAACACCUUAUCAAUGUUUUUUUAACUGUGCUCAGUUUUUCUCCUUCGCUUUGGUUUUGUUCUAUUGGAUUUUUCAACUAUCAUUAAUUGUGAACAUAACUGAUCAUUGAGACACAAACAUCCAAGGGAGAGUACCGUGGAACAAAAUGUGGAUAUCUUUAUACAUUGUAUGGUAGUAAACCAUCAUAAACACCAUAAUAAUGUAGAAACGCUCUUGGGGUACCUUUGGAUGAUAACUCAUGUAUUUGUUGCCCUACGUAAAGAUGGCUAAUGAUAAUGGAAGUCUAAUUUUCUCAUCCCAAUCUCUCCUGUCUCUCUUGUUCUCUUUUCUCUAUAGUUUAUUUCCAACAAGUUGUGUUAUUUUUUUUUUUUAGUAUUGUUAAGCAACCAAUAGAUUUUAAUUAGCAGUCUUUGUUUUUUUCUUUUAUAUUUUUAAUCAAUUUCAGUUGCUUAUCCGUUCUAGCAAAUUGAGCUCUUUUACAGCAAUUUUUUUCUUUAAAUGAAAUUAUUAUUAUUAAAAGAGUGAGAAAAUUCGAAAUUAUUACAACAAUUUAAAAAAAAGAAGUUUCGAAUCAUAAACACAGAGGGAGUUUACAACAUUUUAAUUAAGAAAUUAGGCUUCAGCUCAACUCAUCUUUGCAACGUCGGUUCCACUUCACAUCAACAUGCAAUGUUUCAGAAGGUCACGCGGUUUUGGGGUUGUUGUGUACCAAUAAUAUUAUAUAUAUAUAAAUUAGGAUUGAAGGAUACACGCAUUUUGUAGAGCUUAUUUUGUUAUGUAUUUUAAUGAUUUAAAUGCUUACGUUUUUCUUCACUACAAAUGAGUGAAUUAAUGAUUUUAGAAUUUGUCUAAUUUUUUACAUUGAUUAUUUAUGAAUAUUGAAUUGAAAUAUAGACGAUUCAAAAAUCGUUGAUAUACAUUACAAAAUGAACUCCACAAAAUAAGCGUCAAAAUAUGUAUAUAAAAUGGACAGCGUGAAAGGCUUGGAAAUUGGAAUAGGUUUGAAAAUUGUGCUUUUUGUAGCAAAUUGUAGCAAAGUUUGCUUGGACUUUCACAACCGUAUAAAUUAUGCCGCAGCACUCUCUAUUUUCUCUCUCGCUCUAUAUCGUGGUCCCUCUCUCUCGCCGUCCUCGAUUGCUCGAACUCACUAUCCUUUAUUGCUCGAACUCACCGUCCUCAAUUGCUCGAACCCACUGUCCUUUAUUGCUCGAACUCACUGUCUCCAACUUCCUCUGUUUGGUUCCCGAUGAAGAUGGUAAAACAGUAGGGGCAAGAAAUUAUGACAAUGUUAGAUUUGCAUAUUAAUCUGGUAGGGCUACAAUUCUCCAAUCCACACCCCUUCCAUCUAUGCUAGUGUUUGUACCCAAUAUUAGAUAUCCGGUCUGUGCAAUCGAGAUCGUUGAAUGAGAAAAAUUCUAAGCCGUGGGAUCAAAUAUAAUGAUGUGGAUUAAAUAAGAAAAAUUUAAAUGUUUAUCUUGGUUGAAUUACCAUGAUAAUAUUGUGGAAUUAUCUUCUGCAUAACGGGAUAGCGAGAAAAGUCCAAGGGUGUAGGGAAGUUGUGUGGCUGACUACCGCUUUUUUUUAUGGUGUCAUUAGUAGAGUAAUAUCACACUUAACAUUUAUUUGUACCAUCUCUCUAAUAAAGAUAAAGACCAUCAAUGCAUAAAUAAUGAUACAAAUAUAUAAUAAGAGUAUCAUAUUUGUAACUAGAAUAGGAGAAGAAAGACUUCAAGAUGGGGUCAGCCAAAUAAUUAGCGUCAGGAUAAAAAUAUGAGUAAUGAUAUUUGUAAACAUCGAAAUUUCGGUAAAUAAAUGUUGACCGAUAAAUCAAAGUUUCAACGCUCAUGUAUUACAUAAAUUUUACACGUAGCGUAUGUCUAAACAAAAAAUCGAAAUAAGUUGGAAAAGUCAUCAAACAGGACACAUGUCAACACCUGGCAGAAACGACUUAUUUCAUCUGGAAUAUUAUAUUCAAAAUUAGGCAUUGGAAAAUUCUAUAAAUAGAAGCCAAUUUCAUUCAUUUGAAGGAACCAAAAUCAUUAGGCAAAAUUCUUGAAGCUCUGAAGCUCUGAAACUCCGAAACUCUCAAGCAUCCAGGUUCCCGAAGAAUCAAGAAAGCUCUCUUCGUUCUUCGUUCUUCGUUCAUCGUUCAUCCUAAGAUCAAGCUCCAACGGCCCUUUAGAUCAACAAUCAUCCACUAAUUCAAGAUCAAGCCCCGACGGCCCUUGAAGAAAGUGUUCUUCAUUCUUCGUUCAUCGUUCUUCCAAGAUCAAGCCCCAACGGCCCUUUGGAUUAACAAUCAUCCACCAAUUCAAGAUCAAGCCCCAACGGCCCUUGAAGAAAGUGUUCUUCGUUCUUCGUUCAUCGUUCUUCCAAGAUCAAGCCCCAACGGCCCUUUGGAUUAACAAUCAUCCACCAAUUCAAGAUCAAGCCCCAACGGCCCUUGAAGAAAGUGUUCUUCGUUCUUCGUUCAUCGUUCUUCCAAGAUCAAGCCCCGACGGCCCUUGGAUCAACAAUCCACCAAUUCAAGAUCAAGCCCCAAAGACCCUUGAAGAACUUCUACCAAUUCAAGAUCAAGCCCUGACGGCCCUUGAAGAAAGUGUUCAUUGUUCAUCAUCCGUUCAUCCCGAAGAAUCAAGAAAGCCUUAUUCGUUCUUCGUUCAUCGUUCUUCCAAGAUCAAGCCCCGACGGCCCUUGGGUCAACAUCAUCAACAAAUCCACACAUCCAACCGUUCUUCAAGAUCAAGCCCAAAAGCCCUUGAAGAUCCGUUCAUCACCGUUAUUCAAGAUCAAGCCUUAACGGCCCUUGAAGAAACACUCAUCCUCAAGAUCAAGCCCCAACGGCUCCUUGAAGAUCCGCUCAAAUCCACCUUCAAAGAUCAAGCCCACGGCCCCUUGAAGAAACAUCCAACAGUUCAUCCAAGAUCAAGCCUCGACGGCCCUUGGAUCAACGAAACAUCUACAAAUCAACACCUUACGGAGAUCGAAUCAGAUGAUCAAAUUAGAGAGAGAUUGUAACCCUAAAUCAUCAAAAUACAAAUAUUAUUUUGUGCACGUUGUUCUUAUCUCUUUCGUUUCAGGAAAUUUUCGUGUUCACAAUAUUCUUACCAUCUAAAUAUACUAUAAUUUUAUACCAUCUUAUGUGGCAAUUGAGAUGGACUUCCACAUAAGUUUUAAAAAAAUCUCAUGUCAGCUAAGGUGGAUAUUUACGAUUUUACGAUUUUACUCAAUGAUUUUUAUUAAUAAAAUAAUUAAAAAAUAAUAAUGAAACCUACUUGCUCCCGUUUUCAAGCCUCAUCGCUGGGCCUCCUCCCUCUUCGCUCUCCAAUUUCACCUUCCUUCACCAACGAUCGAUGGUGCUCGACCCCCUUCAUCAUUGCCAACUGGCCGAAUAUCUUGAUGGUGCUCCCAGUGAUUGUUUUGCUCUGCCACCAAAUCAAGUUUGCAAUUUUAAUGGUUUAUGCCUUCUGGCCAAGUGUUGGAUUUGAUAGGUUUUUAAUUCCAGCAACAUUGAACAAAAAUAUGAAAAGGAUUGGAUACGAUAUUUUCCUCUGUUCUACUGCUGAGGAUUUUCCGAAUAGAAGAAGAUUUGGAAGACAACCUCUUUUCUUUUUUCUUCAUGGACUUUUGGUUAGCACCAAAAUCUUUUCCUAAUCCUCUAUAGGAAUGAAAAUUUCAUUCCAUGUUAUAUCCCGAUGUUGUCCAAGGUUUUGGCUUGAAUUUUCAUUGGAAUUAUCAUAUGUUGGAUCAGAUCAGGUGGAGAGAUGAAACGUAUCUAACAAGGAAGUUGAACGGGUAGGGUUUGAGCAAAAAUAAACAGAAAUUCCACCUAGGUUGACACCUAAGCUUCCACAUCAUGUGGUAUACUAAAUGUGGUAUAAUAAGAUGGUAAGAAUAGCAUUAUUGAAUGGGUAAUGUUAAGAGAAAUUUUUAGUUGUGACGGGAACACGGAUGGUACACCAUGCGUUUUUAUGUAAAUGGUGGAAAAUUUUAAUUUUUAAAUUAUUAACCUUUUAGCACACAUAUCCCACCAUUUAUAUGAAAACACGUGAUGUAUCACCUCGUGUGAUAGUCACAUUGAAAAAUCUCUCGUAAUGUUAGGAAAACUAAAUUUAUAAACAAAAGUUACAAAUUAAAUGAUGGGUUACCAAUAAGAAUGAUUACGUUUAUCAAUGCUUAAAUAAUAAAUCAUUCAUCAACUUCCAGUCCUUUAGUUUUUAAAAUUUUGUCUAACAUUACCCUUUCAAAACUCAUGAAAAUAAUUUUCAAUUUUUUUAACUGAAAAGUGAAAGUUACUAAACAAGAUUUCAGUUUUUAGCUUUCAAAAAAAUAAAAACAAAAGCUAAAAAUAAAAUGGUUAUCAAACAUCCCUAGAAGUCAUUCUUAGUGAUAGUAAGGUCAUCUCCAACCGAAAGAUCCAGGGGGCUAGAGGGCCGAAAAUAGUCUGAAAACCAUUUCCAAUCAAAGGCCAUGCCAAAGGGGUCGUGGACCCCAUUAGACAAAAAAGGGCCAAAGGGCCAACUGGCUGGCCCCAGUUCCAACAAUAACUAGAUGACGUCAGUUAACCGUUAUUUUUGAAUUUUUUUUUUAACAAAUUUUAACUUUCUAAGCCAUUAAACAACAUUAAAUUAAGUAAAAAAGAAAAUUCCUAUAACUUCCUAAGUCAUUAAACAAUAUUAAAUUAAGUAACAUGAAACAACAUUAAACAAUAUUAAACAAAAUUAAACAAUAUUAAACAACAUUAAAUAACAUUUAACAACAUAAAAAUUAUACAACAUAAAAAAAAACAUUUAAGAACAUAAAAUUUAAAUGCCUACUUCAUGCUUCUUUUGGCCCAAAGAUGUGCAACAAGAUCCUAAUGUAGGUACUUGUUUGUGGCACGAGAGCGUAUCAUCCUAACCGUUAGAUUUGAUUUUUUUUUGUUUUCGGCCAAAUUUUUUUAAAUUUAAAAAUAAAUUAUGUUUGACCUUUUGGCCCUCGAUUGGAGAUAGUUUUUUUUGUGACAUGACUAUGUUUAGCCCUAUGACCCUUUGGCCCUCAGUUAGAGAUGGUAAGAAAUAUGACCCAACAAUGUUCAUUAAAAUAUUAAUUUCUUGAAGAGCCAGAGGGCUAAAACGAGCCAUCCUUCGGUUGGAGAUGGCCUAAGAAGAGACUAGAGAUAGAGAGAUUCCUAUACUUAGCUGUGAGAGUUUCCUAUAUAUGAUUUUCAUUAACAAGAUUGAACUGAUUACAUAGAGAAGAAGAUCAAGUAUGGUUAUUUUUAUUUGGGAGACUUUGGAUGUGGUCCUUAGUUAUGAAUAUUAUUUGAUUGAAAUCUUGUUGGUUUUUAAUUUUUUAUCAAGAUCCCUGAAAUUAAUGUGAUAAUUUAUUUCUAUGUAAGUUACUAUAUUUUUUUAAUUAGAAAUUAGAAAUUUUAGUUGUUUAUAUAAAUGAGAUUUUAAAUUAAAAAAACCAUAAUUUGUGGGAUUAAAAAUAUUAAAAUAUAAAUAUACUAUUGUGUGUGUGUGUGUGUGUGUGUGUGUAUAAAUAUGGGUACAUUCAUCAAAAUUAACCAAAAAAUUUAUUGUAUCAAAACAUGGGUACAUUCUUCAAAAUCACAAAAAAAGAAAGAUAUUAGGCUUAAUAACAUUAGUAAAUUUCUUCGAUUAAACUUGACAUGGAUACAUUUUAAAAUCAAAGAAAAAAAAUGUACCCAUAUAAGUUUAAAAAUGGAUUAGAAAAAAAAAUUGAAUAGAUUUUAUACAAAAAAAGGGUACGUUUUACAUAUAACAAAUUGGUAUAUUUAAGAAUGAGUACAUUUUAAGAUUAAAAAGUUUUACAUGAAUGGGUUCAUAUAAUUAGCAUGGGUACAUUUAGCAAAAUAAAAAGUACAAAUACAAAAAAAUAUAUGUGUACAAAUACAAAUAAACUUUAAAAAAUAUGGGCACAAAAAGAAAUUAAUAUAUGGGUACAAAUUAAAACCGAAAAGAAAAUUGGUACAAGUUAAAAAAGAAUUACAAAUUAAAAAUGGGUACAAACUAAAACUAAAAAUAUAUGAUAAAAAAUUUAGUCAUAAAUAUAAAUAUACUAAUUGUAACAUUUUUAACAUUAAAUGAAUAUAUUUAGACAUAAAAAAUAUAUUUUAUUAUUGAAAUAAUUAAUGAUGUUAUUAAUACCCAAGGACCUUGAUAAAAAAUUGAAAAGAAAUAGAAUUUUAAUCAAUGGAGUAGCAAAAGAAAAGAUGAGAACCUAAUUUCUCCUUUGUAUUGUGUAGACAUUAUAACUAUACAUUCAUAAUAACAUGAGUAAUGUUAUAUUUAUCACAUUUGUACUCUUUCUCCAAUAAAGAUAGGGUCCAUCAACACAUGUGGGUUCUAUUUGCCCAUCAACACAUGCGAAUCUCAUUUUUAUUAGAAAAAUAGUACAAAUAUGAUAUGGAAAUUAUGAUAAGAUCGCAAUUUUGUAAUAACAUAUAUACUCAACUAUUUAUAUACCAACUCAUCUCCCUUUAGUGUAGUUAAUAUUGUUUGUUCAACCAAAAAAAAAAAAACUGAACUUGUCAUAAUCAUUGAAUCCAUUUACCAUGAACAAACGGCAGUUUACUAAACUUGCCCUCAGAGUAUAUAUAAAAGGUGAAUCACAAUCUAUUGCAUUAAUAUAAGGAAACAAUUUAUAGGGUUUGACGGGUGACUUAAUAUGCUAUAUGGCACAAUGAAAAUUAAGUUCACACUUUAUCCCAAAUAAGGUGUUGCACCUUUAAUUUAUGGAUGCUGGUUUGACGUGUGACCGAAAUAAUCAAAUUGUAGCCAUUAAUCAUUUUACAAGUAAUAAUAUGUGGUUUUAUUGUUUACGAUUCACACAACAAUCUGCUAGGAAGUAGAAAAUGCAGUACUUGUCCCUCUCACAGAAGUCAUGAAUAAUUAUCAAAUUCAAAGAUAAAGAAAAACCACACAAUUUACAAGAGGAAAGAAAAUGAAGGGAUAAAGAAAGUAAGAAAGGAAUACCUCUAUGGGAGGACUCUUAUUUGCUUCAGAUGCCUACAAUAUUCAUCAUAUAAACACUGAUUAAGUAGUCAUCGAAAACCAAAACAAAUGUCGAACAUAGGGUGAAAAACAGAAAGAAUAACCGCAGCUCAUCAUACCAAUAGAGAUAGAACUGCCCGAUGCCCAAGUAUGACUGAAAAAUGGCAAUCCAAACAUGGCGCCUUCUAGCUCAUCAAACUGUCAAAACCUAGGUUCCACCAAAAAGAUACAAGUCACCUAGUUACUUGUAAAAUAAAAAUCUGUUUCAAAAUAGUGGAAAAUAUUAUUAACAUUGUUCAAAGUCCACAUUGUUGUACCUACCAAGAAACAAGAAGGAUUGUAUCUUAUCAUGAAAAAGAACAUAGGUACCUUUUCAAUUGUAAUUGUACAAAAAUGAGAGACCACUUCCGAACUUCUCUUGGAACUUCAAUCAAUUUCUGCCCACUUUUAAAUGCCUUGACAUACUUAAGCCUAUUUCUUUGAGCUUCAGUUUUGGCUUCUGAUGCCUUUAAAUUUCUUAAAGAUUCUUACCAAGUUUUACAAACUCACUUCUAUACAACCAUUUGUCAGUAUACAUACCAUUUUCUUUGAGCUUCAGUCUUUGCAACACCAAAACCCCCCAAAUAGACCCGGAAUUUUGCAAUGUGCAGGGAAUAUACAAAAAAAACCCUCCUAUCCAUCUAAAACGAAAUCAGAACGCAAACCACAAUCAAAAUCCGUAAAAUUAAUUUAGCCAACCCCUAAAUCUAAUAAUUCUAACAAAUAUUAUAGUAUCAAUUGAGAGAGAAUUUGAGAAGAUACCUAGAGAUGAAAGGAAGAGCGUUUCCUCUGAUAGGGGUUCCGUGAAAGCAUCUGUUGACCAGAAAAGAAAAGGCAAAAAACCCCAAAUUACAUAUCAAGCAAUUAUAGAUAGAUCGAACCUUGAAAAUUGAAAUUUCAAACAAGAGAAAGGUUAUAAACUUACAACGAUCUGGGUGUUGGUAACUGGGUUUGGAUUUGGGUUUCUGAUAAGAGAGAGAAUCGUAUGAGGAACCGAUAGAGGAACUGCACCGGCAACAGAGAGCAAUUGAUAUGGUGGAGAACAGACGAGAAUAGCUGCUUGGAUGGUCAAUCCAAGAAGAGAAAAUCUUGCCACAAUCGCGGUACUUGAAAAAAAAAAAAACAAGUUUAAAGGAGGGAAACAAUCGCGCCUUUUUCUAAUAGACUCUGUCGACGAUAUUCUUGACAAAUAGAUGCUUCGUCGGGUGAGCUUAUUUUUCACAACAUUUUAUUUAGGAUUGGGUUCGGUUGGUAAACCGUGUCAAAUUUCUUGUGCCACUUGCCAGCCACAUAUACAUAAUUACCGAAAAUCAGUUACCGUUAGCCAACCGUCUUCUUGCGGUUGCCAAAAAUCGGUUCAGCCAAAAUGAUUGGCUGGUUCGGUUGGUAAAUGGCACAACCGGUGGUUUCCACUUCUUCCUCGCUAUCUUCCAGUUCCAAGGGCUCAAUUUGAUUUUCAGAUUGGGAUGCUUGUUCGGUUGCAUUGUGUGGUUCAUUUUGGGUUAAUCCAUGUUGUGCACUAGUAGUUGAUUGGCUAGACUCCAUUAUCCUAAACAUAAGCAACAAAUAUACAUUCAAAAUAAUAUAUAUGUACGUGUAUAUAUAGUAUCAGUAAUCAUCAUGCUAUCAAUUUUGUUAACAAUAUUUUCUAUAUAUUGAUUUUGGCAUGAAUCAUAUACACAUACAUAUAUUUUUAAAACCCUAAAACUAAGGAGUCAUUUAUUUUCUAAACUCUAAAAUUGAGGAGUCAAGCAUGUAAAAAAAUACUUAAAAUAUCUAAAUAGAAAAAGAAAAAGAAAAAAAAAUAAAUAUAUAUAUAUAUCGGUAGGUAUGGCAUACCGCCGGCAUACAAAAUCAAUUACCAAAGCCAUGCCAUUAAUUGUCGGUUCGGUAAAAUGCCAACCGAUUAUGAAAAAAUGUCAAAACUAUACCAUACCAUUUUGAGCCAACCAGUAUGGUUUGGUCAGUAAAUCGGUUUAUGGCAAAAUUUCUCACCCCUAAUUUUAUUUGUCACCUUAAACCUAUUGGUUUCUAGCCUACAAUUCGGAUAUUUUGUUGGGGAAAGAUUUUUGUACCAAUAAAAUUUUGCUUUGUCGGCAAAAUGACAUUUUCUAGUAGUUAUAAUAUUAGGUAGAUCAAAUUUGUAAACUAUGUGAUGUGUCACUAAUAGGAAAAAAUUUCAGUGUGCUGAAAAUACGGUCUAGAACACCAAGUGUCAUAAUAUAUACUUGGUUGGAAAUCUUUUAUUUUCAAGUUUCCAACUAGUUGUAUUGUAACAGUUGGUGUUCCAAGCUAUUUUCUCCAUGCGCUGGAAAAUCUCUUCACUAAUUAAAAAUAAACAUAUUAAUUAACACUUAAGUAAUAAUCAAAGCAUCAACAACUACGUCAUAGAAUUUACGAAAUAUGAUCUUAAUUAAUGAUCUCCAUUACCCUUUAUCUUAGCGUAUACGUACGCCUUCACAUGUUUAUUUGCUGAUAUGCAGCUUGAGUAAAAAUUUCUUUUUAAGAACAUAUAUGUGAAUAUAAACAUAUAUAUCUAGUGAUCCAUGUUGCGUUAUUUAAAAAUAAACAAAUUAAUUAAUUAAUGAACUGUGUACCUGUCUGUGUAGAGUAAUCCAUAUGCAUGCUUGAAUCCUGAUCACCACGAAACCAUAAUAUAAGCUACUCAAGGCCCGGAAGCUAGGAUUGAAGAGAAAAACACCCAGUCAGAUUAAGCCAAUACAUCAAAGUUAAUACUUCCAAAUGUAAGCUUUAAGAUAGAAAAAUCACUUACUUCCUUGAGCAGUCGAGCUUCUUCAAUGGCAUGAAGCUUUUAGCAUGAGAUUGACUGCAUCACAACUAAAAUUUUCUCUUGGAAACUACAUAAGGAAUAGCAUGUAUACCUAUAACGUUGAGAAAGUACGCCAAUUUUUUCCUUCUGCACAUUCAUGUUUAAAAGUAAUCCUCAAAUGAACUUGCCCACAAUGAAAUGCAAUUUGAGGUAGUCGAGUGUGUUCCAUUUCCAUCCCAUCGGAAUUACUACUAAACUUUGAGAUGGUAGAGGAUUCAUGAAAUUUUUUACUUUUGAAAUAGUCUCCUUAGCAUUUCUCGACUAUAACAAUGAGGAAAUACUUCACCUUGUAUCAAACAAGGGAGACCGAAAAUCAACUACUAAUAGCAUCACAGAGCCAGCAGAAGAUUGAGGAGGCCAUGAAAAGGAAAGAGAAAAUACACUCUUUUUUUGUAAGGACAGAGAUAAUACAUUCAAUAAAGGGUACUGAUGUUUAUAUGCAAAGCUGAUUAGGUUUAAAUAGUCGUAUUUAUUCUGUACAGUGCCAAUAUUACCACCCGUUAGUACACUUUCAAGACACUGUAAUCCAGUGUAUGCACUAUGCAGUACGUAGUACUCCUCAUUUUUUUGGGGAAAUUCAUUAUUGGUCUUCAUAUCUUCUUUAUUUUCCUUGUCCUCAUUGUGCCACGUGUUUAAAUCACUAAUUAUAGGUAAUCUUUCAAUUUAAUUAAAUCUUAUGUAAAAAAAGAUAAUUAAAUAUCAUUUAGUAUUACAAUAUAGUGAUAUUCCUCUUUAGUAUAAAAUUUUUAUAAUUAAAAGCGUUCAGCUUUUUAAUCUUCAUUGGAAUAUUAUCUAUAAAGAAAAAUUAUUCGAAUCAGAGAUCAUUUAUGCAUUCAAAUGUAUAAAAUACAUCGACAGUGUGAGAACCAACUAAUAUAUUUUUGAUGAAGUACAAUUAUUGAAUACAUUUGAACGAUCAAAUGAUAUAUGAUUCAAAAUACAUAUUAAGAUAAUAAAUAUAAAAGAAUUGUUAUUUGCACUUCAAGAAUCUCAUUCUACACUCUAAAUUUUCUAUAUAUUAAAAGAAAAAUAAAUUUGUGAAAAGUGUAGAAUGAGGUUUUUUUAAAUGCUAAUAACACUUCUCUAAAUACAAUUAUGAAAUUAAUUAAGUAAAGAUACAUGACCUCGUGAAUGAUGAAUGUAUUAUUCAAAAAAAUAUUAAAAACAAAUUGAAAAAGGACGCUGUUGUUGCCACCACUUAUGCAAUGAUCGUCGCUGCCAUCACCAACCCCCAACACCCCAUUACAGCUCAUAAAAGCACAUCAUAAGCAAUUUAUGAAAUAAAUUUACUGGAAUACUAAUUUCCCCCUUAGUUUAGGUCACCAAUGUUUAAAUUUAGGGAUCGUGAUAUCCACACACAUUUUUUACUUCUUUCACACUUUUUUUUUCGGUUGUCGGAUCAGAUGAAUUGAAGAAAAUCAAUGAACAGAAAUUAACAAGGGGUGUGUGAGAAGUAAAAAUGAAUGUGUGGAUAACACACCCCUAAAUUUAUCACAACUUUCAUUCCAAAUUUAAUUUUUAUCCGUAGUUUUGUUUGUUCAAAUUUACUUUGACAUUUCCAUUAGUAUUAAAAUCUAAUUUAAAUUUUAGUGUUCAAGCUAGAAAAAGUGUUCCAUUUAAUAUUUAAUCUCAGUUUUUCUCUUUAUUCUUUUAUUGGGAUUUGGUUGCAUCGUAUCUCCAUUUUUCUCGGUGUUGUAUGUUCAUAAGGCCUGUGAAACGUUGGCACGGAGUGAAGGGUACUCACUUUUUGGCCCAAAAUGCAUAAGGCAUGUAGAUAUGUUAAUCAAAUUUUGUAAACUAAAGGAUAUAGAAGUUGAUAAUUAGAUUAUAAUUUAAGAUAAUACUAAGGAGACUAAAUUUGCAAACUAAAUGAUGUGUCACCAAUAAAAAUAAGCACGUUUAUCAACAAUUAAGUAAUAAAUCAAUCAUCAACUUUCAUGUCCUUUAGUUUCCAAGAUUUAAUAUACAAAUUUAGUCUCCCAAGCAUUACUCUAUUACUUAAGUAUUGAUUAACAGACUUAUUUCUUAUGGUGACACAUUAUUUAGUUUACAAUUUUAGUCUACCCAACAUUACUCUUUUGAAAUUGUCUUGUCCACUGAUAUAAUUCUAUUUUUCUUGUGAUCAAAACUUCAAAUGUUAGCAAGUCGCACGUAAAGUCGCUUAUGAGAGAAUGUGCUCACAUUGUAGUUGAAAGAUUAUGUGGCUAGCAACAUUACAAAUUUAAUUUGGUAUAAUUCUAAAAUAUAGAUUGAGGAAAAAAUGAUCACAUUAACUAGAAACUGAAAAGGUUUCAGCACAGUUUGUUCAAGCAAGAAAUUCAAUUUUGAUGCUACCGAUCUUAACAGCCUGAGCGCCGUACCUGGGCACCAAAGUCACCACCACACUCUCAUCAUCUUCAGCACCCAAAUCCUCCAACAGGUCCGUUAACCCCAACCUUAAACAACUCUUGCUCUUUUCCUUCUGCUUAUGUGGCACACUCACAAAACUCCCAGCAAACUCGCUCUUGUCGGGUCCACUCGGUGCCGCAUCCUCAUCGUCCACGUCAUUCACAUACACACAUCAAACUUCACAGCCACAUCUUUGUCAAGCUCAAUCCCCUGAAUCACCAAUAUCUCCUCCUCAUCCUCUUUCUCCUUCUUGCUCCUCUUCUUCGGCUUCGGCCUUGACACCACCGUACUUAUCUUCGUCUCCAAAUUUAUUGGAAAAUCUUUACCCGCCACCACCUUCCCUGAUGACGUCGUCUCAGUGGCCUUCGCCACUCCAGCCGCCUUUGCCUUUCUCGCAAGCUUUGUCCGACGUGGCGUCGGUCUAGACUUGAGCCAUGGAAUCUCAACAUCUUCAUACGUAUACCCUAGCUUUUUAUUAUCAAGAGUGUCCCUCACCGUGACCCUAACAAGCUCAGCAUUCUCGUCAUAAAACAAAAACCCCGUAUCCAACCAAUCCUUAUCGUUAAUAUCGUUAUUUUUAGUCCCUAUACUUUUCCAAAUAUUCCACAUUCGAUCUAUAUUCGAAUGGUGCGAAAAAAAUAUUGGAUCCCUUGCAGCGGAGUAAAAAUUCCCCAUGUCUUCAAAAUUAGGCUGCGUGUUAUCUCCGGUCCAUAAAUGAACCGGACCAUGUGGGGUCGUUUCGAUUGAACCGCCCCCUGGAUCUGGUUCAGUGUCAGCCCUGUAGGGCGAACCAAAGAACAACAGCGGUUUCUUGGAGUUGGAAACCAUCUGCCUAUACAUGAUUUUGAGGUUGGCGUCGAUUUGAGCAUCCUUGGACAUUGUUUCAUCCGUGCCGUUGAAGUCAAGAUCGAUGAGAGUCGGCGGCUGAUGGCUGGCAGCGCGGAGCUCGUCGUAAAGCGGAGAGUCCGGGUUAGCGAACAAGGCAGGGAGUUGCAUGCCAGCUGGCGCGUCCCAGUUCCAAAACGGCAACGCGAACGUCGGAUCGUCUAUGAGUUUGGCCAAGAUUCUUUCGUAGAAGUAUACGUAGUAACGAUGGAAGGGGAAGAAAAGCCAGCAUUGAUGGAUUUGGAGCUCGAGGUUGGGGAAGCCGACUUGGUCGUACGCGCCGUCGCAAUAGGCACAGUGGAGAUCGGCUUGCUGGGUGAAGCUACGCGGAUCGUCGUCCGGGAGGGCUUUCAUGAGCUCGAUGGCUUUUGAAUAUUUUUCGAUGUAGGCUUUAUCCACGGUGUGAGCUGCCGGCCUGACGCGGAGUUUGGUAGGGGAGGGGAAUUUGAAGUCUACGAUUUUUUGGGACGUUGGCGGGCAACAGUUGAUCGGGACUGCUCCACUUGGAAAGUCCGCAGCUCCGCAUUUGGCUAGGUCAGGCGGCAACACUGGCUUUGCAACAGCGAAGGGGUCGCUGCCAAGACCAGCCACUCCGGCUUUGCAACAGCGAAGGGGUCGCUGCCAAGACCAGCCACUCCACCGUAGAGGCUUCCGAGACCUAUAAGAAGAUAGAAUUCAGUUCUUGGCAGUAGAGGACUCUAUUGCAGGGAAAAACUGAUUUGAAUUAGGAAGGCUUAAGUAGUUUUCCAUAAGGAUUUUAAUAGGGAAUCCAUAUUCUAAUAUGAGAAGGAUAUGUGUGUACAUAUAUAUAUAUAUAUAUGGCAAUCUCUUCUCUCACAGGUGUGUGCUCUUUUGGAACUAAGCCCUAUUCUUAGUUUGAGUGAUAAAUACCCUGACAGAGAGAAGAAGAAUUGAUGUGCUUUUCAGGUUGAUCGAGAUCCACCAUGACUGCAUCAAACGGGAGUUCUACAGGUUAGUAUAAUUAGGUUUUAUUUGGAUUGAUGUUUUGUGUCUACUUGGUUGUAGUUUAAGUAACUGAAUCUUGCAGCUAGAUUUUGGUUUACAUGUGGUAUCAGAGCCAUAGAUUCAUGUUCUUAAAUUCAAUCGAUAAAAUUGAUUGAAUCCAAAAUAAAAUUCCGAUCUUCAGACUUCGAAACAGGUUCUGGUAGUUAAAAUUAGGAAAAGAAGAAACGGUGCGUUUUGAUUAAAAUAUGAUGAUUAAUACUUGACCGUUAAGAGCUAAUAAACUAUCUUCUCUUCCGAAUUGGGAAUACAAAUCGACAUCUAUCGAUUUCGAUUUCGGGGUUUGAAAAACUGGGUUAUAUGACAUCUAUCGAUUUCGAUUUCGAGGUUUGAAAAACUGGGUUAUAUGAAUUGUUAUUGAGUAUCCACAAUUUAUAUUAAUUGCUUCCGCUGCUGGGUGUUGAUGCUCAUAGAACAAACGGGUAUGUCUCCUGAACAUUGAAUUGAAAUUUGUUUUUUAAUCAAUCUUAUCUUGAAUUUCAUUAUGUUCUACAGCAUGAUUCGAAUAGUGAGCAUAAAAAUAUGCUUAUUUAUGCUGAUUAGUCCUAUGUUUAUGCGUUUUUCUCUAACCAUCUAUGGAAGGGAGUUCUUCGAUAAGAACCUCUGCAGAUUUCACUUGUUUUAUGCAGAAAGUUUUAUGAAGAACUGUUCAUUUGAUAAAGAUCUGCUAAAACUGUGUUCUUAAAUGGAAAAAUCUUUUAUUCUAUAUGUGCUUAUCAAUUCUUCAUUGUUAAGAUUAUAUAUAUGGAUAAAAGGUUUUGAUGAUAUGAUGUACAAAGGAUUGUGAGAUGAAAUCUGGAACUCUAAACGUUCUUCUGUGAUUCAUUGUGAUUUCAUUGUGCUACAGUGUCUGCAAUAUCAAUGAAGACUCUGAAUUUGGCUAACAUCCCAAUUCUUACUGGUGGGGGAAAUUACAAGAAGUGGAGAAGGGAAAUCAGUUUGCUGUUGACUCUAAACGAGUUUGAUAUAGCAAUCGAGAAUCCCAAACCCGUGGUCAAUGAUCAGAGCAGCACAAGGGCUGAAAAGGCAGAUUUUGAGAGAUGGACAAGGGCUAAUAAGGUAGCAUUGUCCAUCCUUGAGAGUGGCAUGACUGAUACAAUCAGAUGAGGAAUUAAGAAGCACGAUUUGGCUGCUGAUUACCUAAAAGCUAUUGAAAAGAAAUUUCAAGAAUCUGAAAAAGCUGAAGUGAGUCAGUAUAUGUCUUUAUUAACUACUUACAAGAUGGAGGGUACAAGCUCUAUAAGGGAUCACAUAAUGAAGAUGACAUAUGCUGCAGAAAGACUCAAUGCAAUGGAUAUAAACAUAGGUGAAAAGCAGUUAGUAUUCAUGAUUCUUCAAGCACUUCCCAGUAAAUAUAGUCAGUUGAAGAUCUCCUACAAUACUCAAGACAAAAACUGGGAUAUUGAUCAGUUGAUUGCACAGUGUGUGCAAGAAGAAACUCGUCAAAAACAAGAAAGAGGCAAAGAAGUUGAGGACAUCAACUUUGUGCAAACUAUAAAUGACAAAAAGCAGUUCAACAACAGAAGCUUUUCUGGUUCUGGUAAGAGUUCUAAGCCUUUUAAAACUUCUAAUAAGUUCAGUAAUUCUGCUAAAGUAGUUGACUCCCCUAGAAAAUCUAUCAAGUUUAAAGCUAAACCUAAAGAUGUGUCUAAAUUAAAAAUGUUUUUGGUGCAAAACUAAGGGCCAUUUAAAAGUUAACUGUGAAAUUUUCAAAGAUUAUGUAAAGAGCAAAGAAAAGGAACAAGUACUUGUCUGUAUUGAAUCAAAUUUGUGAAGUAUACCUGUUGAUUCUUGGUGGUUUUGAUAUACCGGAUGCUCAGUGCAUAUAACUAAUUCUUUAAAUGGUUUUCAAAAACAAAAGGAAUUUGGAAAUGCUACAUAUAAUGUUUUUGUUGGGGAAGGAACUAAAGUUGCAGUAGAGUCAAUUGGGAUAGUCAAAUUAGUCUUAUGUUCUGGUUAUGUUUUAGAGUUGAAAGAUGUGUGCUAUAUGUGCCUAAGAUGAGAAGAAACUUAAUUUCUGCCCUCUAAAAUUGUAAAAGAUGGUUUUUCUUUUCUUGGUGAUGAUGAGUGCCUCAAAAAUUUUCAAGAAAAACUGUCCUUGUCCUAACACUAUUUUAGGGACUGCUUUUUUGUCUGAUAAUUUAUGGAAUCUAAAUUGCACUGUUAAGGCACUCAAUCACACGAUUUUCAGCAUUAGUACUAAGAGAAUGAUAGGUCAGGAUACUUCAUACAUUUUAUGGCACAAAAGACUAGGACACAUCUCUAAAGAAAGGAUAAUUAAGCUGUAAAAAACUGACUUGAUUCCAAAAUUAGAUCUUUCUACUGCAACUGAAUGUGUUGACUGCCUAAAGGGUAAAAUGACCAAUUUUAGAAAAACAGAUGCCAAAAUGAGCCAGGGGUUACUUGAAAUCAUACACACUGAUAUCUGUGGUCCUUUUCCAGUUAAGACAAUAUGUGGAAACAAGUAUUUCAUUAAUUUCAUAGAUGAUUUUUCAAGGCUGGGAUAUACCUUUCUGAUUAAUGAAAAAGCUGAUGCCCUUAAGUGUUUUAUAAUUUACAAAACUGAGGUUGAAAAACAGUUAGGCAAGGUUAUUAAAAUUGUUAGAUCGGAUAGGGGAGGUGAAUACUUUGGCAGGUACACUGAAUCCGGGCAGCAAAAGGGACCAUUUGCUCUCUAUCUCGAGAAGAAUGGUAUUGUGGCGCAGUACACCACACCUGGAACGCCUCAACAGAAUGGUGUUUUUGAAAGAAGAAACAGGACUCUUAUUGGUAUGGUUAGAAGCAUGAUGUCCAGAUCAAAAUUGCCAGGAUUCUUGUGGGGAGAAGCUUUGAAAACAGCUAAUCAUAUAUUGAAUCGAGUUCCAAGCAAGGCAGUAUCUACCACACCCUAUGAGUUAUGGCAUGGGAGAGUUCCUAGUUUUACUUAUUUCCAUGUUUGGGGUUGUAAAGCAGAAGCUAAGUUAUAUAAUCCUAAUGAAAGAAAGCUGGAUUCAAGGACUCAGUCAUGUUAUUUUAUUGGCUAUCCUGAGAAAUCAAAAGGAUACAGGUUCUAUAUCCCUCAAGGUCACACUCGGAUCCAAGAGACACACAAUGCAGUUUUCCUAGAAGAUGAAGAUGUCUCUCAUUUGUCAAGGGAAAAUUUCAUAUUUGAAGAGAUGCAUUCAGAUGGUGGGGACCAUGUGACAAUGGAUUAUAAUAUCGGUCUCAUUGUUUCCCAAUCAAUCAUCAAUUGCCAUUGAAGAUAUGAGUGAAGAUUUAGGAGUUCCUGAUGACAACUCUGUAGGAGUUGAUUCCACAACAUAAGCUGCAACAAUUCCUUUUGCAGAAGCAUGUGAACCAGUUGCUGUUCCACCUCCAGUUGAAAUCAGAAGGUCACAAAGAGCUCGGAAAACCACUGCAAGCAAUGACUAUGUGUACUUAUAAGAGACUGAGUUCGAUAUUGGUGACAUUUGAUGAUCCUCUUACAUAUACUCAGGCAACUGAAAGUCCUCAAGCAGUUCUUUGGAACAAUGCAAUGAAGGAUGAGUUAGAUUCAAUGUCCAAAAACCAGGUUUGGACAUUGGUGGAAUCCAACUCUGAAAUUAGGCCAAUAGGCUGCAAGUGGGUAUAUAAAACCAAAAGGGAUGCUGCUGGAAGAAUUGAAAGAUAUAAAGCAAGGUUGGUUGCUAAGGGGUUUACUCAAACGGAGGGGAUCGACUAUAAUGAUACUUUCUCUCCAGUUUCCUCCAAAGACUCCAUGCGAGUUAUCAUGUCUUUAGCUGCCUACUUCGAUCUUGAAUUACAUCAAAUGGAUGUAAAAACCGCUUUUCUUAACGGAGACUUACAAGAGGCUAUAUACAUGAAACAACCUGUUGGAUUUGUUGAAAAGGGGAAAGAGAAUUUAGUAUGCAAGCUCAAUAAGUCCAUAUACGGCUUGAAACAAGCAUCAAGGCAAUGGUACCUAAAGUUUGAUCAAAUUGUCUCUGCAUAAGGUUUUGUAGAAAACAAACUGGAUGAUUGUAUAUACAUUAAGUUCUCAGGUUCCGAGUUCAUCUUCUUAGUACUUUAUGUUGAUGCCAUUCUCCUAGCUAGUUCAUGUCCCCAAUUGCUUCAUAGCAUUAAGAGAAUGCUAAGUGAUAACUUUGAGAUGAAAGAUCUUGGAGAAGCACAUUAUGUACUAGGAAUAGAGAUUGUUCGAGAUAGGAAAAUGAGGCUCCUUGGUUUAUCUCAAAAGGGGUACAUUGACAGAGUGUUGGAGAAAUUUCAUAUGGCAAAUUGCAAUUGUGGUCAGGUUCCAGUCAAUAAAGGUGACAAGUUUUCGAAGAUUCAAUGUCCAAGAUCUGAUUUGGAGGUGAAGAAAAUGCAAGCUAAGCCUUAUGCCUCGUUGAUUGGAAGUCUUAUGUAUGCAACUAUCUGUACAAGGCCUGAUAUUGCCUUCAUAGUUGGUAUGCUAAGACGAUUUCAAGCAAAUCCUGAGAAGCACAUUGGGGGUGGCAGCCAAGAAGGUUCUUCGAUACUUGCAGAGAACCAAAACUCACAUGUUAGUAUAAUGGCCGAACUGAUUCUUUGGAGCUCAGGGGGUAUAUACUCGGAUUUAGCUGGAGAUGUGGAUGACAGGAAGUCCACAGGGGUUAUAUCUUCAUACUCAAUGGAGGGGCAGUUUCGUGGAAAAAUGCAAAGCAAACUAUUAUAGCCACAUCAACUAUGGAAGCUGAGUUUGUAGCCUGUUUUGAAGGCAUGAAACAGGCAGCAUGGUUGAAGAAUUUUUUGACAGAUUUAAAGAUUGUGAAUUCGGUUCAGAAACCAGUAACAAUGUUCUGUGAUAAACAACUCGGCUGUGUUUUUUGCUAAGAAUAAUAAAAGGACUUCAGCAUCUAGAUUUGGAUGGACGAAGUUUCUUAAGGUCAGAGAACAAGUCAAGAAAGGAGUUAUUGAAGUACAGCACAUUAGCACUACUAUGAUGAUUGCUGAUCCCUUGACUAAGGCACUGCCAAUUGGAGAAUUCAAGAAACAUGUUUCUUCAAUAGGAGUACUAGAAGGUUUUGAUCAGUGGGAGUAAUCACGUGUGUGUUAAAGGCUUGGGAUUGCAGAAGCAGAAGUAUAUAUGUGUUUCAAGAACUGUAUGUGCAAUUCUGACAAGCUGAACUAAGGAUGCUUUAUGUUUUAACUUGCUUUAGUUAGUUUGUUAAGGUUGUUUGUGUUUUAAUAAGUGUCCUUGUCUGCUACUCAAUACUUUGGCUUUCAGGUGUUGAGGUACGGAUACUGGACUGAGUUAGAAUUUAGUUUCAUUAGUAACUUUGAAAGAACAGUUUGUCUGUUUUUUAAGUUUGUGGUUAAUGAUGUUAUAUAGUCAAUUACUAUGUUGCUUUUCUGUGAAGAUUAAUGUGUGUUGUGAUCUUUUGAAAAGUGGGAGCAUAAUGUUUGACGGUUUAUGUUAGUCAUGAGUCAUAUUUACAAAUUGAAUAUAUGUGAGCCUUGAAUUAAUACUACAAUUUGGUUGUGGUCUGAGAUUCUUGGUUUCUAUAUUUUGAGAUGUAAUGGGACAGUGGUCAUGAUGGUUAAAUCUUAGAUGAGGUUAUGUGAUCACUUCUUAUGAUUGGUGACGGCAAGGUUUGAUCUUUGUCUCAUGUUCAAGUGGGAGAAUGUAAGAAUGUGAACAUGAGAUAAGAUGAUCGGAUAUUAGUUGUUUGAGUCCAAUCCGAAUAAGAAAGCCUCUAAGAAGAUGGAAUUCAGUUCUUGGCAGUAGAGGACUCUAUUGCAGGGAAAAACUGAUUUGAAUUAGGAAGGCUUAAGUAGUUUUCCAUAAGGAUUUUAAUAGGGAAUCCAUAUUCUAAUAUGAGAAGGAUAUGUGUGUACAUAUAUAUAUAUAUAUGGCAAUCUCUUCUCUCACAGGUGUGUGCUCUUUUGGAACUAAGCCCUAUUCUUAGUUUGAGUGAUAAAUACCCUGACAGAGAGAAGAAGAAUUGUUGUGCUUUUCAGGUUGAUCGAGAUCCACCAUGACUGCAUCAAACGGGAGUUCUACAGGUUAGUAUAAUUAGGUUUAUUUGGAUUGAUGUUUUGUGUCUACUUGGUUGUAGUUUAAGUAACUGAAUCUUGCAGCUAGAUUUUGGUUUACAUAUUUUUCGAUGUAGGCUUUAUCCACGGUGUGAGCUGCCGGCCUGACGCGGAGUUUGGUAGGGGAGGGGAAUUUGAAGUCUACGAUUUUUUGGGACGUUGGCGGGCAACAGUUGGUCGGGACUGCUCCACUUGGAAAGUCCGCAGCUCCGCAUUUGGCUAGGUCAGGCGGCAACACUGGCUUUGCAACAGCGAAGGGGUCGCUGCCAAGACCAACCACUCCGGCUUUGCAACAGCGAAGGGGUCGCUGCCAAGACCAGCCACUCCACCGUAGAGGCUUCCGAGACCUAUAAGUACAUUUCUUCUGUCUAGGUUUACUAGAGAAGGGUUUUCAUGGUCGUGAUCGUUGGAGCUAGUGGAAGGGUUUUUGUUUUGGUCACUACUAUUAUUUGUGGCUUUGCACGAGACAGCUUGUAAAUUGGAAUGCCUAGGGUUUCCAAAUGAGGAUAUUCGGUGAUACUUUUGGGAGAAAGGGGAGAGAGAAGUUGUGGGGAUGAUACUUGUGGCGGAGGUGACGAGUGGAGCUGACAUAGAAGCCAUGGUACUUGACUCUGAAUAAUACGUUGUAUUGGCUUUGCUUUUAUAAUGUGUUCUAGGUUUUACGUUUCUUUGCACGGGUGGCAGGCCGUACACACGUGGUCGGUCCUUAAGGGUUUGACGAGGAAUACUACGCAGUCAUUUAGUACAUGACAACCAUACACUAUAGCACGUGGCAUGUAUUUAGAGAUCGAGAGAGAAUUGGGUAAGGUUCACGAGGGAUUGUAGUUUCAGAAGGUGAAUUGGUUUUGGUCUUCUUGUGUACCAAUAAUUUUUACUUAGUCAUUUAGUGCAGGACAACCAUGCACUAUAGCACGUGGCAUGUAUUCAGAGAUCGAGAGAGAAUUGGUUGGGUAAGGUUCACGAGGGAUUGUAGUUUCAGAAGUUCAAGCGGUUUUGGGCUUGUUGUGUACGGCUGUGGGUCUGCUGUCACGGACUCUCUGUCUCAUUUGUGUCUUAUUUUUUAUUUUUUGACACGUUUUAACGUCAAAUCAUUAUAGCAAUGUUAUGCAAUUGGGAGCUAAAUGACCGAUGCUCUUAUUUUUUAGUUUGCUUUUUUUCCAGAUCUGAUCAAAUCAUGAUAGCAAUGUUAUGCAAUUUUCAAGAGGGAGAGAUGCACCUGGGAGAGAAACGGUACGGUGACUUCUAAAUCACCGUCCAACAGAACAAUUCUCAGUAGAGACUACUAGAGAGAGAUGCACCUCACCAAUGAAAAAUUUAACUGCAAAAAUUCUGGGUAUCGGGAGUUGUGGGGUGGGUCUUGGCAGUUUUCUUAUUUCUUUGAAUUUUUUAUAAUUUAUUUUAUAAAAGUAACAGUGUUUUGUGGGGGUUAAAUUGUAAAACACGUGUCAUCAAACUAAAUAAAGAGACACCAAAGAGACAUGGAAUUCGGGACAACAGACCCACAGCCGUUGUGUACGGAGGCAGACUCUCUGCUCUCCUACUUUCUGUGUCCUCCUGUUUUGUGUAGUCACGAUUAAAUCACGUCAAUAUUUUAUAUUAUUAUUUUAUAGAUAUAAUAAGACAAAAAAGAAUAGUAAUUUAAAAUAUUAACGUGACUUAACUGUGACCACACGAAUAGGAAGGCAUGAGAAGUGGGAAGGCAAAGAAUAUGCCUCCGUUGUGUACCAAUAAUAUUAUAUAUAUAUAUAUAUAUAUAUAUAUAAUUAGGAUUGAAGGAUGUAGAGCUUAUUUUGUUAUGUAUUCUAACAAUUUAAGUGCUUAUCUUUUAGGUUUUCUCUUAAACAGCAUGCCUAUAAAAAAUCACCAAAAUUCAAACCAUAUGACCAUUAGAUCCAUAGUCAUUUUAGUGUUAAAUGAACUUCACAAAAUAAGUCUCAAAAUAUGUAUAAAAAAUGGACAGCGUGAAUGGUUUGGAAAUUGGAAUAGGUUUGGAAAUUGUGCUUUUUGUAGCAAAUUGCAGCAAAGUUUGCUUGGACUUUCACAACCGUAUAAAUUAAACUGUUCGCUUUGUUGGGAAAAACAAGUUUGCCGCUGGUCUUGGGUUCCAAGAUCGGCCAAUUUGACGGCACACUUUUUGGCGUUGAGAAGCAGUACGGAGAUGUGCAGAUUAACUUGGAUUGAUACUCCUCCAUCUUCGUUGGUUCGUGUAUUGAACAAAGAUGGCCUUCCUUGCCCUCCUUAAUAUUUUUUGUUCUUCCUGCAGUGGAGGCGGUGACGCCUUGCUCUUGGUGCAGCGUCUAGUGUUCUGUACCCUCCUCUUCUGCAUAUGUUUGUAUUUCCCCUCGUUGCCCCUUCUAAGUGGGCUUCCUAUUGUUUUGGCUUCGGCCCUGGUUAUGAAAUAUUUCCAAUCUUACCCAAAAAAAAAAAAAAAAAGAAGAAGAAGAAGAAGUCAAGCACGGUGGGAGACUGGUCAUAGUUUCUAGAUUGAUGCUCUAAUUCUAAUGUUAUACAACGCGUACGCUAAAAUAUUUUUAUCAAAAUAUUAGUUUUAGUGUUAUCAAAACAAUAAUGUUAUUCUUACCAUGUUUUUGUAUCACAAUUAUAUACCACCUUAGAUGGCAUAUGAUGUAGAUAGCCACAUCAUUUAAAUUAAUAAGCAUUUAAUUUCAAAUGUUAAUCAAUAAUUAAUAAAAUGAUUGUUAAUUAAAUGAUGAUUAUGGUAUACAAGGAGUCUCCUUCUUCCUUCCCCUUUCCAUUCUGCUUUUUCUUCCUACCACUUUCUGUUUUUUUUUUCAUGCCAGUUUUUGUAUUGAUUUCUAUUGAUUUCCAUGAUUAUGGUCAAUCUUUAUAGAAUUUACUCGUAUACCACAACCACCAUUGAUUUCUAUCUCUAGACUCAUGCCCCGUAGCCCUAAUCCUCAUUCCCCUUCAAGUAUUUCUGUCUCCAAUCUUCUUUGGUACUCCAUGGUUGUUCAUCUCGUGAUUUUUUUUUAUUAUUUCAUUAAGUAACGCCUAUUAGCUUUCAUGCGAAUUAGGAGUCAAAAUCAAAUUUGUCUAUCGGAUUAGGGUUCAUGCCCAAUUAAGUUACUAACGCAAGAGAGAUUUUGAAGUCUACAAUUUUCCUUAUUUAAGUGUUUUAAUUAAUAAGAAAAUUGAAAUUAAACGAUUUAGCUUGUCCAACUCAUCUGCCACCUAAGAUGGUAAAUAAAUGUGGUAAGAAUAGCAUUACUCUUAUCGAAAUUACAAAAAAAAAAAAAAAAAAAAAAAAAAGCUGAUUCAAUAUUUAGUUAUUAAAAAAAAUAUAAAAAAAGUGAUCAAGUAACUAUCCAAUACCCAUGUAUUGGGUGCUUUGUUUGAAAAUUUUCAAAAUGAUAUUGGGCUCGUUUGGAUAUGUUUUUAAAAUGACUGAAAGCGUUUUUAGAGAAAAUAUUUUUUUGAUUCCAAAAGCACUUAAAGUGUUUUCUGCAAAAAGCACUUAAAGUGCUUUCUGCAAAAAGCACCAGUUAUGUGCUUCUUCCUAGAAGCACUUUAAGUGUUUUUCAAGCAUUUACUUGCUUUUUUACUAAGGAUUGGUUCCAAAAACAUUUUCACAAAAAGUGUUUUCAGUCAUUUUAAAAGUACAUUCAAACGAGCUCAUUGUUUUUCCUAUUUUAAUCAAGUGCGUCGUCCCCUGUUGAGAAUGAAUCUCAUAUUAUGGGGAGAGGGGUCUUGCAUGGAUGAGAGGAGGGACCUUGCAUGAGCUUAUAAGUAAGUUGGGUUACUCUCUAUAUUGCCAAGAGAAAUUUUAUUUGGACCUACUUUUCCUCUCUCUAAACCCAACUUUAAUAUUUUGUUACCUAAACUCUCUAGUUUACCCUCAUAAAUUAUAAACAUAAAUAAACUGGAAAAAGAAAAACUCAUCAAACCUAUUUCCCAACUGUUCUGGCGUCUCUUCCCUGUAUUUGUUGGGUCUAUCUCCCUCCCGACUGUUUUUUUUCCCUGAUAUUCUCUGUGUGUUCCCCCACCUCUCCCACACCCACCGAUUCUUUGUGGUGGCUAUUCCACCCAACGUCCAGUGAAUCUUUCCAUUUUUCUUCUAUUGCGCGUGAUAGGGCCUUGCUGUUAAUAGGCAAAACUAAGCGGCAUCGUCGACUCUGUAAGCGACUUGUUGCAGAAGUCCAAAAUGGAGUCAAAAGGAUUUUGUAUUGGGUCGGGUUGUUGAAGGCGAUGGCUGAUUUAGCAAUCUCGCCUAACUACUUCUAUAUGCAGGAGAAGGAAGAGGGAGGAAGGUCUAAAGUGGUGGUUGAGUGGUGGCGAUGUAUGUGGGUUCUAUCUCGGUUGAAUGGGUGUAGAAAGAUAUUUAAUUUUCAGUUUCUUAUUUUAUUUUGUAUAAGGGAUAAUAUCGGAAUUACAUAAAAAGUUUUUUUUAUAGCUGGGUGUAGAAAUAGUAUUGUUGGGUCUAAAUAAAAUUACCCUAUUGCCAAACAUAGUAUUGUUGGGUCUAAAUAAAAUUACCCUAUUGCCAAUUAGCUUUGUUUGAAAAUUUUCAAAAUGAUAUUGUUUUUACCAUUGAACCCUUGUUAUAUACAGUGAUGGCUAAUUUGUCAAGUUCUACGAAGUUGGGAUACCCAGCGUUUUAGCAUAUAACAUAACUUAGUAUUACAAGCAUAAUUAAUUAAAAUAAAGGAAAAUGAAGAGGAUAGCUUAGUAUUACAAGCAUAAUUAAUUAAAAUAAAGGCAAAAGUAACAGCCUGUCCCUAAAAAUGACGAUUUUAUAAUCUUAACACGUGAGUUUAUGAAGAUGCCCUUCGAGGCAAAGUGUUGACUUGUGUUGACUACCGCAUCGUGUCAUGUGAGACUCAUCUUCUUGGCGUAUUCUCGUUUUACUUGUCACUACGGACGCAUGGGCGCAAACGGGACAUGAUUUGGAGCUAUAACGAAUGAGUUAUUAACAUUUAAAGUUAAGGACAUUUUAGUAAAUUAAUUAAUUUCAGAUUAUGUUGAGGGGAAAAUCUGGAGUGCCGGUGGGUGGCCCAGAUUAAAGGAAAUGAAGAAUGGAUGGUGGAGGUGUAAAGGAAAGAAGAUAAAAGAAAAAUGAGAGGAAGUGUGUGACUAAUAGGGAGAUGAGAGAGUUAGGAUGGCCCAAUCAGAAACAAACGAAAGGAGGAAAAAGGAGAGAAGAGGGGAGCGGGGGAUCCCUUCGACCCGGUUCCAUUUUCCGACCCGACCCGAUCCUUUUCAUCUUCUUUGAUGGUUUUUCGUCGGUUUUUUCCGACGAACCACGUUAUCUAACCCCUUGGAAAAUGUUCCACAACCUUCCCUCAACUAUUACAAUCCAAAAUUGUAGAAAUUUAGCCAUGAAAGUAUGAAAACCACACCGGUGGGUGCGGGAAACCCUUGUCGUCGAUUCUCCCAUUAUUGCAACGAUUUUCACCAAUUACCACCACCUACAACAUCCUCUUGAGGUCUGGAAUAAAGCCCAAACAAGUUUUGCACUACUACAAUAUUAGCUUUAGAUGGCAGAUGAUGGUGGCGGAUUUAGAAAAAUAUUGUCGGAUAAAUUAUAUCUGACACAUUAUUUAAUUAGUGGUGAAUAUAAGAAAAAUCAUGUCGGUUAUAACCGACAUAAAUUCGUGGCAGAUACUAGCAGAUAUUAAAAAACUCAUGUCGGUUAUAACCGACAUAAAUUCCUAGCGAAUAAUUACUGACAGAUAUUAUAAAACUUCUGUCGGUUAUAACCGACAAUAUUUUUGAAUUGGGGGAAUUUAAAAUUUUGGGAGGGAAUUUAAAAUUUUGGGAGGGAAUUUAAAAUUUUGGAGGAAAUUUUGGGGGGAUUUUUACCCAUAUUAAUUCAUGGCGGAUAAUUACUGACGAAUAUUAUAAAGCUCAUGUCGGUUAUAACCAACAAUAAUGAAAAUGUUUAUGUCGAUUUUUAUUAAAAAAAUGUUUCUGUCAGUUUUAACCGACAUUAAUGAAAAUAUUCCACAGUAAAACCCCUACUUCUUCUCCUUGUGCUGGUGCCUUCUCCCUUCCCCCUUCUUUCCCCCUUUUCUCUUCUCCUCAUUUCCUUUUCCUUUGUAUUUUUGAUUUUGACAAGGUCUCUCCUUUAUUUGAUUCUUUGUUGUUCAUCUCUCACAAAUGUAGAGAGAGUAAAGGAGAUGCUUAGAGCGCUUUCUUUGUUCCUUUUUUUUUUCUUUUCAUUUUUUCCCUUUUCAAACUCCGACUAUGUCUUACAUGGCCGGUCCCAAGCCCGGAUAAAGGAGGAGGGGGAGGGCGUCAGGUAGUCGACAGCCGGCACUCCAUGAUCACGUCGAAUCCUUAUGAAAAUGAAUCCAGAACAAAAUCGCGCUAAAGCUAGGGCGCCACCCGUAAGUGGCGCGCUGUGUGGCCCGAGCACAGUGAUAAGUGAGCAAGGGUCGCUGUAUCUCCAUCGGCACUCGGAUGCAGUGUUAAAUGAGCAAGGGGGCCAUAGAAACUUCUUUUCGAACGACUCCACUCAAAGUUGUUUGGGAGCAUAUGCUCCUAUCAACUUUACCCGGGACACACAAAAGAAGUACUUUGAUCCUAUUAGACGGGGGAGGGUGAAGAAGCUAGGACAGAAGGGUAGAGUUCAAGAGAGCAAAAUGCGUUUAGGAACGUGGAAUAUAGGAACCUUAACGGGAAAAUCUAUGGAAGUAGUGGAAGUUAUGGUGAGGAGAAGGAUAAAUAUUAUGUGCCUACAAGAAACUAAGUGGGUUGGUAGUAAGGCAAAGGAUCUAGAAAACUCAGGGUUUAAACUUUGGUAUUCGGGCACAAAUAGAACGAGAAACGGUGUUGGCAUCAUCGUGGACAAGACCUUGGUACAAGAUGUUGUAGAUGUCAAGAGUGUAGGAGAUAGAAUCAUGGCAAUCAAGAUUGUAAUAGGACAAGAACUUAUCAAUGUGAUUAAUGCGUACGCACCUCAAGUAGGGUUGGAUACGAGUUCGAAGGAGAAAUUUUGGGAAGAUCUUGGAGACUUGGUGCAAGGAAUUGCUCAGACGGAGAAGUUAUUUAUAGGAGGAGAUUUAAAUGGACACGUGGGCAGGGAGACAGGCAACUAUGGAGGUUUUCAUGGUGGCCAUGGUUUUGGGGAGAGAAACGAGGAUGGGGAAGCUAUCUUGGAUUUUACAAUGGCAUAUGAUCUCUUCUUAGCCAACACCUUCUUUAAGAAGAGAGAAGAACAUGUGAUCACCUACAAGAGUGGGUCGUCAAAAACACAAAUAGAUUUUCUUCUAAUGAGGAAAGGGGAUCGUAUAACUUGUAAGGAUUGCAAAGUUAUACCAGGAGAGAGCGUGGCUAAUCAACAUCGCUUGUUGGUGAUGGAUGUACAUAUCAAAAGAGUAAGACAAAAGAACAAGACUUGGAAGUGCCCAAGGACUAGAUGGUGGAAUCUAAAAGAAGAAAAACAAGUCAUUUUCAAAGAGAAGGUAAUCACCCAAUGUGUGUGGGAUAGAGAGGGGGAAGCUAGCCAAAUGUGGGAUUUCAUGGCUAGUUGUAUCCGAAAAGUAGCAAAAGAGGUAUUAGGAGAGUCUAAGGGCUUUGCCCCACACUAAAAGGAAUCUUGGUGGUGGAAUGAGGAGGUACAAACAAAGGUGAAGGCUAAGAAGGAAUGUUGUAAAGCCUUAUACAAGGAGAGGACCGAUGAAAAUGGUGAAAGGUAUAGAAAAAAAGCGAAGCAAGAGGCGAAGAAAGCUGUCAGAGAAGCUAAGUUAGCGGCUUACGACGAUAUGUAUAAACGACUAGAUACCAAAGAAGGAGAGUUGGAUAUCUAUAAACUAUCUAGAGCAAAGGAAAAGAAGACAAGGGACCUAAACCAAGUGAGGUGCAUCAAGGAUGAGGAUGGAAAGGUUCUUGCUACAGAGAACGCGGUUAAAGACAGAUGGAGAGGUUAUUUUCAUAAUCUUUUCAAUGAAGGACAUGAAAUGAGUGCUUCUUUAGGGGAGUUGAGUAACUCAGAAGAGUGUAGAAACUACUCUUUUUAUCGUCGAAUCCGGAAGGAAGAAGUGGUUGUAGCUUUGAAGAAGAUGAAGCAUAAAAAAGCAAUAGGCCCAGACAAUAUACCAAUCGAAGUGUGGAAACUUUUGGGAGAGACAGGUAUAACAUGGCUCACUGACCUUUUCAAUAGGAUUUUGAAAACGAAAAAGAUGCCAAAUGAGUGGCGAACGAGCACUUUGGUGCCUAUCUACAAGAAUAAGGGCGACGUACAAAAUUGCAUGAACUAUAGGGGUAUUAAGCUAAUGAGUCAUACAAUGAAGCUCUGGGAGAGAGUCAUUGAGCAUAGAUUGAGGCAAGAGACACGGGUUUCGGACAACCAAUUCGGGUUCAUGCCAGGGCGCUCAACCAUGGAGGCAAUCUAUCUCUUACGAAGAUUGAUGGAAAGAUAUAGAGAUGGGAAAAAUGAUUUACACAUGGUCUUUAUAGAUUUGGAAAAAGCGUAUGAUAGGGUCCCAAGAGACAUUCUUUGGAGGAUUUUAAAGAAGAAAGGAGUACGAGUAGCAUAUAUCCAAGCUAUAAAGGACAUGUAUGAAGAAGCAAAGACUGCCGUAAGAACUCAUGAAGGACAAACCGAAAGCUUUCCCAUAACUGUAGGAUUACAUCAAGGCUCAUCCUUAAGUCCUUACCUUUUUGCGUUGGUAAUGGAUGAGUUAACAGGACAUAUUCAAGAUGAUAUUCCUUGGUGUAUGCUUUUCGCAGACGAUAUAGUGUUGAUAGAUGAAACUCAGGAAGGGGUAAAUGCAAAGCUUAACCUUUGGAGAGAAGUGUUGGAAUCUAAAGGUCUUCGCCUAAGCCGAUCAAAGACAGAAUAUAUGGAGUGCAAGUUCAGUGCAAAUGGAGGCCAAAACGAGUUAGGGGUGAGGAUCGGAGAUCAAGAAAUACCAAAGAGUGACCGUUUUCGUUACCUAGGAUCUAUCUUGCAAAAGAACGGAGAAUUAGAUGGAGAUCUCAACCAUAGAAUACAAGCUGGAUGGAUGAAGUGGAAGAGUGCAUCUGACGUGUUGUGUGACCGUCGUAUGCCACUGAAGCUCAAAGGAAAAUUUUAUAGGACGGCAAUAAGGUCGGCGAUGAUUCAACUUGGCGGGUUCGAGCAAAUAGGCGUUGGGCCAUAUUAGACACAGAACCUGCACACUGAACACUGAGAGCUAGCGAAUCCUUAACAGCUAACUCAUCAGACCGUUUGGAAAGUAGUCUGUUAUCUUUGGGAGUGAGAAGGUUCCUGGCCACCACCGCAGCGGUCAUAUCAUUCUUCAUCACGGAAUCCCCAACGGUAAGAGGACCAGUAGGGGAGACAAAGGAUGGGCGCCAUAUGUUGUCUGGAGAAGGCGGGGCUGCCUCUUCAACAAGGUUCAAGUCAAAAAACGACGGUCGGAGGGCCAGACAUUUUCAAAGGUGUUGAAGAGAGAAGAGGUCGGACACAAAUCAAGAUCUUAGAAGUGCAAGAAUGAAGCUUCUACUGGUGGAGAUUCAAGUGUGCUUUGGAACUUAAUGCCAGCCCCUAUAAAAAUCUGCACUCGACGGAGCUUCAGAAAUCGAAGAGGCGUUUGCUUUCUCAAAAGCUGGGCUGCUUAGAGAUCACGAGGGUUGAUCUCAGGAAUCGAAGAGGCGUUUGCUUUCUCAAAAGUUGGGCUGCUCAAAGACCACGAAGGCCGAUCUCAGAAAUCGAAGAGGCGCUCACUUUCUCAAAAACUGGGCUCCCCAGAGACCACGAGGGCCGAUCUCAAAAAUCGAAGAGGCACCUACUUUUCCAGCCUUGUCAGCACCUGUCACACGCACACUCAGCUUUGCGGAAAUUAUGGGCAUUCUGUCGAAGACUUCUGGGGAAGUAGAAAACACAUGAAUCUUACUGUUCAAUCACCCACUUCCCACACGCAAUAAUAGCUCAUGGGUACCACAGAUAACUUUGCCAAAGUUCUCUGCCAAAGUUGAGCACGUGAAGCUUGCAGCUCCCACUACAUCGCUCUGACCAAGAAGGGUAAAAAGAAUAGCAAAGAAACAGCACUAACAAAGUUUAGACCCAUAAAUUUUGAAGGUCUAGCUACCAUAUUAUUACCCACAAGGGUAAAGGAACAGUACCACUGCUGGAUAAUUGGAAAGUCCCUAUGUGUCAACCUCUGUGCUUCGUGGCAAGGUAGACUAGCAAACAUGCCCAACCUUUACUCACAUUCGAGAAAACACUCCCAAUAAGAUUGCUUGCUCCAAAAUCGAAGAGGCACCGUCCUCCGAAUCUCGAGAGCCAGACUCCCAACAUGACUACUUUCUUAAAAAUCGAAGAGAGGGUAAAGGAACAGUACCAUUGCUGGAUAAUUGGAAAGUCCAUGUGUGUCAACCUCUGUGCUUCGUGGCAAGGUAGACUAGCAAACAUGCCCAACCUUUACUCACAUUCGAGAAAACACUCCCAACAAGAUUGCUUGCUCCAAAAUCGAAGAGGCACCGCCCUCCGAAUCUCGAGAGCCAGACUCCCAACAUGAUUACUUUCUCAAAAAUCGAAAGAGACACUGCUCCCCGAAUCUUCGAGAGCCAGACCCCCAGCAUGAUUGCUUUCUCAAAAAUCGAUGAGGCAUCGUUCUCCGAAUCAAUCGAAGAGGCGCUCGCUUUCUCAAAAGCUGGGCUGCUCAGAGACCACGAGGGCCGAUCUCAGAAAUCGAAGAGGCACUUACUUUUCUAGCCUUGUCAGCACCUGUCACACGCACACUCAGCUUUGCAGAAAUUAUGGGCAUUCUGUCGAAGACUUCUGGUGAAGUAGAAAGCACAUUAAUCCUACUGUUCAAUCACCCACUUCCCACACGCAACAAUAGCUCAUGGGUACCACAGAUAACUUUGCCAAAGUUCUCUGCCAAAGUUGAGCACGUGAAGCUUGCAGCUCCCACUACAUCGCUCUGACCAAGAAAGGUAAAAGAAUAGCAAAGAAACAGCACUAACAAAGUUUAGACACAUAAAUUUUGAAGGUCUAGCUACCAUAUUAUUACCCACAAGGGUAAAGGAACAGUACCACUGCUGGAUAAUUGGAAAGUCCCUGUGUGUCAACCUAUGUGCUUCGUGGCAAGGUAGACUAGCAAACAUGCCCAACCUUUACUCACAUUCGAGAAAACACUCCCAACAAGAUUGCUUGCUCCAAAAUCGAAGAGGCACUGUCCUCCGAAUCUCGAGAGCCAGACUCCCAACAUGACUACUUUCUCAAAAGCGAAGAGAGGGUAAAGGAACAGUACCAUUGCUGGAUAAUUGGAAAGUCCCUGUGUGUCAACCUUUGUGCUUCAUGGCAAGGUAGACUAGCAAACAUGCCCAACCUUUACUCACAUUCGAGACAACACUCCCAACAGGAUUGCUUGCUCCAAAAUCAAGAGGCACCGCCCUCCGAAUCUCGAGAGCCAAACUCCCAACAUGAUUACUUCCUCAAAAAUCGAAGAGACACUGCUCUCCGAAUCUCGAGAGCCAGACCCCCAGCAUGAUUGCUUUCUCAAAAAUCGAAAAGGCAUCGUUCUCCGAAUCUCGAGAGCCAGAUACCACAGACCACUUUUUCAAAGUGCUCUGACAGAGUUAAAACAUGUGAAACUGGCAGCUCCCACUACCGUGCUAUGACCAAGCAGGGUAAAGGAAUAGCAUUACUACUUGUUGUUAGGGAGACUCCUAUAUAUGUCGACCUCCAUCCCCAACGGACAGGCAGACCUGCAAAAAUGCUCAACCCUUCAUCAUAUCUGAGUGGGCACUCCCAACGAAGCCUUUCGAAAUAUUCAGCUUUCUUUCCCCCCGAUAAUACCUCUGCAAACAAGCUAUACUAGAGCAAGAAUAUCUCAUAUCAUCAGGGUUAAAAGCAAGAGUAUCCCAUAUCAUGCUUUUUCCCUGUCUUUUCCUUUGGCCUUGUUUUUACCUGCAAGACAAGGAGAAAGAGAGCAAUCAGUCAGCACUUGGAAUCAAGCUUCCAACCAGGAAAUGACUGCCUGGAACCCCUUACUUGGCAUUGCUCUCGAGUACUCAUCUUCAACAUCUUAUGUUUCCAGGGAAGAUUCUGCAUCUGCUUGAGGAACAGAUAGGGCAAGUGCGAAGGAUACAAGGAAGCAUGCGGAGACAAGCGUAACAGCACACGUGCCGAUACAUCCAUUACUCUGUCAAAAGCAAAAGUAUCCCAUAUCAGCAGGGUGGAACGUACUCUAGAUUUGAUGGACUUGUUUUGACCCUCAAAUUCUUCAGUCGGCCUUAUAUUCUGGAGGAAACCAGAAAACCCUCCAGCUCAGUUCAAGAAUAAGCCUGUGGAAAGUUACUUCUUCAAAAGCAAAAGUAUCUCAUAUCAUCUCUUCUCAUUUUUCUUCUCUCUUUAUCCUUCAUGCUGCUGCAAGAUGGGGAGAAGGUGAACAAUCAGUCGGAGCUCUGAUUGCUUACCUUGUCUGUCACCUCUUUCAGCAGACCCCCUAGCUCGGCGACUUGGGGGACUCCUACUAAAUGGUUUGUAUCGCGCUUGACCAAGCCUGAAACUACAAGUAAGCUUCAAGUGAAAUUGAUACAUUACCUUGUGCAUCUCCACCAGUUAAAGAUACCACCCCUGGAUGGAGGAAGAGUACUUCCAGAGAAGAUGCCACAUCUACCUAUGAGACAGAUAAGGCAAGUCAAGACGACACCACACUCCGAUACUUAGAAGUUUCGUGAUUAUGAGAUCAUUCUCCCACAAUAUUUCCUAAUGUCAUUUGUACUAAAUCAUUCACUUGUACUCACUAAAGGAGAGCUUGAACCUAUGUACUUGUGUAAACCCUUCACAAUUAAUGAGAACUCUUCUAUUCCGUGGACGUAGCCAAUCUGGGUGAACCACGUACAUCUUGUGUUUGCUUUCCUAUCUCUAUCCAUUUAUAUACUUAUCCACACUAAUGACCGGAGCAAUCUAGCGAAGAUCACAAAAAGCGACCGUUUUCGCUACCUAGGAUCUAUCUUGCAAGAGAACGGAGAAUUAGAUGGAGAUCUCAACCAUAGAAUACGAGCUGGAUGGAUGAAGUGUAAGAGUGCAUCCGGCGUGUUGUGUGACUAUCGUAGGCCACUGAAGCUCAAAGGAAAAUUUUAUAGGACGGCAAUAAGGCCAGCGAUGUUGUAUGGCACAGAAUGUUGGGCGGUGAAGCAUCAACACGUACACAAAAUGGGUGUAGCGGAGAUGAGGAUGCUUCGUGGGAUGUGUGGGCACACGAGAAAGGAUAAGAUUGGGAAUGAGGAUAUCCGAGGUAAAGUAGGAGUAGCCGAAAUUGUAGGAAAGAUGAGAGAAAAUCGGCUCCGGUGAUUUGGACAUGUGCAAAGAAGGCCGACUGACGCUCCGAUUCGAAGAUGUGACUACGGGACAGAGGUUCAGGGCCGAAGGGGUAGAGGAAGACCUAGGAAAACUUUGGAAGAGACUCUAAGAAAAGACUUAGAGUACUUGGAUCUAACGGAGGACAUGACACAAAACCGAGCGCAAUGGCGUUCUAGGAUUCAUAUAGCCGACCCCACUUAGUGGGAAAAGGCUUUGUUGUUGUUGUUGUUGUUGUAUUUUUUCCCUUUUCAAAAUCGAAAUGUUCUAAAUUAUUUCACUAAUCCUUGCUAGUUUGAACUGCAGGAGUCUGUCUCUGGAUUUGAAAGAUUAUCUGGACUUACAGUUUUGAAGAAUUGGGAUUCUAGUGUUACACAUAUUAUUGCAUCGACAGAUGAAAAUGAAGCAUGCAGAAGAACCCUUAAAAUUUUGAUGGGUAUCUUGGAGGGGAAGUGGAUUCUGAGUGUGGAGUGAGUUUUACUGUUUUCGUUUUAAUUGUUCUUCCUCAAGUGCUUGGACUUUACAAUUGUAAUGAGUACAGAAGCCGAAAUGAGAUAUUGAUAUACAUGUUCACAUUGCUGAUAAUUCGUUAUCCGUCUGUUUGUGUAGGAAUUAAUGCUUGCACAUAAGUAAUGAAACUAGUUAAUGAGGAGCCUUAUGAAAUCAACGUUGACAUUUAUGGAAUCAGGGAUGGUCCUCGACUUGGUAGACUAAGGCUGCAGAACAAGGUUAGCUUUUCCUCGAGUUUAACUAUCAUCACGAAAACUUUAGAUUUUCAUGGAUUCACCAUAGGCAUUGUUAAUCUUGUUCAGUCCAUAAAUAGGUUACACACUUAUCUUAACAAAGGUGAGACCUUCUCAAUUCCUCAUCGAGAUGAAUCAAGAGCAUAAUUGUAGCAGUGAUCAAGAGCAAUUUUUUUAUGUUUCUUCCAAAUUGUUGAGAUGAAUCAUCUGUGUUUUGUUCUAAUAAUCUUACAAAUUUGUUGAGCAAUUUUUGUAAAGUCAGAAUCUUUGGUUUCGGUUGUGAGGUAUCUGAUUUGGGUAUAUGUGUUUUGCAGGGCACGGUGGUUGUGGCGGAGGAAGAUUAGGAUUGACGACAGAGCUCUGGCCAUGAACUAUCAGCUCUGUCUUUCUCUCUCUAACUAUGAAUUGAAUACAAAAGUCUGUGUUGAUAUGGAAAAUGUAGCUCAAAAUUAUUACACAAAUGGCAAAAAAAAAAAGUUCGAGUGUGGAGUUUCACUUACUGAUACAGGGCUUUUGAAACAGGGUUGUCUAGACUGUAGAAGAAAUCCAUGGCUUUUGGAAGAGGGGAUGUUCCAAAUCUAUCUUUUCUCCCUCUCUAAUGUUCUUCGAGGGGUUCUUGUGAUGCAAAAAGUGGUUUAUAUAUAUUUUUUAUUAUUAAUAAAUUUUCUGUCGGUUUUAUCAGACAAUAAUUCUUUUAUUUAUUCUUAUUAAUAAUUUCUCUGUCGGUUAUAUCUGACACAAUUUCUGUCGAUUUUAGAGUAUUUUCUAUCGAAAAUUUCAUUUCCUGACGCAUCAAUUAUGUCGCUUAUUAUAUCCGCCACUGCACUCAUUUCAUGUCGGAUUUUGCUUAAUUUCCAACAGUAUUAUACAUUUCUUGUCGGUUUUUAAACCGACACUAAUGGGUACUUUUGUAGUAAUGUUGGGGCGUCGGAGUUCGUUUAAGGUCGAAUUGAGCACACCCAAAUUCAAGGGUUCCGUACGGUUCAUGGUAAUUUGAGGUAUUUCUCAGCCAAAUUGUCCUUAGUCACAGAUAUGAAAGUUGCUCCACUCGUUGAGAUCUUCAUUUAUGUCAAAUUUGAGAAUUUUUAGAAAUAAUUGGAUUUUCCAGCGAAUCGGGGCGGCGGACCACCACCGGACAGCGCAUGGCUAGUGGGCCCCCAAUGUCAUUUUACGUUAAAUUGGUAUCUUGAUUUUAGGUUUGAUGUCUAUAUGUUAUGACUUGAUAUGUGAACCUAGUUUAAUUAAGGUGCGUUAAUUGGUAAAAAUAUGAAACGACGAUCCGACCGUGGGAUCGUCACCAAUCUUUAUUAUGUUAUAGUACAUUAUAUUUGAGAAUCAUAGGGACUGACGGAUAGGAAAUCCGAUAUACGGAUCUUCCUGAAAUGGAAUUGUAAGUUCGAAGAAUAAACGUUAACCGCCACUUUGUUUUGACUAUUGGUGAAGAUCCAACCGUUGGAUCAUAAUGAAAUUUUAGGAUGAUGUUUUAGAAGCAUAAUGUGGAUCUUUGGAAGUUAUUGAUUGGAAAUCCGAGGAGCGAAUCUUCCGGAUUGAAUUACGUAAGGUUGUGGACCCUACCGUCGAUCGUUGACUGACGAUCGACUUUUGGUCAAUGGGGCUUAAAUCACUCUAAAAUGUUUUUAGGGAUGUGUUUUACGUAAAUUACAUUAUCUAUGGAUAAGAAUUCUGAGAUGUGGUUUGAUAAUUGUCCUGGGCGCCGAUCGUUAGGAACGCUUCGAUGGUUGUGCUAGGAAAUUGUAGCAUAGACUCCAGGUGAGUGAAUCUUUUCCUUCUUAUAUAUAUAUAUAUAUAUAUAUGAUUGACAAUUCCACAAACGUUUAUAAAUUGAUUAUUGCAUAUAACUACUGUAAAUACUUUGAAGUACUUAUGCGAACUACGAAUGGCUUGAUCCCUAUUUAGGGUACGUAUGCAGUCUAACAAGACAUUAAAUGCAGUCAUACAAUAAUUGAGAUUAAACAAUUGAGACAAAGCCUUGUAUGGGGAACUGGGCAAGGUGAACGAAUUUGGUAAAAAUGUGAGAUUUAACCUUCUGAAUUGGUGAUUAAAUGUUGGUCAUAAAUCAAUGUGUAAAGAAUCAAGAAUUUGAAGUAAGGAAACGUAAGUAAUGAUAAUUAAUUAAACUAGUGUCUAGUUGGGCUUGUCACCUAUAAUUAUCCCCAAAAAUGAAUAAUUCGGGAGUAGGGCGUUAUAGCUUCUGCAUUUUUAUGCCACAUUAUAUAUAUAUAUAUAUGUGUGUGUGUGUGUGUGUGUGUGUGUGUGUGUAUAAUUGGAAAUGCUAUAACGUGGUUGAGUAUCAGAUUUCAUCAUGGUUUAUCUAUAUGUAUAUUACCUGCACACAAUUAUUAUGAACACUUUGAAGUGCAAAGGUGAACGCAAGACACCCAGGAAAGUUCAGGUGAGUUUAUGGUAUUAGUUGAAAUGAUGGGGUUAUGGUAACUACAUGUAUGUUUAGGUUGCAAUGAUAGGCAACUCCGACACUGUCGUACAAGUUGCCCAUGAAUUGUAUAUGUUACAAUAGAUAGAGUUAGAGGUCAUAAACCUGCACCCCGGUGUUAGUGCUCCCACCCGUGGCUAGGGCACAGUCUUUCACGAGAUGUUCACCUCUCGCAUCUUACGCUCACCUUGGAUCCAAGGUAGGUGCACAGUCAUGUCAUAAAGACCACUAUAGGUGGUUCCGACUAGUAGAUGACCCGUGAUUAUUCGCACAGUCUUCACGUGAUUGUAGCACUUGAGCGUAUUUAUUUACACCCAGUCCUGUCGUACAGACCACUUUAGGUGGUUCCGACUCGUAUGCAGGUAUACUUAUUGAGCUAUGGAUAAGUCGUACAGGUCACUAAAGGUGACUCCAACUUAUGAGCUAGCAUAUGUGAUGAAAUAUGUGAUGAGCUAGCAUAUGUAAUGAGAUAAGUGAUGAGCUAGCAUAUGUGAUGAGAUAUGUGAUGAGUUAGCAUACGUUAUGAGAUAUGUGAUGAGUGAUAUAAUCAUAAUUGCAUACAUUUUCAUGCCCUUUUAGUUUAGAUUUUUGUUAUCCUUUUGAGUGAAUUUAGUUUGUUUCACUUAGUUUUAUGUUUUUCUUAGAUUUGAAGUGUGAAGAUGAAGAAAGAAGAAAAAAGAGCAUUUUUAGCGAUUGAAAUGAGUUUGGCAUGCUGGAAGCAGAGGCUAUUUGUGCGGAUCAGCCAACUUUACGGAUUAAACUGUACUUCCUUAGAAUGCCAGCUGUUGAGUCUUAUACCAUUGGAAAGAUAUGAAAGUUAGCUUUCAGAGGAAUUUUACGAUUCGUGAUUCCGAGUUUCCUAGAAGACGUUAUAGUGGUUUUUCUACCAGAUGUCUGCCAGCAAGGUUUUACGCGGGAUUUGCAAAGAGAUUCCAGAUUUACAAAGUUUAAUUAAAGGAAACAAGCAGAGAAAAAAGAAGAGGAAGCUUUUAGAAAAGUUCAGGACUAUUCUAAACGGUGCAUAGUUAAUAUAUUUAAUAGUUUAGUGUGCCACAUCAUCAAUAAACUAAUCUAAGUCAGAAGAGAAAUUCAAGAGUCCCAUUCAAGUAAGUAUUCCAGCAGUUUUAUUCAGGAAUAAAGGAGGGCAGACCGUCGGACUUUAGGAGCGGACAGAGAGAGUUUUUGGGUUUUCGAAGGUGCAGAGAAGAGGUCGCAGCAAGGAGUGAAACAGAGUCGCCGAUCAUCUGGGCAAUCCAUCACCAUCGUGUGGAAGUAUUUUAUGUUUUUCAGAUUUUUAAUUAUGUUUUCAGAUUUUAUGAGUAACUAAACUCUUUUUCUAAGGUUAGGAUGAUGCCCUAGCAUGGAUGUUUAUGGUUUGUAAUGUUAUUCAUUGGAUUUCCAGUUUCUUUUAGAUGAAUGCUUAAUCACUGUUUGAAUUGUUACUGUUUGUUUGAGUUCUUUGAUUGAUCACCUUAGGACUUUGCAUCUAGUAAGAUUGGAAGAUGAAUUUGAGACUGAACUAACAAUAUAAUUCAAUUAGCUUCUUGUGGUUAAGUGUGGUAAAUUACAUUAUUGCUUGAAAAAGAAUAAUGGUUUGUUUGGGUCCCUUGUUUUCUAGAGGGUAAAGAGUCCUACUUGUUAAAUUUAUGCCUUAACUAGGAUAGACUGCUUGUUAGGAUAUACGACCUCUGCCUAAACUAGGAGAGAAUCAUUCACAUAAGGAAAACUAUGGUCUAAUAUGCCUGACAAGGACUUAGAUACGGGAAUUAUCAUCUAAAGAAUUGAAAGAUCCAUUGAAUGCAUUGAAACCUAAACUAGAUUGCUUGUGGUUGAUUCCGAAUCCCUAGAUUUUCAUCACUUGCCUUAAAACACAACCGUUUCUUUUCUUUAAUUUCAGUUUUUACUUAAGGUUCUGUUUUUGUUCAUUUAUAAAAUCAUCACAACAAAUUUUUUACAUCUUUGAUUGACUUAUUAAUUAAGAUCGAGUCUAGUUCGUUGUUUGGGUUUGUGUGUCUUUAAUAUAAUUAGAUUUGGUUUAGUUUAUCAAAUUGGAGAUUGAAUUAGAAUCCUCGUGGGAACGAUACUUGGACUUGCAAAACGUUAUAUUACGACUAUCUUGUGCACUUGUAAGUUUACACCAAGUUUUUGGCGCCGUUGCCGGGGACUCUAAUUGAGUCCCCCAAUUUGAUAUCAUAUUCCAUAUCUAAUAAGUAGUUUAUUGUAGAUUAUUCAAUUUGAUUUUGUUUUGUUCUCUAGUUUCGAGUAAGAGUCAUAACUAUUAAGAUAAGUAAAAGUAAUUUUCGUCACUGUUUUAUUUCAGUUUUGUAUCACUGUUUCGACACAGUUUUGGACUAAACUAUUCGAUUUUUUACCAGGAAUAUUGUGUAUCGUUGGAAAGCCCCAGAAGUCUAGUUUUCAACCCAAAAAACAGAUCAAUGAUUGGAUUUUUGAGCUGCAAGAAAUGUACAAAAUACUGAGCAGUGGUCAAACAAGGAGCACAGUCUGGUCGUAUAUGCAAGGUAGACGUUCGUUGCAAUUUGAGUUGAUUCAUAUAGACCAAGAACUUGUGCGUACUUUAAGAGAACAGUGGAGGCAGCGAGUGUGUCAAGAACCAGCCAUGGAGGAAGUAGUUAAUAAUGGUGGAAAUAAUCCUCCACCAUUGCUACCACCACAACCAAGGCUCAUGCGUGAUUAUACAAAGCCAACGGAGUACAACGCACCGUCAUGCAUUGUUUUGGCUCCAAUUGCGCAGCGAUUUGAGAUUCGUCCACAAAUCUUUCAGUUGCUGCCUAUAUUUCUUGGGAAGGAGGAAGAAAAUCCAUACCAUCAUAUCAAGGCGUUUUUCAAGCUAUGUUCCACAUUCACAUUCACCAAUGUUACUGAAGAGCAAAUUCGACUUCGGUUAUUCCCAUUCUCUUUGAGGGAUAAAGCAAGCAGUUGGUUGGAUUCUCUUCCCGAAGCAUCUAUCGACACAUGGACAAAAUUAUCGAAGAAGUUUUUGUCCAAGUUCUUCCCCGCUCGAAGAACCAAUGCUCUGAUCAAUGAAAUCAUGAGCUUUCGACAACAAGAAGGUGAACAGUUUCAUGAAAGUUGGGAGCGCUAUAAGGACUUGUUUCUUCAAUGUCCUCAUCAUGGUUUCAACACUUGGCAAAAGGUUCAUUAUUUUUACAAAGGUUUGAACUCUCAAUGUAGGAGUUUGGUUGAUUCAACGGUUGGUGGAACCUUGAUAGACAAAACUCCAGAAGAUGCCAUACAUGCCUUUGAAACUAUAUGUGAAAAUUCUGAGCAUUGGGAUUUUCCUACAAAAGAUUUGAGAGUUCCAACUGCAUCGUCAACAAAAAAAGGAGGCAUUUAUGAAGUUAAUACAAGGACGGGCUUAGAGGCACAAGUGGCAGCCCUCACCAAGCUUCUCACACCACUUGUAAGCAAGAUAGCCACGCAGCCAUGUACUUUAUGUGCGAGCAUCGCCCAUGACAUGGAAAAUUGUCCAACAAAUGCUAAUCUAGAAGGCAUCCAAGAGGUCAAUGCAUUUAGUGGGAGGCCCCGGAAUGAUCCAUAUUCUAAUAAUUAUAACCCGGGAUGGAGAGAACAUCCAAAUUUUUCUUAGAGAGAUUCACAAAAUAGCAUGGGAUCAUUCACUUCAACAAAGCAAUAUCAGCAACCUUAUCAAGCUCCUCCAAUUCAACAAAAAGACUCGUCUAUCAAGGAUAUGUUAUCUCAACUCUUAAAGAAAACUGAUCGGUAUGAACAUGAAGUUGUGUCGCUUAGACAAAGUCAGACGGUGUUGGAAAAGGCUCGAUCUAAUUUUGAGACUCAGUUGGGACAGAUAGCUACUACUUUGAACAAGCUGGAGUGAGCACAAGGGCAAUUUCCAAGCCAAACUGAAACAAAUCCUAGGAAUCAAAAGCAUGUUCAAGCUGUCACCACUUUGAGGAGUGGAAAGACGAUUGGUAAUAAUGUGGAAAGUUCAAAAAUUAAUAAGGAAGAAGAUGAAGGGGUCAGCACAUAUCGGGCAGCAGCUUGACAAGACAAGCUAAAAAAGAGAAGUAUAUGGGAGAUAUUUUAGAGCAAUUUAGAAAGGUGCAGAUUAAUAUUCCUUUUCUCGAUGCCAUCAAACAAAUUCAAUCAUAUGCGAAGUUUUUGAAGGAACUUUGUACUAACAAGAGACGGUAUGAAGAACAUGAGGAGGUGAAGUUAUCAGACACGGUUAGUGCGGUUCUUCAAAGAAAAUUGCCACCAAAACUUCAAGAUCCUGGUAGCUUUACAGUCCCAUGUGUCAUUGGAGAAAGAAAAUUCGAAAAAGCUUUGCUUGACUUGGGAGCCAGUGUGAAUUUGAUGCCCUAUUCUGCUUAUAAACACCUCAAAUUAGGCGAACUAAAGCACAUAUCCAUUUCUCUACAAUGCACUGAUCGUUCUGUGAAAUAUCCAAGAGGGAUUGUUGAAAAUGUACUUGUGUGUGUUGAUCAAUUUAUUCUUCCUGCUGACUUCAUCAUUUUGGACAUGGAAGAAGCCGAAAUUCCUGGUCGUGACUUGCCUCUCAUUCUUGGCAGACCUUUCAUGGCUACUGCAGGUACGAAGAUUGAUGUUAAAUCGGGAUUAUUAACUAUGACUGUGCAAGGUAUUACUGUAGAAUUUCAGGUCUUCGAAGCAUUGAAGAAGCCCAUGGAUCUUUAUGACUGCUUUCGUGUUGAGGUAGUGGAUCCAAUUAUAAAAAAAAACAUUCAUUGAAUCAAGCAUCUCAGAUCCUCUGGAAGUUUGUAUCUCUCAACAUGGGAUGAGUUUUGAAAAGGCUACCAUCAUUGAAGCAGAACGAGAUCUCAAUGCCGUAACGUCCUACUCUCUUAGAUGCCAGCCCAAAUUUGAAGCGUUGCCACUCACAAGCCAAAAUUGUACCAUCCAUUAUACAACCUCCAAAGCUUGAAUUGAAGCCUCUUCCAGAGACUUUAAAGUAUGCAUAUUUGGUGAUUCAGAGACUCUUCCUGUGAUUAUAGCUGCUGAUCUUAACCAAACAGAAGAGGAAAAGUUGAUGCAAAUGUUGAGGGAGCAUAAAACAGCAUUGGGAUGGAGUAUUGCAGACAUAAAAGGAAUUAGUCCUCAAUUUGCAUGCAUCGGAUAUAUCUUGAGGACAAGUCAAAGCCUUCUAGAGAGGCACAGCGACGUCUAAAUCCACAUAUGCAAGAAGUGGUUCGGGCAGAAGUUCUUAAAUUACUGAAUGUCGGCAUUAUUUAUCCUAUAUCUAACAGCAAAUGGGUAAGUCCACUGCAGGUUGUACCACAGAGAUCUGGAAUUACAGUUGUCAAGAAUGAAAAUAAUGAGCUUAUACCCCAGAGGACUGUCACGGGUUGGAGAAUGUGUACAGAUUACAGAAAGAUCAAUAAUUCAACUCGAAAAUAUCAUUUUCCACUCCCUUUCCUUGAUCUCAUGCUUGAGAGACUUGCAGGCCAUAGUUAUUAUUGUUUUCUUGAUGGCUAUUCCAGAUAUAAUCAAAUUCCCAUAGCUCCGGAAGAUCAAGAAAAGACUACUUUCACAUGUCCAUUUGGAACUUUUGCCUAUCGACGAAUGCCUUUUGGGUUAUGUAAUGCUCCCGCAACAUUCCAAAGAUGCAUGAUGAGCAUUUUCUCAAACUUGGUGGAAAGGUGUAUCGAAGUGUUCGUGGAUGAUUUUUCCGUGUUUGGGUCAUCGUUUGAUCAAUGUCUUCAUCAUCUUUCAUUGGUGCUCUAACGGUGUCAAGAAACCAACUUGAUUUUAAAUUGGGAAAAAUGUCAGUUUAUGGUGAAAAGUGGUAUUGUUCUUGGUCAUGUAAUUUUAGCUGACGGAAUUGAAGUUGAUAAAGCUAAGGUGGAGCUGAUUUCGAAGCUUCCUCCUCCCACUUCUGUAAAAGAAGUUCGAUCCUUUCUCGAGCAUCCAAGUUUUUAUCGCCGAUUUAUUAAAGAUUUCUCGAAAAUCACCAAGCCACUUUGUGAUCUGCUUGCUAAAGAUUCUGUGUUUAAUUUAAAUGGUGAGUGCUUACAAGCUUUUGAGACCCUCAAGAAAGAAUUAACACAAGCCCCAAUCAUAAAAGCUCCAGAGUGGUCUCUUCCUUUUGAAAUCAUGUGUGACGCCUCUGAGUAUGCAAUAGGUGUUGUGUUAGGGCAGCGAGUUAACAAACUUCCUCAUGUUAUAUUUUAUGCUAGCCGAAUUCUCACUUAACAACUUUCAUAUCCCUUAGUUUCCAAAAUUUAAUAUACAAAUUUAGUCUCCCAAGCAUUGCUAUAUUACUUAAGUAUUGAUUAAUAGACUUAUUUCUUAUGGUGACACAUUAUUUAGUUUACAAAUUUAGUCUAUCUAACAUUACUCUUUUGACAUUGUCUUGUCCACUGAUAUAAUUCUAUUUUUCUUGUGAUCAAAACUUCAAAUGUUAGCAAGUCGCACGUAAAGUCGCUUCUGAGAGAAUGUGCUCACAUUGUAGUUGAAAGAUUAUGUGGCUAGCAACAUUACAAAUUUAAUUUGGUAUAAUUUUAAAAUAUAGAUUGAGGAAAAAAAGGAUCACAUUAACUAGAAACUGAAAAGGUUUCGGCGCAAUAUGUUCAAGCAAGAAACUCAAUUUUGAUGCUACCGAUCUUAACAGCCUGAGCGCCGUACCUGGGCACUAAAGUCACCACCACACUCUCAUCAUCUUCAGCACCCAAAUCCUCCAACAGGUCCGUUAACCCCAACCUUAAACAACUCUUGCUCUUUUCCUUCUGCUUAUGUGGCACACUCACAAAACUCCCAGCAAACUCGCUCUUGUCGGGUCCACUCGGUGCCGCAUCCUCAUCAUCCACGUCAUUCACAUACACAUCAAACUUCACAGCCACAUCUUUGUCAAGCUCAAUCCCCCGAAUCACCAAUAUCUCCUCCUCAUCCUCUUUCUCCUUCUUGCUCCUCUUCUUCGGCUUCGGCCUUGACACCACCGUAGUUAUCUUCGUCUCCAAAUUUAUUGGAAAAUCUUUACCCGCCACCACCUUCCCCGAUGACGUCGUCUCAGCGGCCUUCGCCACUCCAGCCGCCUUUGCCUUUCUCGCAAGCUUUGUCCGACGUGGCGUCGGUCUAGAGUUGAGCCAUGGAAUCUCAACAUCUUCAUACGUAUACCCUAGCUUUUUAUUAUCAAGAGUGUCCCUCACCGUGACCCUAACAAGCUCAGCAUUCUCGUCAUAAAACAAAAACCCCGUAUCCAACCAAUCCUUAUCGUUAAUAUCUUUAUUUUUAGUCCCUAUACUUUUCCAAAUAUUCCACAUUCGAUCCAGAUUCAAAUGGUGCGCAAAAAAUAUCGGAUCCCUUGCAGUGGAGUAAAAAUUCCCCAUGUCUUCAUAAUUAGGUUGCGUGUUAUCUCCGGUCCAUGUAUGAACCGGACCAUGUGGGGUCUGUUCGAUUGCACCGGCCCCUGGAUCUGGUUCAGUGCCAGCCCUGUAGGGCGAACCAAAGAACAACAGCGGUUUCUUGGAGUUGGAAACCAUCUGCCUAUACAUGAUUUUGAGGUUGGCUUCGAUUUGAGCAUCCUUGGACAUUGUUUCAUCCGUGCCGUUGAAGUCAAGAUCGAUGAGAGUUGGCGGCUGAUGGCUGGCAGCGCGGAGCUCGUCGUAAAGCGGAGAGUCAGGGUUAGCGUACAAGGCAGGGAGUUGCAUGCCAGCUGGCGCGUCCCAGUUCCAAAACGGCAACGCGAAGGUCGGAUCGUCUAUGAGUUUGGCCAAGAUUCUUUCGUGGAAAUAUAGGUAGUAACGAUGGAAGGGGAAGAAAAGCCAGGAUUGAUGGAUUUGGAGCUCGAGGUUGGGGAAGCCGACUUGGUCGUACGCACCGUUACAAUAGGCACAGUGGACAUCGGCUUGCUGGGUGAAGCUACGCGGAUCGUCGUCCGGGAGGGCUUUCAUGAGCUCGAUGGCUUUUGAGUAUUUUUCGAUGUAGGCUUUAUCCACGGCGUGAGCUGCCGGCCUGACGCGGAGUUUGGUAGGGGAGGGGAAUUUGAAGUCUACGAUUUUUUGGGACGUUGGCGGGCAACAGUUGGUCGGGACUGCUCCACUUGGAAAGUCCGCAGCUCCGCAUUUGGCUAGGUCAGGCGGCGACACUGGCUUUGCAACAGCGAAGGGGUCGCUGCCAAGACCAGCCACUCCACCGUACAGGCUUCCGAGACCUAUAAGUACAUGUCUUCUGUCUAGGUUUACUGGAGAAGGGUUUUCAUGGUCGUGAUCGUUGGAGCUAGUGGAAGGGUUUUUGUUUUGGUCACUACUAUUAUUUGUGGCUUUGCAUGAGACAGCUUGUAAAUUGGAAUGCCUAGGGUUUCCAAAUGAGGAUAUUCGGUGAUACUUUUGGGAGAAAGGAGAGAGAGAAGUUGUGGGGAUGAUACUUGUGGUGGGGGUGACGAGUGGAGCUGACAUAGAAGCCAUGGUUACUUGACUCUGAAUAAUACGUUGUAUGGGCUUUUGCUUUUAUAAUAUGUUCUAGGUUUACUUUUCUUUGCACAGGUGGCAGGCCGUGCACACGUUGUCGAGGAAUAGUACGUAGUCAUUUAGGAGAAAAAUCUAAUUGUGACGGAGGUGACGAGUGGAGCUGACAUAGAAGCCAUGGUUACUUGACUCUGAAUAAUACGUUGUAUUGGCCUUGCUUUUAUAAUAUGUUCUAGGUUUUACUUUGAGGAAUAGUACGUAGUUAUUUAAGAGAAAAUUCUAAUUGUGAUUGGAAAUACAAGUGGUAUACCACGUGUUUUAAUAGAUGUAGUAAGAAAUUUUAUGUUUUAAGUUAUUAAUUUUUUAGUAUACAUAUCACAUCAUUUGUACAGUAACACAUGAUAUACUACUCCGUGUAUCGGUCACAUUGAAAAAUCUCUCGUCAUUUAGUACAGAACAACCGUGCACUAUAGCACGUGGCAUGUAUUUAGAGAUCGACAGAGAAUUGGGUAAGGUUGGCGGCCCUUAAGGGUUUGACGAGGAAUAGUACAUAGUCAUUUAGUACAGGACGACCAUGCACUAUAGCACGUGGCAUGUAUUUAGAGAUCGAGAAAGCAUUGGG